UUGACAGGUACUGCAGACCGAUAAUGACGAAACCCAAACCAGCACCAGCCAAGCCCGCUGCUCCUGAAACUCCACCAACCCCACCUCCUCAGGGAAGUGAGCAACCUCAGGGCAGAGAUGCAGAUGCCAAUCCCGGCCCCAUGGAGAAUCCUGCUGAUGGCGACAAUGAGGCCCCACAGGCUACUACAGAACCAAUGGAAACCGACAAGCCAGAAGCUCCACAAAGUUCUGCGUAGUUCUGUAGAGUAUCCGCCUUUCUAUGGUUCUUAUGGCGUUUCAUUUGAUUCUUUAGCAUAAUACACUUCCAUUUUGAGCCUUAAAACACGGUUUGGACGGAGAGGGAGAGGCCCGUGGUGUGCUAAAUGGAUGAUAUACCUCUAGGUGUAAAGCCUUUUAUCUGCUUGUGGUCUGUCAGUUUUUAAUUAUUGGUACAAUCGGUCUCUAGAAUUCCGGGUUUUUUGAAGAGAAGUUUUGCCCUCGGGGUCUCUUUCCCCCCUUAUGAUGGGAUGGAGACCGAUUCGUUUUCAUUCUAAUCUUGUUUUACAUAUGUCAUUGAUACUCUUUCUUCCUAUAUCUUUGAACUUAUCUCCAAAAUUGCUCGAUUUUGUUCUGCGAAUUUUGCAUUGAUGCUCUUGAGGACAGGUUUUGAAUUUUAUAGUAGCAUUUUGUUGGCAUACGAAUAUAUGCGUCAAGGUUCUUCGUCGGUGCAACAUUCAGUGCGCCUUCGUUGACGCCCGGUGGAAGUGUGGGUUUAGGUCUGAGACUGGCUUUUCGAUUUCCGUUCUCACCGGCAAAGAUGAGGACUGAUAUGAUAGAUGAAGCACAUUCCUUGCUUAAAGUCAUGGAAGAAAACGACCUAAACUCACAUAAUAUCAUUUUUAACGGCUUGGCUAGGAUGGGUGGCCCAAAUCAAGCUUUGGAAAUGUUUGCCAAAACGAAGCAUUCUAAGAUUGAACCGGAUGCAGUUACUUAUAACACUAUUCUUGGUCGUCUAAGCUGAGCUGGUUUGCUUGAAGAGGCUGCAAAGCUGAUGAAAGGGAUUCGACAGGAUUUGAAUAUGAUCUCAAUACUUACUCAUCAAUUCUUGAGGCGGUUGGCAAGGUCGAUGAUAUUCAUAAGUCUUCCUUAAUGGCACUACAUACAGCCGGUUUUAAUCAUUGUUUAGAAUUUAGGAUGGUUGGAGACUUUCUUAAGAACAAGCAGAGUGUGAACUCACUCAUGAGUGACUAAUUCUUUCGCAGGUCAUACACCCUAUUAAUUGACAGCUUAGCAGCAUUGCAUCCUAUAGAUUUUUAGUAUCGUCGAGGUUGGGAACUUGGCAAAGAAAGGAAAAAACUACUGGUCGUUAUAAAGACGAUGCGUUAUAGAACUUCCUCUUGUACCGAAAUUGGAAAAGAUGCCACCCUACGACCUGAAUAAGGGUUGCGGUUUGGCUUCAUAAUCUGCACAGCCUCAUGUUACUUAUCCAAGAGCUGGACAAAUUCAGCUCAUUACUGCUGAAAAGGGUAGCAAUUUUGAUGCUCCUCAUUAAGCCAUCUAACGUUCCAAACCAUGUAUUUGCAAUUUUUCGUAUUCGAGCUAUCUACACUCCCAACUAAAUAUUUACAAUUUUUUGUGCUCUCACAAGUGUGGAGUGUAGCCGGCUGCCCAAGGAGUGUUAGAAAAACAAGCCUUUCAAACAUCACUUACUCCUUAAUUUUCGUCUUUGAUGACCAUUUGGUUUUUAGUUUUUAUUUUUUGUGCUAAAGAUAUAAAAGAAAUAGAUGGGAGAAAUGAAGAACAGAAAAGGAUGAAGGGAGGUGGUGAAAGGGAGAACUCAAAGAUGUUAUAUGAAAUCGCAUCAUUACAUAUACGUUCCUUUCAUAUUUUUUCACCGUCACUCUCUCUCCCAUGUAUCUAUAACACGAAUGAAAACUAAUAACUAAAAAUUAAAAACGAAAUUGUUAUUUGAUAGGCCCUUAUCAUAUUACCCCAAUCCCAGUAGUAAUACGAAAUAUUUAAUUUCUAAUUACCAUAUCUGAUACAAAAUCAACAACUUAUUUCCUCAAAAGAAAUAUAAAGGGGAUAACGUCUUCCCCAAUUGAUACAACAGCUUGCAGUUAACAUAAUCCAUUAAUAUUACAGAUAGAUACCGAUAUUACCCGCUAGCAUUUUUGGCAGAGUUAUCAUUCUCCUCGUCAUCGUCCUGCCAUAUUUUCGCUAUCUCAGCCUGCGCUAUCUCCAUAAUCUGCCUCUUAUGCAGUUCAAGUCUCUGUGGCAAUCCAUUCUCAUCUUCUCUAGUUCCACCAUUUGCUUCCUUUUACUAUUUUCAAUCUUCUCAUGUAUGUCGCUGAACUUUUGAAUGGAAUCAGCAAGCAAUCUAAAGGAACCCCGAUCAUCAUUCUCCCUUCCAUACCUUCUCGUCUUGGGUGGUAGCCCAUCUGAAUCGUCAUCCCCUCCCUCAGCUGAUUCAGAAUUCCCUGGACUAUCCCUCAUCUCAUCCAACCCAUUUGCACGGUUUAAAUACAUUUUAGGGUUCAUGAAAACAUACUCCCCUGAGUCCAAACCACAAGAGAGGCCGGCUUGCUGUUGUAAUGAUGACAUAAACAUAUCCAUCUUUGUGAAGUAAACCCACUUACUAGUGGCACCACUAGACUUUGCGAACUUGGCCCUCUCCUUCUUGUACUUUUUCUUCAACCUAUCCAACUGAUUGCGACAUUGUGUGUCUGUCUUUUCAAUCUUGGACACCUCUGAUACUUUCUCUGCAACCUCUUGCCACUCCUCAGAGCGAAGACUCUUUUUUCCACGUUGAAGGAACCGGUCACCCCAAGCAUCUAGUAACACAAAGUCUCACGUUCAAUCCAAUCUGUAAGCACAUUUCGACCACCAAUUGAUUGUCUUGGAGCAGAGGGUGCAACGGCAAGAGGAGGAGGAGCUGGCAAACGAGGAUCAAAUUCAUAACUUGAAAUCAAACUCUUUAACUUACGCUUCUUUGGGUGAGUUUUCAAAUCAUCAUCAUCUAGCCUUCUAACCAUCAUCUUCAUCAUCCUCUUCAUCAUCACUAUCAUCCUCGUGAUCAUCAUCCCCAACACCUUUAUGAACAGAAGGAUAGCCAUUUUGACCAUUGUUAUCUUCUUUUUCCUCACCCAAUUCUUCAUCAUCAUCAGUCUCAUCUUUUUCCUCAUCAUCGGCAUAGUCAGUACCGAUUGGCCUAGGAUAUGGAACACCACCGCGAGCAGGAAGCUUUUGGCGUUGCGAAGAACCAUAGCCCUGCUAGUGAUUCCCACCAUACAGGUUUGGAGGAUACCUUGCGUCAUUUUCGAUGUCAUCCAUUUCAACACGAACUCAAGAUUAACAACAAAACAACCAUAAAGAAGAUAACUCAGAAAGACUCUAGUUCCUAGUUCGAAACCACCAGUUUUUCCAUUUCGGGAUUAAGCUCCAUACACCCCCAUUAUUCUUUUUCCCCUCUGGAUUCUAAAUCCAACCAACAACUUCUCCUCCUUCAUAGAACUAAACUAGCUCCAAAUCAGCAUUUCGUUAAAAAAACACGAAAACAGCAAACCCCACAUCAAAAUCUUCCUCAAAACAACGUAUUGCCCAAAGAAAAUCACAAUCAGAGAAUAUAUAACACAGUUAGGUCAACAAAAUUGGGAAGUAAACCUAAACCCCAUCAACCUUCUAGUUAAAAUUUCACAAAUUUAUCUUUCCAAACGCAUGAAAUCUAAAAACAAAAACAAACCCACGAUUCAAAUUUUAAAGAUUCUUGAGCUAAAUUCAAAUUCCAAGAGUUUCAAAAACAAGAAAUGAAUGAAACCCUUAGCUCUUACCUCAAAAUCCAAACUUCCCCAGAAAUUUGUUGGGUGGAAAGCCAAAUUGAAGCUUCCUAAAGAGGUUUAACUCGACAUUUGCUAAAAAUUUGCAAUCAAUUGUGUCUUUUUUGGGGAAACUAAGAUGGGAAGAAGGGAAAGACAAGAAGGCAGAGAGAGAGAGAGAGAGAGAGGGGGAGUAAAAGAAUUGGGGAUUAAAGAGGGUCACUGCAUCUAUACGCGGCACGCCUAACUGCCCGUACGUUAUUUUUCUUGCGGUGCAGAUGCCUUCCUGUUGUAUUCGGGUGGGCUGGGCCCUGCAGAUUUGGGCUUCUUGUAGUUGUGAGUACAGGUCUUAUUUUGAUUUGGGGUUUUUGUCGGUUUGUCUCCGAACUUGUAUAGAGCUGUUAAUUUUUUCUCAGAAUUUCAAUUUUAGCUCAUUUCCCACUGAACUUUUAUAAUUGGCCAAUUUCCCCCUAGAACUUUAACUUCAGGCAAUCACCCCCUAAAUUUUUAUAAAUAGUCAAUUUUUCCCUAGCGUUAGAUUUUAAACAUUUUCAUCCAAUUUUUCAUUAUUGCCCCAAUACAGUUGUCAUGUGUUGUCUCGUGAUGAAAAUAGAUGGAAAGUUGGAUGAAAUUUUUUAAAAUCUAGCAUCAAGGGGAAUUGACUAUUUAUAAAAGUUCAAGGGGAUAAUCGGCUAAAAUUAAAGUUCAAAGGGGAAUUGACAGCUCUAUACAAGUUCGGGAAGCAAAUUGACAAAUAUGCCUUUGAUUUUUACCCAUUUUUGGUUUGAAAUUUUUGCCAACUUCAGAAAUUUGGAAAAAAUGUCAUUUUCUCAAGGUUUGAUAAAGAGAUGGCUUAACCGUGGGUUUUCUAGAUGUUAGUGAUACUUUUAAUCAUGUCAAAUUUUUUCUUGUGGGCUUACAUCUUUUGUUCGUAUCUCAUGAUAAAGUUGGUGCGCUCUUAUCUCUAUGUACUUGACAUAUUCAUUGGCAGUUUUGUGUGCAUAUUCUUUAUAGAAGUGCUCACUAACUACUUGAUUAUUUGCAGUUUCUCUUUGAGAACGGUGCUGCUUGUAUUCAAUUCAAAGAGAAGGUGCUCCCUUACUAGUCACAUUGGUAGUUUUGUGCAAAAGCAUCUCUUAUGUGAUAGGAAUUGAAGAUUUUCCUACUUGGCAUUUUCUCAUCGGUUCACCUACAAAGUAAAUAGUAACUACCAACCUGACUUUUCAAUGAGCUUGACUAUUGCUUUUAGAAUAUAGCAAAAUUCAAAAUUCAUUAUGAUAAAACUUGCUAUCACUGCAUUACAGCAGGCAAUGCUGUCAAACUAUUACUUUUUCUGAAGAAGGAAAUGAACAAAACAAAACUAGCAUGAUUGUUUACUAACAUAAACUCCCAAAAUCACUACAAUUGCAAAUGUUCUAUCAUGAUAUACAUUAUUUAUUGGGAGAAAGGAGGAAAAAACCAUUUUAUGGUAGGAAAAUGAGUUAGAAUAAAACUAGGUCAAAUGUUCGAUACUCUUUUAUUAUAAUAAAAAAAUGAAACAAGGAACACUCUGAGAAAAAUCCUUGCAUGCCUAUCAAAAACUUGUCGAUAAUGAGUGAACCAAAAUUAAUUGGAGUUUGUACUUGAAAUUGGAUAAAGUAAUACACUAGUUAUACGAUCAGGGUCAUCCAAUAAAUUGGCAUUGAACUCACUAUUUUCAAGAAUCACAUAUAGUUAAUAAGAACAGUGCUAGACGAUAACACUAACUAUGUCGUCACAAAUAAAUAAUUAAAAGGCUUAAAUGUCAAAAUGGUCCAUGUGUUAUAACUAUAUGGCAAAUUUAGUCUCGUGUUUUCGAUUUGGCUAAUUUAGUCAUCGUGUUUGUUUAUGUUAGCCAAUUAAGGACAUUUCAUUCAAUCUCUUUUAAAAUAUUCAUAAGAAAAAUCAUAUGAGAAAUAAUUACCCUUUCUCUUUACAGAAAAUACAAAUCAAUGAGAAAUAACACAUAUAAGAAAUAACACUUCCAAUCUGAAAAAUGAUUAAGCUUGUGAUAUAGAAAAGAUAGGGGGGUAAAAAUAUUAGGGAGGAGGUCGGAGAGUUGGAAGGAGAAUAAUUUUUCUUUUAAUUUUUAAUUUUAUUUCAUUUUAAAUAUUUUAAAUCAAAUAAAUUAUAAUUUAACAAAUAAGUUUAGAAUAAGAAAAAUUACAUAUAGAGUAUACUUUUAAUACUUAAUUGUAUAUUGAGACAACACUUUUUAAACAUUUCAAAGAGAGAUAAAAGUUAAUACAUGUGAAAAAUGAUAUCAUUGCCUCUCUUUUUUUCUCUAGAGUGUAAGUUACAAAAUUACCCUUUAUAGUGAAAAAGUCUUUUUCACACUUAUAUCUCUUCAACCGUUGCUCUUUUCUCUCUUCAAGAAAUAUUGGUUCCAUUUAAUUAUUCAAUUUAAUUAUUCAAAUGAAUGAAUGAACUUGUGGGUCUACGACCUCUACCCAAUUUACCAUCCCAUUCCCAUUCCUAGUUGGACAAUUAUAGUUCCCAUCUAGUUUUACUUAUUUGUUAGAUGGGUAUAAUUCCCUUCUUUUUUUCCUUUUCAAGUUAAAUGUGCCUUGAAAUUGGAUUGAAGGAUGUUCUUGCUGCUUUAUAGUAUAUGAUAUUCAAAUCAAACACGAUUUAUCAUAGAUAACCUUCCAUUGACCAAUUUAAGAUGAGUUUCAAAUCAAACAAAUUUUGAAUUAGAAGACCUUUGCCUUGCUUCUCUCCCAAAAAAUUCUACUGUUUUAUUUCAAUCUCUGUUAACGAAAAAAAAUUCUAUCAAAAAUUCGAAUUUGUAAAAUGAAAAAAAAAAGUACAAGAACUGGAUUUUGCAAAUGAAAAUUUAUCGAACACACCUACGACUUAAUAAACCAAAAGAUGAAUUAGUGAAGUUUUGUUAAGAUUGUCAUUUAUCGUAGAUGGAUUGAACUGAUUCUACAAAAAUGGUCGAGGACGGGUUGAACUGCUGCAAAAAUGGUCGAAGAUGGGUAGUGAUUCUAAAAAAAUGUCGAUGACGGGUUGAAUUGAUUCUGCAAAAAUGGUUGAGGAUGGGUUGAACUGAUUCUGUAGAAACGUUGAACUGAUUCAGCAAAAAUGGUUGAGGACAAGUUGAACUGAUUCUGCAAAAGCGGUCGAUGACGGGAUGAACUGAUUCUGCAAAACAUUGAACUGAUUAUGUAAAAAUGGUAGAGGACGGGUUGAACUAAUUUAGCAAAAAUGGUCGAGGAUGGGUUGAACUGAUUCUGCAAAAAAGGUCGAGGACGAGUUGAACUGAUUCUGCAAAAAUGGUCAAGGAUAGGUUGAAUUGUAGGAGGAAGGGUUGAACUGAUUCUACAAAAACAGUCGAAAAUGGGUUGAACUAAUUCUGCAAAAAUGGUUGAUGGCAUGUUGAAUUCACAAAAAUGGUCGAUGAAUGAUUGAACUGAUUCUGCAAAAAUAACUGAGGAUGGGUUGGACUAAUUUUAGUAAUAAUGAUACAAACUAAUUCUGCAUAUAGUUUUAAAACUGAUUUUGCAAAAAUAGUCGAAGAUGGGUUAAUUGUCACAGCCCGUCCCGGGAUUCUUUAUAUCGGGGACGUGAAAUGAUGGAAUUACCCUUGACGGGUAUUAAGGUAUGUGUGUGUGUGGCAUAUUAUUUGGACUAAAUACACAUAUUUCAUAAGCUUUUGGAAAAUAAUUUAAGUUGGAUUAAAAUUGGGUUGUAAAUUUGUGUGGUUAGUGAAUGAUAUUGUGACUUGUUUUUGGGUGGACUACACAACACACACACAGGACUCCCCUUUCCUUUUCCCCCGUGCUCUCUCUCUCUCCUCUCCGUUUCAAUCACUUUCUCCCUCUCGAAACCGUACGGACGAGACCAAAUUCCCUCUAAACAUCGCGGAUCGACGCCAAAAAGGUAAGGUUCUUCAUCCUUUCGAUCUCCUGAGUCGUUUGGUACUAGUUUUAGAACGAGAAACCUUCGAAAUCACGUGAAACCUGAACCCCAGUUUUAUGUCACUGUUCAUGCAUUCGUGAUAUGUUGAUUUUCAGGGAAUUCUAAGCUUAUAGUGAGCUUAGUGAGGUCCCAAGGAAGCUCGGAGUGCUUCGUUUGAAGGUUUUGGACGUCGGGAUCAUUGAGUUCGAAAUUGGCCGGUUUUCUUGGAAUUUCUCGGUGAGAUUUUGUAGUUUUUAGAGCCUUAAAGUAGUGUAACGUGAAACUACAUGCUUAGGGCUUCAUUUUGAUAUAAAAUACGAAGAAAAUGGUUGAGAAAUGACGGAGAACAAGGAGAUUGAAAAAUCUCAAGUUUUCCGGCCACCGGAAAAACCAGUCCGGCGAGCUCGAGGUAGGAGACGCGCGUGGGAGGCGCGUGGACCCGUGCCUGUCCAGGCGCGUGGGGGCGUGUGCAGCCUCAGAAAAUUUUUCUAAAAAUUUCUUGACGUCCAUGACGUCGAGUAGGUUGAUGUGGUAUAUUCAUAUACCCAAUUUAAGCACCGUAUGAGAAGUUAUUACGAAUUAUCGGUUAUGUGCUUCAAUUAACGUUUUUAUAGUUGUUUCGCAUAUAGGUGACACUUAUCCCAAGGACGAGCGCAUCCAGGGACGUCACGGGGGUUAUGACCCAUCAACUUACCAGUGAGUGGGCAGUAUUUCUGUUUAUACCUAUACUAUUGAUAUUUUUCCCAGAAAUUGAGUUUAAAUGAAGUAUGUUUUAAAAUGCCAUGCAUGCAUAUUAUGAGAAAUAUGAAUUGAUAAUUGAUGCAUAUAUAUAUGUGAAUUGGUGCUGUUGACGCACAUGUGAGUAUUAUGUUAUUCAUGUGAAUCAUUGAUGAUGUGAAUUGCAUUGAGAGCUCAUAACCUACACCCUUGGUGUUAGUGCUUAUAUUAUUCACCGCACCACACGCUCACCUUGGAUCCAAGUAGGUGCAUGUCGUAUAGACCAUGUGAGGGUUCCGACAUGCUAGUCGUAUAGAUCACUAGAGGUGGUUCCGACUAGUAGGUGACCUUAGAUUAUGCGCGCAGAUGAUUGAAGAGAGAAGCACUAGAGCGUAUUCUUACACCGUUCUUAUCGUAUAGACUACUUUAGGUAGUUCCGAUUUAUGUGCAGAGUAGUGCCGUACAGGUCACCGUGGUGAUUCCGGCUGGGUUGGAUAUUGAGCUAUAGAAUGAACCAUACAGGACCAACUGCGGGGUCUCCGGUUGUUUCAUUAUAUCACCUGUUAUAUUGAUGCAUCCAUAUUCUGUCAUUGACAUUAUUGCAUGGCAUACUUGCUGGAUUUUGGUAAAGAUUAAUGUUUUGAGAGAUUUGAACAAAUAUUAUGCUAUUAUGUUAUUUUCUGGGAAAGUAUACAGGUUUUACAGUGAGGGGUUAGAAAUGUUUUAAAUGAAAUGUUUUGGAAAACUUUGGUUUUACUGACCCACUCAAUUUUGUUUUGCGCCCCUCCAGGUUCUAGUUAGCAGUUGGUGGCUCACGAGGUUUUCUUCGGCAUUCUGACAGACUUCCUACAUGUAGGACUCACCUGCGGGUGUUGUAAUUUAAUUAUAGUCCUACUUGACUGCACCUAGUAUUUAUGCUCUGAAAUUGUGUACUGCACACUUAAACUCACUCUAGCGUGCUAGUUGGAUAUUACUGCUAGUAGUUGGUUUUUAUUCCUUCGUAUUUCUCAUAACUUUUGCUUCCGCAUCGUACUUUUGGUUACGUCACGCUCACGUGACGGCCAUCACACCUUGAUUCUUGAAUCGGGGUGUGUCAUUAAGCUUAUGGCACAUUAAUUUUGUUGGAGUGAUGAAGGCUGAGUUAUAUUAUUAGCCCUAAAGCUUUAAGGGUAUGACUGAUAUUUUAAAACAUUGUUUCCAUGUUUUUGGGAUGGGCUUUAGUUGUUUUUUAUAUUUUUGUUUCUCCUUGACAUGCUUAAAAACUAGUAGAGUUUCUUGAAAUAUAGUAUUGUCUCUCUAUAUAGAGCUCCCUUUUUUUUCUAUUAUAAAUAAACGGUCCAAAUUUAAUUUAGAGUUUCUUAUUAUAUAGUCCUCAAAUUGAAGAUUAUAUUAUAGAAACUUUUCCAUUCCAUUGGAGAUGUUCUAAGAAAGACGUCCAUCACUUCUACCCCUUGUAUGAUUUUAUUUUGGGUGCUUAGUUGUUUCUAACCUCAACAGAAUAAAGUUAGAGAAAUUGAAUUAUAUGGUUUUACAAGAGAUAAUCCUGAAGUGGGAACGAAACUCCCAUGAAAAAAUGUAUAAUAACUUAAAUAAGUAUGGUGGCAUAAUGUUUAGUUUAUACAUGUGUUUUCAUUUGAUUAAUCAAUUAAGUAAAAUCUUUUUUAAACUAGAACCAGAUUGUAGUAAAAAUUAGAAAAAUGAGUUACCAAGUGAAGAGAAGACCGCAUAGCGCAGUGGAUUAGCGCGUUUGACUUCGGAUCAAAAGGUCGCGGGUUUGCCUCCCACCAAUACUUCAUUUGUAGAUAUUCUUAAUUUUUUGUUUCACGGAAAUAGCAGCUGCAUGUUCAGUUUAUUCACCACCCACUUUAUUCUCACAUGGUUCAAUUUGUGGAUGUAAUUAUUUCCAUUGGAUUUUAAUUCCGUAUCUCCACAAUCACAAUGCAGCAGAAACAGUUUGUAAAUUUUCUGGGGUUUGAGGCAUUGAGCUGCCUGGUCUAAGCAUAAAUGUAGGACUUUAAUAGAACGGACAAUCGGAGACAUGAGUGAAUUAGACUACAAUUCUUUUUCUGAGUGUGCUGUGCAGUCACUGACUGACUGCAUGAAGAAUUUGAAUUGGUGCCGGAGUACUGAUACAUUUAUUUCCAACAAUGUCAAAUUAGGAAAUACGAAAAGAAACAAUCGUGCAUUGGAUGAGUAGGGUUGUGUAGGGAUUUUCAAGUUAAACACGGAUAAUCCAAGAACCUCGUCCUCAAGUACAAUCUAUUCAUACAGAUACUCAAGUAGAGAUGCAGAAACUUGUAAGAACAUAUUGAAUAUUGAAUCUUCUAUAAAUCCACUGAACUCCACGAUCGAUACUAUACACUGAACAUGUGUGUACAAGGGAAUCACAUUCGGACUCAAGAUCUGUGUUACAUACAAAUCAUUUUCACUACUCCCUCAACGUCCUACUUGUAUAAUGCAUUUGAUAUCGGGGAAAAUUUUUGAAGUCCAAGAGGAAGAGAGCCAAAGAACAACUGGCUUCAAAGGAUGAUGGUAUAGGAAGACUCAAAAUAAUCGGAAAAGAAGAUUACCGCAAUUAAAAUAGUUCACUAUCUUUACUCGGCAACCUUUUUCCUCCUACCACCACGUCUUGGAGUAAGAGUGACAAGCUCUUCAGCCUCUUCCGGUGGUUGCUAAUUAUUUACAAGGUCUUUUGACGAAUUAUAAUUAAUUUAUAAUUAAUUGAUAAUUAAAGCACAUCCAAAGCCCAACUCCAAGGGUGAGCCCAAUUUUAUUCUCCAAGGUCCAUCACUCCAAUCACUUUCUAUAAGGGACAAAGCCUUAUAAAGUAAGGAAACCUUGUGGUGGUGAGCAAUGUGGGACAAUGAAAUUCUACUCAAAAUUUCCAACAAUUUGUCUUCUUCAGAAGUUCUUUUGCUGCAGAAAGCUCACCAGCAACCGCAUCACCACUUAACAUAGCCUCAUCAAGGGUCCUCUGUAGUGAUUCCCUAACUCCAGUAAACUCGGCCCGAACCCUAGAGAUCUCAGCUUCAAGUUUCGUGUACAAAGUUUUUGACUAUUUUAAUUGAUUUUCCAUAUUGGAAGCUUAACUUCUUGAUUUUGCAAGAGCUUCCUGAGUGCUCUAGAGUUCAUGUUUCAAAUUCGUUUCAAUUUUCAAUUCUCUAUCCAGAAGUUCCUUUAAGUUUUCAUUCUCUCGGGUCAAAUUAGCAAUUAAUUCUUUGUUUCUACUUGUGUCACUCAGAGCAAGUUCAAGCUUUUUCUUUAGCUGUUGAAAUUUCUCUUCCCUUUCUCCCAAAAGCUUAGCAUCCAAAUCCGCCUUUCUACAGGAGGAUGUUUUCAGAUUAUUGUAUUCCUCCUGAAUAGAUGAAACUCCCUCUUCGAAUCAUCUAAUUCAGAAGUUAAAGAACUAACUGUUGCAUUCAGUUCAUCGAGAGAGGAAUUCUUCAAUUCUAAUUCCUUUUGAUUUUUCAAGAGUUCAUCUUUCAACAUUUGACUAUCUGAAAGUGCAUUGGUUAGUUCAUCCAUCAUUUGAUUGUAGGUAGCUUUCAAGUCCCUCAACUCCAAAUCUUUUUCGGCAAGGAAUAGCCAAGACUUCAGACAUUGUUUUCUGUAUCCUUGAUUUCUGAAUUAAGCUAAUCAAUCAUCCCCUGUAGGACUUCAAUUGAGUUUUGCUUUUCCUUCAAAUUCUCUUCAAGUACUACCUUUUCUUCUCCGGCCUUUGAAAGGUUGGUUUUAAUACUGUCAAUUUGAAUUUUAAGCUCCUCAAUCAAUUUCUUUUCACCAUUUAACUCCUUUCCUAAGCUUGCAAUUGUACUUUUUGCCAAACUCAGUUCGCUUGUUAAAGAAUUUUGCUCUUCCUUUGCCUUUGCAAGUUGCUUGCUCCAUUCUUCUUGUUCACCUAGUAACUGAGAUUCAUAGCUCUUCCCCAAUGAAACAAUAGAAGCUUCCUUUUCUUUCAGCUUGGUCUUCAUCUAUGCAUUUUUAACCAAAGUAAAUGUGGGUUAAAUCAAACAAAGUAUCUAAAAGUAUUUUUAUGAAUAGAACCCAAAUGUAAAUGUGUGUAAAAGGGAAUCACAUUCGGACUCAAGAUCUGUGUUACAUAAAAAUCAUUUUCACUAGUCCCUCAACGUCCUACUUGUAUAAUGCAUUUGAUAUAGGGGAAAUUUUUUUAAGUCCAAGAGGAAGAGAGCCGAAGAACAACUGGCUUCAAAGGAUGAUGGUACAGGAAGACUCAAAAUAAUCGGGAAAAGAAGAUUACCGCAAUUAAAAUAGUUCACUAUCUUUACUCGGCAGCCUUUUUCCUCCUACCACCACGUCUUGGAGUAACAGUGAUAGAUGUGGAGCCAAAAAUAAUCACAAGGCAACACGUGGAUUUUUGGACAAAAGAGGACAAAAUUACCCUCAAGGCACACUGUAUUUCCUACGCGCGAGCAGUGGACAAUCAUUGGUCAAUCAAGCCAAGAGUGCCGAAAAUAGGUAACAAAUCCAAAGUUAUUUCAUCCAUCCUCAUCCUAUAUUGUCCACAGGGUAAUUAUUUCAUAACCUUCAAAACAUACCUUAUAAAUUGUGUUAAUUGCCAAAUAAAUCACCCAUUACACUAAAAAAUUACCCAAAAGGCCGGCCAUUCUCUCUCCCAAGAGAGCCGGCCAUGCUCUAUAUAUUGAACCCCAUUUUCUCUAAAAAGCUAAGUACACACUCUUGCAAAACUCCAAAAACUCUUUAAACACUUUUCUCUCUAAAUUCUAACUUUGGCAUCAGAGGUUCUUCGGCCAAAGCCCCCCCAUUCAUCGUGGGCGCGUGAGGCUUUUGGCCUUAACUAAAUGUGUUAAUUGUUUUGUAGGUGCAAUUUUGUCCAAGAUCAAGGAGGAAGAAAUUUGCAUCCACAAAAUGGUGCUUUGAUUGAGAGAAGAGUCACACACUCGUAAAAGACUCAUGCAUCAAAAGGUUUUUCUAUUUUCUUGUCCAUUUGUAGAUUUUUUGUACGUUCUUAUUAUUAGAAAUUUUUAUUUGCAAAGAUUCUUUGAUAAAACGUAAAAGAGAAAUACAAUGGCUAGAAUUUUAGAAAAUUCCAUAAGUGAAAAUUCCAAUAUUCAAGAAAUGGGACCACGACAAUCCACGAGGCUAAGUGUGAUCAUAGGAGCGGCACCAUCGCUACGGGGCUCCACCAUGGCAACCACCGCGGUGGCCACCACGGUCACCACUACCCAUGGUGAGGUCCAUGGCACCGCUACCACUGCCCGAGCCGUGCCAUCCAAGGCUCAAGACACAAAGGUCACUGCCCAAGCCAUGUCACUUCAAGCCCAAUGCGAACUUAACGCGUUGCCAAGCUAAACCAAAGCCUUGCACCCGUGUGCAUCACACUCCGAGCAACAUGUUUCCGUCGAGCAGCCCACUCUCAUAGCCCAGCCUCUCUCUCCGAGCAGCCCACUUUCGUGGCAUUCCAAGCAGCCUAAAUUGAUCCAAGAUUAGUUCAACUAUCCUGGCUCCAAAUUUCCAGAUUGACGAUCAAACCAAGAGCAUUUUCACCACAUUUUUCUGCGGAUUUGGCAUUUCCCAACUCAAAUCUCGCGCUUGGAGUCUACCACACUUCCACUGCUCAAGAAGAUGCAUUCCUUCCAAGCUAUUCCAACCCAAAUGGAGAACAACACUUGUCUCGACAAGUCAUAGAGUUGACGAACGCCCUCUCACAGCAGACAACUUUGGUGAACCAACUCUUACAGCGCAUCGAGAUGCAAAGUGUCCCACACGAGGUGUCCUGAAGUAGGACAAGGGCAGACAAAGAACCUUUGCAGCAGCGUCUCGGCAAGCAGCCACUUGACCAGCCACUAACCAAGCGUUCAGGCAGUGUACACUCCUGAUUGGGCCUCCGAGAUAGCGUAUACUUCCGUCUUAGAGCGCGAAUGAGCGUGCACUUUCGACUAAGCCCACAAACGAGCAUACAUUCACAGUUGGGGUCACACUCCAAUAGUCAACAUGAGCAACUUUCCAGGCGAAGUGUUCAUUCGCGGCUAAGUCCGCAAGGAGUAUCCUCCACCUCACAUCGGAGUAGGCAGCACGACAAAUUGAGAGAAGCAGUCACUCAAUUCGGCUCAAGUUUAACCGGCAGUCUGUGAAGAACUCGCUCGCCUGCUAGGAACGCGCUACACGCAUCACAUUCGUGGCAUAGACGAGCCAACAUAUGGAAAAGUAGCCUAGACCAAUAAGUCACUGUUGAGGGCAGCCGAGAGCUCCAUUACCUCAACAAAGGCAAAUUCAGGAAAAAGUAGAGAGACUCUUGACCAAGCGAUUGCGCAAUUUCCAAUGCAACAAGAUCAUCGAUGAGGCACUACGACGGAAAAUGACCAACAUAAGCAGGUUACUUUUCACCGAUGAGAUCGACCAGGCAGAGCCUUCACACGAGUUCAGCAUGCCACAUUUCACAUCUUUCAAAGGGGAUGAAGACCCGGAGAGACACUUAAAGCACUACCGAAGCACAAUGAUCCUCUAUCGAAACAACGAUGAUCUCAUAUGCAAGAUAUUCGCCACCACUCUACAAUGUGAAGCACAAGAUUGGUUCUACACCCUGCCGCCACAAUCCAUUUGGAAUUUCGACGAAUUUUCUUUGGUUUUCACCAAAGAAUAUUCAUCCUAUCGCUCAAUAAAAAAGAAGUCCGACCAUUUGUUCCACGUCAAGAAGAACCCAAAGAAGUCGUUUUGCAACUAUGUAAGGAGGUUCAAAGCAGUGAAAGCAAGGAUAGUCGGAUGCAACAACUUAAUAGUUAUAACAGCCUUCCAAAAAGGACUUCUAGCAGACCACCUGCUAUUCGGAAAAUUGAUCAUGAAAGAAGAUUUAACUCUGGCAGACUCUUUCGCUCUGGCAGAGAAGCAUGCACUUUGGGACGAGGCUCGCCAAUGCACAUUCAAGGACUUGAAGAAGUACCCGACAUCACCUCCCUACUAUCCAAACCGGAAGCAGCGGUGGACUUAUUCGCAUGUUUGACGGUAUCUAAAGCAGCAUUAAGCCCUACCAUCAUGUGAGAAGAGCUGGGGGCCCAACUACCUGUAUUCUACAGUUCAAAAGCUCUCCUCGAUGUUAUUAAAAAUUCAAAAGAUAACUUUGACGAUAGUUGUUGUAACUUGGAAGCUCAAGUUUUACCUUCAAACGCAUGCAGUCAUCCUUAUGACGCAGUAUUUCGCCUAAUCCAGACACGCAACGAUAAAAGCGUAAGACCUUGGCGAAUGCAAAGUUUUUUGAUGAACUCAACAACUCGACCCAAAAGACGCACCAAGGGCAAACGAACAUUGGAAGGACACACUCGAAAGCAAGUUUUGUCUUUGUCGCCCUAAAAGAUUCUACAUAGAGCAACAUGUACCGGUAGUUCAACACCACUUCCUACUAUGUGUCACACGGUCCCAGCCGACCCUUGCUUUAUAAUUCAACUCUAAAAUGGUCCAAUACCAGCAUUUGAGCAUCCUCUGCUGCAUGUAAUAUGGCUCUAGCUCCAUGGCUCCCUACCACGCAUUCAUGACGCAACAGAGCGGCCCAACGACUCCCCGAAGGUAGCAGAGCGCGCCCUAGCCGCGCCUGCUCCACCCUAUGGAGACUUUUGGUAUUUGCAUGUCCACAUCGCAUCCAAUUACAAAGGUUUAAGAGCAGGCGUAGUCCUUGUCAUCCAGACAAUUCGAUGUCUAGGUUUCAAAGUAUCCAACAACAAAGCAGAAUACGAUACCCUAUUAGCAGGCUUCCGAAUGGCAAAAGACUUGGCAGUGAAAAAGCUCGCAAUUCAUUCUGAUUCCCAGCUAAUCACUAGCAAGACUGCUUUGGUUUUAAUAAUGUCAAUUUGAAUUUUAAGCUCCUCAAUCAAUUUCUUUUCACCAUGUAACUCCUUUCCUAAGCUUGCAAUUGUACUUUUUACCAAACUCAGUUCGCUUGUUAAAGAAUUUUGCUCUUUGUUUGCCUUUGUAAGUUGCUUGCUCCAUUCUUCCUGUUCACCUAGUAACUUAGAUUCAUAGCUCUUCCCCAAUGAAAAGAAGCUUCCUUUUCUUUCAGCUUGGUCUUCAUCUGUGCAUUUUCAACCAAAGUAAAUGUGGGUUAAAUCAAACAAAGCAUCUAAAAGUAUUUUUACGAACAGAACCCAAAAGUAAAGGAGUAUGAUCUUUCGAGCUCAGAGACUCGUACAUUAACGGGAUGCAUUUCUAUAAAAUAGAGAAACCAGGAAAGCAAAAGGGACCACCAGAGUGAGGAUCGUUUUCAAGGAAGCAUUUAAGAACACAAAAUUGGGAAACAAGUUAAAACACUCAUUACAUUAAAGUUCCUUUUCAAAGAGACUAGACUUUCGUCAGCAUCUAUGGUAUGUCUGUGUUGUCUCAGCAUGUAAAGAAAAGCUUUCUAUGGUAUUGAAUAGAGACUUACAGAUUCGACUAUGGCAUCAGUGACUUUCUUUUCUGACCGAGUCAAUGCAUAGAGCGCACCAAGGACACCAUAACUAAAAAUACCAAUGCCAUUCAGGAGAGACAAAACGUGAUUUGGUGCUGCAUUUGUUUAAAGUGCUUCUUGUUCAAUGAAUAACCCACUUUAGAAAAUUAAGCCUUAUAACAAAUAAUUAACAAAAUAAAAAGGAAAGAUAUUAAAUACAGAUUUCUUUAGGGAGUCUAGUAGACAUUCGUAAUUUCGUACCUCUGUGUUUUUACUCCCCACUGGUGUCUUUAGCUCACUUUCUUCUGGAAAAAAAAAGGAAAUAAAGGAACUAAUGCAUAAACCGCAUGAAAUAAGAUGGAAACUUGUUACAAAAGAUAAUAAUUUAUAGUAACACCAGUCCAUUUUAAGAAAAGAACUAAAAAUGCAGCGCAUUGUAAGAAUCUUUGUAAAAAGAAUAUAUAAAGAGAAGGUUUAGUAAAUACCCUAAACUACCUUUGAAAUAUUAUUGCUUAAUUAAUAGGAUCCGCACAUAUAUCCUAACUUUGCGCAUUUAAAGGAUAUGAACUAUGUUUUGUGAAACCCAUUAGGCCUAAGCCCAGGAACCAAGCCCAGACCUGGACCCGAAUCUGGCCCAACCUAGUCGGAUCCCAAUAUCCUAGGCCGCUUGUGGGCCUGCACGUGGGUGCGCAUGGGUGCUUGCCUUGGUCGGCGCGUGGAGCACUCGUGCCUCUACCGGAGGUACUGUGCUCCGCCAUCGUCCACGGCGGUGUCGACGACUUUUCUGGUGACCUAAAAUGGCGCGUGAGGACCUGUGCGGUAGGGCAUGGGGGUACCUGAGGUCUCCCACAUGUUUUUCGACGUCCUGAAUCUGUUUAUGAUGUUCUUUUCUUGAAAUUCAAUCGUUUGAGUAUAGUUUUAUUAAUUAGACCCUUUAUGUGCUUAGGUGUAUUUAUUGCAGCGUUUCAGUCUUCGCUAGUUGCAUGACUUUUCGACGGCGAAUUAUCUAUAAGUGGACCCCUUCCAAAAUGCAUAAUUUUACUAUUAGAAAUGCAUACAUGAAAAGCAUGACUUAAUGGUUACGUUUUGAUGUGAAAAUAUAUAAGCACACAAAUUAAAACCCUCUUUUGACAAUUGUAGUAUAUGUAUAAGUAGGGAUCGUUCUGGACCGAGGAUUAGGAGAGAUUGCUAAUCUAUGCUAAACUAACUUUAAAACACAAAACUAGGCUUAAAAUACUUAACUAGACUCAAAGAAUGGAAAACUAGACUCUAAUACACUAAAACAACUCAAAUGACUCAAACAGCACAAAACAAGCUAAUUAGACUCAAACUAGACACUAGGAGUAAAUUUGGACGAAAAUUGGUUUUACUUUGACUCAAAACACUUAAAAACACAAACGAAAACAAUUUCUAACUAAUAUGACUCAACAAAGUAAAGGGGGAUUUGGUUUUGACGAAUUUAAAGCAAAAACAAAUAACUAAAGACUUAGAAUAGAUUGUAAACGAAUUUGGGAAAUAAGAUGGUUGAUGGAUUAGCUAGAGGUCCAUUCUUCACACAUGACACUCUUGUACAUGAAUCGAUUUCCAAUUGCUUUUCAAUAAAUUAUGAAGCUCAACACCCCAGAUUAACCGUGAUGCACUAAUUAACCCUCAGAUUUUCCUUUACUUAUUGAAUUGGAUGAAUGCAUGCGACAACCCAAAUCAUUCUCCAAAAGUCCCCUAUAUGAAUGCAUAAUAGAGAUACAAUCAAAGAUAUUUACGGUCCAUGAAAAUCAUAAGUGUUGACAAGACAUUCGUAACUGUGAAUGCAUGAUACAUUGGCCAAGAAUUCAAUUAACGCAAUUGUGAGUAGCAACCUUUACUACUUAUGAAUAUAAAUUUGUAACGAUUAGGUGAAACUCAUUUAUAUUCUAGCAUUAAAUUCAUGCAUGAAAACUAAGUAUGCAUCCCUAAUUAACAUACAAGAAUCAGUUUGGAAGAAAACAGUUAAUUAAAUUGCAUUCACAACUUAUCAAAUCACAAUUGGAAGAAAUCAAUUCAUAUCUCAAGGAUGUUCAUGGCUUCGAAUCUCCCCCUAGCUAAAUAGGGGUUUAGCCACUCAUGUUCACAGCAAAACAAAAGAAAAAAAAAAUUAAAACACUGUAAACAUAGAACGAAUUACACCUAGAAUGCUCCAACAAUCAACCUCGAACAUCCAAAAGGCCUCCCUUCUUUUUUUCUUGCUGCGGCACAAAGGUGGAUGAAGUGUAUGAGAUGAGUUUUGUGAUCAGGAAUAUGUUUUUGGUUGAAUAGGGCUGCGGCAAGGAUGUAUGGUGGUGGAGAAUGAUGUAGAAUGGUGAAUUGUUGCGACUGAGAGGUGUUUCUAAAUGGUAGAAGGGUGUGUGUCGAAUUUUGGCUGAAAAACUUAUAUUUAUAGGCUAGGGUUUUCACAAAUCCUGAUGGGAAAAAGCUAGGGUUUUGUAGAAAAAGGCUUGGCCCAAUCCAAGGUGGAAAAGAACUAGGGUUUGUGGAAAAUUUUUAGGCUUCUAGAAAGAGAAUAGGCACCACUUUUUUAGGCUUCUAGAAAGAACAUAUUUUGUGGCAGAAAUUAGGACUUCUAGAAGGGUUUGGGGCGUCACCUUUCUAGGUCUUCUUGAAAGGUGGGUGCGGCAUGUGUUUAAGGGAAGAUAUCGGCCUUCUAAAAGGGUUUUAGGUGCCUUUGCAGCUGACUAUUCAUCUUCCAAGUCUUGAAUUGAUUUCUCCAUCUCUUUAGCACGUUCCUAGCUUCACUUGAUCUUCAAAAACGUCCAUUCCGGCCCAUAAUUGCUCUAAAAUGCUUCAAAAUGCACUUUCUUGCCAACUUUGCCAAUUAAAUCUACAAACAAACGAAAAUAGCUUAAAUCACUAUAAUAAACACAAACUAACUAUGAAAAUGUAAGAAAACAAGCUAAUUAAGUCGCAUAAAUAUGCUCAUAUCACGUUUUAUGAAAUGUUUAUGAUUAAAUUGGUUUUACGCUUUAUGAUAUUUCAUGAUUUAUCGAAUUUACGUUCUUUGUGGUAUAUAUGAUUGAUGACUAUAUACUAUGAAGAUGAUUUAAGAUAUGAUGUUUGAGCUACUAAGCUCUGUUGAGAUAUAUAUACUUAUAUUCUGGAAAGAUUAUGUUCAAUGAUUUUUAUGUUUAUCUAGUGGUCACUAUGUUGUGCCUACGGGCAUAUGAUCUGCCUACGGGCGACUGAUCUGCCUACGGGCGACUGACCUGCCUUCGGGCGAUACUCAUAAAUUUGCAUUUGCAUAUCAAGCUUAUUUUUCCAGAUUCCUUAUGUGUAGUGCAGUUGUCUAGUAAAAAAUUUCGUCUAUUAUCCAGUUGUCUAGGCACACAAAUUAAGACAGCCCACAUGGGCCAUCUAACACUUUUUUCCCAAAAAUGGAUUUUCAGCCCUAGGUCUUUCUAUAUUGAUUUUACACAUGACACGUGACUUUUCAUCCCCUAUCUUUGUCUGACACUCAGCCAUCUUUAUAAAGUCAUUCUAGGGCUUAUUUGCUGUUGGGAAUUUGAGAUUGGAAAAGUUUUUAGAGUUUUAUUUUCAUCUCUACCUCAGAUCUCCUAGGAGCAUCAAGCAUAUUUUAUGUGCAAUGUUCUUCAUUGAAUAUUUCUAAACCUAUCUUUGAAUUGCUUGCUUAAAUUCAUUUUAUAUGCUCUUUUGUUUUGGCUAGGAGUUUUACACUUUUAGAAAAAAGUUGAUUUUAGUUUUGAGCUACCUCUUAUGUUUUUACUUGAAAACCCUAGCUACAAAAUCACACUUAUGCGCUAAAUACCCACCAUUGCAUAUUAGGGUAGCAUUGUUUUUGUGAUUUUGAUUUUUGUUUUAGGUUAAGUUUUCCAAGUUUCAAAUCUGUGAACUGACCUGUUUUGGAUUCUCAUCAAUUUCAUUUUUAAAGUGUUUGAUUGGUGAACUGACUAGACAUCGAAUCCAGAUUUGCAUAUCUUUGUCAUAUCAUCAUAUGUAUAGUUUGUGUGUUGGUUUCAGUGCCACAAGGUGAAGAGUUCAGGAAGAGCUAUCAUCUUGUGAACACUGAAGACAACACUAUUUCAAUUUCAUAAGGUGAAGAGCUCAGGAGGAGCUGUCACAUCGUGAAGAUCGAAGGAAUCUAUCUCGCUUAAAGAAAGGUUGCACAAAGGUAAAAUUGCUCCGUAGAUAGGGAUCUAGGAAUUGAGCUUGUGUGGUCUUUGUACGAACCUUUGUUUACACUAGUGGAUGCAACUACUAAAGUGCAGUGGACGGUUGUAAUAUUUUGUGUAUGUUUUAAUUAAAAAAAAAAAAAGCUUUCAACCUUUUAUGUUUAAAUUGUACAAAUUAAACAUUUCAUCUAUAAACCUUUUCGAACCUCUGUUCUCAAUAAUGUUAAUGUUUUGUGAUACCAUUUUUGCAUCUUUCAAACACAGUUUUUAAUACAGUUUUCAAACCUCUGGCAAUGCGCGUGUGACCCAUUCUAGUAUAUAUUAAAUGACAUGAACGAAAUUAAAACUUGAGCAAUGAAGUUUCCAUAAUGCUGGCUCUUGACACCCUUGAGUUUUAUUUCCAACUUGCAUCUAUGUUGAUUUUCACUCAUAGAGAUAAUAGGGAGAACCAAGUAGGCAGGAGAUACUUGUCUGCUCUCCACUUUUCUUCUGAUUUGUAUUCUUCGUUGUUGUCGUUCUAAAUUCACAUCAAGCCAUUAUAAAGGAUAGGGUAGCCUGCACAUGAGAAGGGGGCCUUGUAUUCAAUUAAACAUUAAUGAUCUAAGUUAGUUAGAGAGCUUUACUAUAUAUGUUCAGGUGAGGGGGCUUUGUGCAUCCAUCUUGGAUUCAACUACAAAACUGAUGUAUAAUCUUGUAUAAGUAUGUGCAUACAUCACACUUCCCACAACAGAUACAUAAAGUAUACUUUACCUCUCUCUCACUUUCUCAUUUUGCAAGUCCAAAAGAUCUUUCUAGAAGAACAAGUCUCUCACCGAACGCCUCUAGCACCAUUUGACCUCGCACGCUAUAAAACCUAACACCAAUUCCCAACAUUAAAAAAUAAAUUCAAUUUAAUUAAAUUAAAUCAUAAGAAGCAUAGAUUUGAGGAAUAAAUUUCUGUAUAUAUUCAUCAAACAAGAAUUACAGCUUUAUACAAAGACUACCACGAUACUAUCAUAUUUUAUUGCCUAUAAAUAAGGCUAAUUAACAACUAAACAGGAAAGUAAAUAUCAAUACACGAUAUUGAAUAAUUAAUCUGAGAUUCCUUCCUUACACUCCCCCUCAAGUUAGAGUGUAUGUUAAUGACAGUCAACUUGUUGAGCAACAUUUCAAACUAUGUCGAACUCAAUGGUUUGGUGAAUAUGUCAACUUGCUGAUCACCUAUCUGUAUGUAGGUUGUACGUAUCAUUCCUCUUUGAACCUUCUCUCGCACUAGGUGACAAUCAAUCUCUAUGUGCUUUGUUCGUUCAUGAAAAACAGGAUUCGAAGCAAUGUGUAUGGAGGCUUGAUUGUCGCAAAACAAUGAAACCGGUUGUUGAUGAUUUACUUCCAAAUCGUUUAAGAUAUUUCUCAGCCAUGUAAUCUCACAAUACGUAGUGGCCAUAGAACGGUAUUCGGCUUCUACGCUAGAGCGAUAUACAGUGGUUUACUUAUUAGUUUUCCACGAAAUUGGUGCUUGGCCAAGUAAAACACAAUAACCCGUUAUCCAUUGUCUAGUAUCUUUGCAUCUAGCCCAAUCAGCAUCACAAAAUGCUCGUAACUGUAAUGAUCUUGUGGAAGGAAAGAAAUUACCUUGCCCAAGUGCCUGUUUAAUGUAUUUUAGUACUUUGUGUGUGGCAUCAAGAUGUGGUUGCUAAGGCUUAUCCAUGAACUAACUUAACACAUGCAUGGCAUUGGCCAAGUCUGGUAUUGUUAUUGUCAAAUAUAUCAAUCUACCCACAAGUCUUCUAUAUGAUGAAGGAUCGUCCAAUAACCGUCCUUCCAUUUGCGUGAGGGCCAAAUUUUGGUCUAAGGGAAACCGGGAAGGUUUCAUGCUUAAAAACCCAACAUCAUCCAAUAUCUUUUGCGCAUAUUUGCAUUGACAUAGAGUGAUUCCAUGCUUUGAUCGUGCAACUUCUAUCCACAAGAAAUACUUGAGCACCCCCAAGUUUUUCAGUUUAAAAUGGUGAGAGAAACUGUUUAGUCUUUUCAAUUUCACGUAAAUCGUUCCCUGCCAAUAUUACGUCGUUAACAUAGACCAGUAAAGCAGUGAAUAUACCUUGACGACUUCAGACGAACAAUGAGUAAUCAGACAAAGAUUGUUCAAACCCAGCAACCUUGAGAGCAUUGGAUAAUUUGAUGAACCAUUGCCUCGAAACUUGCUAUAAACCGUAAAAAGAUUUGUGCAACUUGCACACUCGAGUCUCCCCCUUUCGUCCGAAACUAGGAGGCAAAGUCAUGUAAACAUCCUCUUCCAAGUCACCAUUUAAAAAAGCAUUGUUCACGUCUAGUUGAUAAAAGGUGUUAACCUUGCAAGGCUGCAACAUUGAGGAGGACAUAGAUUGUGGUCAACUUAGCCACGGGAGCAAAAGUGUCAUGGUAAUCAACCCCCUCGAUUUGACUGUACCCCUUUGCAACAAGAUGUGCCUUGUACUGUUCGAUUGUCCCAUCGGGUUUGAGCUUCACCUUAUAAACUCACUUGCAUCCAAUAGGGCCUUUAUGAGAAGGAAAAGGCAUGAGCGUCCAUGUGUUAUUUGCAUGGAGGGCAGCAAGCUCAUGUUGCAUGGUAGCAUGCCAAUGUGGAUCUUGGACAGCCUGGGAAAAGCUAGUAGGUUCCUUAAAGAGGGUGAGAUUAACAGUAUAUGCUUUAUAUGUGGGUAAGAGAUGAUCAUAGGAUAAGUGAGUAGCGAUGGGAUGAGAGGUACUUGACUUAACCACGUUCGUUGAAGAUGCGGGAGCAGUCCUUAAAGGGAGAUAGGCCUUGACGUGAAAGUCAUGCAAAAAGGAUAAGGGUUUUGUGGGUCGGGUACCGCGGCGGAGUAGGGGUGGGGUAAGUGUAGGCGAGGGUGCUGUGGGAUUUGAAGGUAAAGGCAUGGAGGUGGGGUGGUGGUAUCAUCUAAGGGAGGAUUGGAAAGUGAAGGUAGGGAAGACAUGAGAGAUGAGGUAUGAGUAGCAUCUGAAGGUGAAUGGGAUCAUUGGAGGAAGAGAGAGGUUGAGACGAUGCAAAGAAAUGAUCCAUGUCAAAGUGGAGCAAGGAGGCAGGAGGGUGAGGUGGAGUGGUAAAGGCAGCGGAAUUGUCUAAGUGUUGAUAAGGGAAUUGGUCUUCGAAGAAAAUGACACCCCUGGAGACAAACACUUUUUGAAGAUGAAGAUCAAAUAGUUUAUAACCUUUUUGACCAUAAGGAUACCCUAGAAAAAUACAACGACGCGCACGGGGAUCAAACUUGGAAGGUUUUUGUGCAUGAGUGGAUGCAAAACAAACACAACCAAAGACCCGUAAGUGUGAGUAUUUGGGUGGUUUUUGAAACAACUUUUCAUAUGGUGUUUGCCCAUGAAGAAUGGGUGUUGGUGUGCGAUUAAUGAGAUAUGCUGAAACAAGGAUUGUGUCCCCCAAAAAUCGUUUAGGUAAAUGAGCUUGGAAAAGCAAUGCUCGAGCAACAUUAAGCAAAUGUCUAUGCUUGUGUUCAAUGAAACCAUUUUGUUGUGGUGUGUUGACACAACUAGUUUGAUGGAUGAUUGCUUCUAAGGCAUAAAACGUGUCAAGUUUAAACUCGGGACCAUUAUCACUACGAACCAUUUUGACUUUAGUGUUGAAUUGUGUUUCAACCAUAUGAAUGAAUUGGGUGAGAAGCCCCUUGGUGUCAGACUUAUGUUUCAGCAAAUUGAUCCAUGUGCACCUAGUAUGAUCAUCAACAAUGGUAAGGAAGUACUUGGCACCGAAAAGAGAAGACACUUGGUAACCACCCCAAAUGUCAACAUGUAUCAAUUCAAAACAUGAUGUGGUAGACAUGGAACUUAAAGAAAAAGGAAACCUUGUUUGUUUAGCCAAAGGGCAAAUUAAGCAUUGACUUAUGCCACAAGUUUUAUUGGAGACAAAAGGAAGUAACAUGGUAACUUUAUGGGAUAGGUGUCCUAGGCGUUGAUGCCAAAAGCUGGAAGGAGUGGUUUAGACGGCAUUGCAUGUUCCUUUCUUUGGUGGAUCAAGAUAGUAGAGUCCCUCCCGUUCAAUUCCCAUCCCAAUCAUCUUCCCUGAGAAUAAGUCCUGUAUGACACAAAAAUGGUUUAAGAAAAUCAUAAUGGAGAGGGAAUCAUAGGUUAAUUUGCUAAUAGAGAUUAAAUUUAACUUUAAAAGUGGAACAUAAAGGACAUUGUCAAGAAUAAGGUUAGGAGAAAAAAUAACUUGGCCAACAUGAGUGACCGUGGUAAUGGAUCCAUUGAGUAACUCAACGGUGUGAUUUCUAAUGGGCCUUGAGGACGUAAGGGAGUCGGGACUGCAAACUAUGUGAUCUGUAGCACCACUAUCCAAGAUCCAAACAUUUUUCUUGCCAUGAUGUAUGAAUGAAAAAGCUUUACCUGAAAGGUCUUCGUGAUGUGAGGAAUUACCAACGUGAUUGGCAAAAGAUGGUUUGUUCUUAUUCAACAUUUGGAGGAUUUGUUUGCAAUCUUCUUCAGAUAAUGGAAAAUUGGACAUCACCUCCUUAUUGGUCACGACAACUUGAUUUCCCUUGGAAGAACGACUUGGUUCGAUUUUUGUGGCUGAUUUUCUUUUGCGGCAAUACUCAUAUGAAUGGCCUUUCCAUCUGCAGAAAGUCCAUUUGAGAUGGGUACGGCAGUUCUUUGUGGUGUGGUUCGUCUUGUUGCACUUUCCACAUCGUAGACCACCUUCUUCGGAUUCCUUCUCUCAACUAGCACCUUUCACAACGAACACAAUAGCUUCUGGUUGGGCAAUGCUCUUUCCUCUUCAAACUUCGGCUUGCCUCUCAUGGCAAAGGACAAGUGAAUAAGCCUUGUUUAUAGUGGGCAAAGGCUCAAGAAGAAGAGUAUUGUUGCGAAUGGUAGAGUAAGAUUCGAUCAAACCCAUGAGAAACUUCAUCGUCUUCUAGGUUUCAAUGUAGGAGGUGAUCUCUUUCUUCGUGUCACAGCCACAAGUCGGGAUAGAACAAAGCAUGUCUCGUUCAUCCCAAAGGCUUUUCAGUUUGGUGAAAUACGAACUUACCGUCAUAUUGCCUUGUAUGUAGUCGUGAAUCUCGUUUUCUAUGUGAAAUAAUUGGACAAUGUUCAUAUGAUAAAACCUUUCUUGCAGGUCAAGCCACAUCUGCUGUGCAUCCUUGCAGUGCAUGACGCUCCCAUAGAUUUCCUUUGACAUGGAACCAAGCAACCACAUUUUCACCAGGUUGUUGCAUCGAUUCCAUUGUUGUAAUUCUUCAAAGUGUUCUUCACUUGGCUUCUUGAUCGCUCCAUCAACAAGCCCUAAUUUGUUUUUGACCGUCAAGGCUAUGGUCAUGGAUUGAGCCCAUGUACCUUAGUUAUCUUCCACAAUAGGCUAUGGCACAAGUAUUGCACCAAGUUGAUUCGAGUGGUGGAGGUAAAGUGGGUGAUUGGGAUUUUCCUACUUUUAAUGCGAAGUCAUGCCUAAAGAGAUUGACUUGUCUGGUUUGUCGCCCAUGGCUAUGUUUGCUAGGGUUUGUGUUUGUUUCUUUGUUUUUUAUUUUCCCAGAUAUCGUUCACUCUGGUACCAUCAUAAGAAGCUUAGAUUUAAGGAAUGAAUUUCCGUAUAUAUUCAUCAAACAAGAAUUACAACUUUAUACAAAGACCACCAUGAUACUAUCCGAUUCUAUUGCCUACAAAUAAGGCUAAUUAACAACUAAACAAGAAAGUAAAUAUCAAUACACGAUAUUGACUAAUUAAUCUAAGAUUUCUUCCUACUUUAAAAAAUAUAUAACAUGCGAAAAUUAUAGAAACGAAAAAGAAAAAGAAGGAAUUUUAACGCAAAGCUUCCAGUACUGUUUACUUUAACGAACCUCAUUUUUAUACUAAAAAGUCAAUCAUGAUACUAUUCACUUUAUCAUUUAUUUGGUCCUUAUCGUUAAAACUUUUUCAUUAGUGUAAAAAAAAAAAAAAAAAAAAAAAAACCCCAAGCCUCAUUAAGUUGAGCAUAUCUUCUUCUUCUUCUCCCCCCCCCUCUCUCUCUCUCUCGCAACCUUUUCUGUUUCUCCACAAAAGCGUUCCCGCAGAGGCUUCGAGAAACCCUACGGAAGCUCUUUGUCUCGCAACCUCCUCUGUUUCUGCACAAAAGCGUUCCCGCAGAGGCUUCGAGAAACCCUACCGAAGCUCUCUCUCUCUCUCUCUCCUCCCUCUCGCUCCUCGCGUCCUCAGACUCUCUGUGGAUCUCCCUCGAGGUACGGUACGCUCCCUUAAACCAUAGACUUUGCAUCGAAUCAGAUCUCUAUGUAAAAAUGUUGUUAGAUCUGAUGUAGAUUUUACUGUUUCCCGAUUUGGACAUUUUACUCUGGGUUUAGCCUCCGUGGGGUUUUAAGUGUUGAACUACCUCACUUUCUGCUUCGAUUCAAUUUUUUGCUUCAAUCUUUUGGGGUGUCUAUAUUUGGGUUUGAGCUAGAUUCGGUGAAUAUAUGAUUACAUUAGUUUGAGCAGAUUCUGGUAAUUAGAUAAUCAUGGGGUAUAUAGACUGCUUGGGUGAUUAGCGUUGGUUGGAAUUUGCAAUUAGGAUCGGUUAUUUUUAAUUUUUUUAAACAUUAUUGUUUUGUAUGUUAUGUAAUUUGAAUGGGGACAGGGGUUUUUAUCCAAGAUUUGCGGAGGUGUAAUUUGUGGUCUUAUUUUUCUGUUUCCUUUAGCUACUGUAUUAUUUAUUUCUGAUACUGUAAUCACCUUGAGGACGGUGAAGAUAUUCAUCGUCCGAUUUUUGGUUGUUUCUAUGAUUGAAUGGUAGUUUCCCUUGUGCUUUGUUUGAACUGGUGUUAUUUAUUUGGAAUUGAGUUUCAGUUGUUUAGUGUAUGUGGGUUCUUGCUUGAUUUGGAAUUUCAGUUUCAGUUGUUUAGUGAAUGUGGAUUCUUACAUGAUUUGGAAUUUUAGUUUCGGUUGUUUACUAAAUUUGGGUCUUAGUUAUUUUCCAGACUUAAAAUUCUGCAAGGAUGAGUGUGGUGGGGUUUGAUUUUGGCAAUGAGAGCGGCAUUGUGGCCGUAGCCAGGCAGAGGGGUAUUGACGUUGUGCUCAAUGAUGAGUCCAAACGUGAAACUCCGGCCCUUGUUUGUUUCGGUGACAAGCAGCGGUUCAUUGGGACAGCUGGGGCUGCUUCCGCAUUGAUGAACCCCAAGAACACAAUUUCCCAGAUUAAACGCUUGAUUGGUAAGCAAUUCUCUGAUCCUGUGUUGCAGAGGGAUAUCAAGUCCUUGCCUUUUGCUGUUUCUGAAGGGCCUGAUGGAUAUCCAUUGAUUCAUGCCCGUUAUUUGGGAGAAGCAAAGACAUUUACACCUACCCAAGUUCUUGGAAUGCUGUUUUCUGAUCUGAAAAUCAUAGCCGAGAAGAAUCUCAAUGCAGCUGUUGUCGAUUGCUGUAUUGGGAUUCCAGUGUAUUUUACUGAUCUCCAACGAAGAGCUGUUAUGGAUGCAGCAAAAAUUGCUGGAUUGAACCCUCUUCGCUUGUUCCAUGAAACUACAGCAACUGCUUUGGCUUAUGGUAUUUACAAGACGGAUUUACCAGAAAAUGACCAAUUGAAUGUUGCCUUUGUUGAUGUUGGGCAUGCUAGCAUGCAAGUUUGCAUUGCUGGUUUCAAGAAAGGGCAGCUGAAAAUAUUGGCUCAUUCCUUUGACCAGUCUUUGGGAGGUAGGGACUUUGAUGAAGUACUGUUCCACCACUUUGCAGCAAAAUUCAAGGAAGAGUACAAAAUUGAUGUUUUACAGAAUGCAAGGGCUUGCCUUCGCCUUCGUACCGCUUGUGAGAAGUUGAAGAAGAUGCUUAGUGCAAAUCCUGUGGUACCUUUGAAUAUAGAGUGUUUAAUGGAAGAGAAGGAUGUUAGGGGAAUUAUUAAGCGGGAUGAAUUUGAGCAGAUUAGUAUUCCUAUUUUGGAACGUGUGAAGGGACCUUUGGAGAAGGCCCUUCUUGAUGCACAGCUUUCAAUAGAGGACAUUCACACAGUUGAGGUUGUCGGUUCAGGCUCUCGUGUUCCUGCUAUAAUCAAGAUAUUGACAGAUUUCUUCAAAAAGGAGCCUAGGCGAACUAUGAAUGCAAGUGAGUGCGUUGCCAGAGGUUGUGCUUUGCAAUGUGCAAUUCUUAGUCCAACAUUCAAAGUUAGAGAGUUUCAGGUGAGUUUAACUCUUGCUUUGUCUGUGAAUUUGUUUCCAUUAGUUGAAUCAAUCUGUAUAAUGUCUGACCUGCUGGCUUUUGCAAAAAAUUAUGUUUUGUUAUUAACUAAUGCUAUCCCAUUUAAUAUGCAGGUUAAUGAGAGCUUCCCAUUUUCAAUUUCCUUGUCCUGGAAAGGUUCUGGUCCAGACGCUCAGAACGGAGCAGCUGAGAACAACCAAAAUACCCUUGUUUUCCCCAAGGGAAAUCCUAUCCCAAGUAUCAAGGCCCUUACAUUUUUCAGAUCGGGCACUUUUUCAGUUGAUGUGCAGUAUGCUGAUGUUAGUGAUUUGCAGGCACCUGCAAAAAUCAGCACAUAUACGGUGAGUGGCAGAUUGAAUAUUGGAUCUUAAACUUGUGCGCUCUAAUUUCUCUCAACGCUAUAAGGUCAUCUGCCAGAUAUUUCCUAACAUUCUACUACACUAUACAUGUGCAGAUUGGUCCUUUCCAGUCUGUUAAAAGUGAGCGAGCAAAACUAAAGGUCAAAGCUCGCCUAAAUCUGCAUGGGAUUGUGUCUGUAGACUCAGCAACUGUAAGAUUGUUAAAAGCAUUUUGUGCUUCUAGAUGUCUUUGGUUGAUUAUCUUUCUAAUUCUAUUUGUUUUUCUUCACAUGCUGUAGCUUUUGGAAGAAGAAGAAAUUGAGGUUCCUGUCACAAAAGAGCAAACAAAGGAGGCUGCUAAGAUGGAGACUGAUGAGGCACCCAGUGAUGUGGCUCCCCCAAGUACCAAAGAGACUGAUGUGAGCAUGCAAGAUGCUAAGGACACUGCUGAUGCUCCAGGUGCUGAAAAUGUUGUUCCCGAGUCCGGGGAAAAGCCUGUGCAAAUGGAAACUGAUGCGAAGGUCAGUUUUCAUGAUUCAUGUGUUUUUUCCAUUUGUUAUUUUCCUGGACCGCAACAUUUUUUUUUUUUGGGGGGGGGGGGGGAGGCAAAUAGUGUUUAGCUACUCAAUUUGAGUCAGCUAUAUGUGGGACUAAGGAAAUGAAUGACUUAUGCCUAACUUUCUACGGUUUGCUUUGAUAUAGUCCACUGGUGCUAAGCUUUUCCGUGAUCAUUCUUUUCAUGUUCAAUCACGUUAACAACAGGGAAGGGUUGUCAAAAGUCAUCAUAAUCUUUAACUUAUAUAAUCUACAUUUAAUGUCACCACAGAGAAGAUAAGGGAUGAUGGACUGUACUAAGUGUUGUUUAAAAAUUCAGUUUUGGAAUGGUCAAAUGUUAUCAGUGGUUUUAUUUGGUUCUAUUUGUGGGUUCUGUACUCUUAAUGUCUUGGUUUUUGGAAUGCAGGCUGAUGCUAAAAAGAUAAAGGUAAGGAAAACAAACAUUCCUGUGACAGAGUUAGUUUAUGGAGGGAUGCCACCAAAUGAAGUGCAGAAGGCAAUUGAGAAGGAGUUUGAAAUGGCCUUACAAGACCGUGUUAUGGAAGAAACAAAAGACAAGAAAAAUGCUGUAGAGGCAUACGUCUAUGACAUGAGAAACAAGGUAGUUUGCUUGUAUGUUCGUGACACAUUUUCCUUUUUAUUUUACCAUUUUUUUUUUUUUACUAAAUUUCUCUUUUGUAUUGCCAGCUCAAUGACAAGUAUCAUGAAUUUGUCACUGAAUCUGAGAGGGAAGCGUUUAUUGCUAGACUUCAGGAGGUGGAGGACUGGCUGUAUGAAGAUGGUGAAGACGAAACCAAAGGAGUUUACAUUGCCAAACUUGAGGAGCUGAAGAAGGUGAGGAUUUUCUUUUAAUGUGUUUUGGUGCGAAGUUCUCUAUUUUCUCUUGUCCAACUUGAUGUCGUUGGUUUUGAUUCUUUUGAGCGUUGGUGAAUUUUUCAAAUUCCAGCAAGGUGACCCCAUUGAAGAGCGAGUCAAGGAGCAUGCGGAGAGGGGAACAGUGAUUGAUCAACUUGCUUACUGUGUCAAUAGUUACAGAGAAGCUGCAGCAUCAAAUGAUGCAAAAUUUGAACACAUUGAUCUGGCCGAUAAACAGAAGGUAAGGGACUCGAUGAGCUGUCUUCCCCUUCCCCAGUCUCCACCUUUUCAACUCACAAUAUUCUUUUUGUGUUGUUUAGGUAUUGAACGAGUGUGUUGAAGCCGAGGCCUGGUUAAGAGAGAAAAAGCAGCAACAGGAUCUGCUCCCCAAAUAUGCCAACCCAGUACUCUUAUCAGCUGAUGUGAGACGGAAGGCUGAAGCAGUUGACAGGUACUAUUUCUUGCAUUGAUAAAUUUGUUUUCUUUGGUUAGUUGACGAACUGGUUGUCUUAGACAACAAAAACCUAUUUGCUUAUUCAUAAAGUCUUUUGGAAGCCUUUGGGAUAUCUGACAGUGGUAACCUUUUCUUAUAUCCACUUUUGUUGACAGGUUCUGCAGACCAAUAAUGACGAAACCCAAACCAGCACCAGCCAAGCCAGCUGCUCCUGAAACUCCACCAACCCCACCUCCUCAGGGAAGUGAGCAACCUCAGGGCGGAGAUGCAGAUGCCAAUCCCGGCCCCAUGGAGAAUCCUGCUGAUGGCGACAAUGAGGCCCCACAGGCUACUACAGAACCAAUGGAAACCGACAAGCCAGAAGCUCCACAAAGUUCUGCGUAGUUCUGUAGAGUAUCCGCCUUUCUAUGGUUCUUAUGGCGUUUCGGUUGUUCUUAUGGUCAGGAUUUGAUUCGUUAGCAUAAUACACUUUCAUUUUGAGCCUUAAAACACGGUUUGGACGGAGAGGGAGAGGCCCGUGGUGUGCUAAAUGGAUGAUAUACCUCUAGGUGUAAAGCCUUUUAUCUGCUUGUGGUCUGUCAGUUUUUAAUUAUUGGUACAAUCGGUCUCUAGAAUUCCGGAUUUUUUUAAGAGAAAUUUUACCCUCGGGGUCUCUUUCCCCCCUUAUGAUGGGAUGGAGACCGAUACGUUUUCAUUCUAAUCUUGUUUUACAUAUGUCAUUGAUACUCUUUCUUCCUGUAUCUUUGAACUUAUCUCCAAAAUUGCUCGAUUUUGUUCUACGAAUUUUGCAUUGAUGCUCUUGAGGACAGGCUUUGAAUUUUAUAGUAGCAUUUUGUUGUUGUACAAAUAUAUGCGUCAAGGUUCUUCGUCGAUGCAACAUUCAGUGCGCUUUCGUUGUCGCCCGGUGGAAGUGUGGGUUUAGGUCUGAGACUGGCUUUUCGAUUUCCGUUCUCACCGCCAAAGAUGAUUUUUGUAGUACUGAGUGGCGAGAUGAGAAUUGUAACAGGAACUUCGAAGAUGGAGCAUGCGGUGGAUGCUAGUAAAACUACAUUUUGUAUCUGAAUUAUCUUUCUAAUAGAGAUAAGAUCCACCGUUACAAGUAGGUUUAAUCAGAAGUUGGUGAUUACGCUGCUAUAAUAGGGACAGGGCUACCUAUAGAGUGGGAACGAUCAUUAAGAGACUAAACUGUUACAACGGUAGAUGGUGGUUGUAUUAACAACGAUUAUAAGGGAUGGUUGUAAAAAUAGUGGUUGAGAUGUAGGGAUGGUGGAGGUGGUAGCGGUCAUGUAGAGGAUAAUGGGUGAAUUUGGUGAUGGUGCGAGAUGGUGACAGUGGUGGUGGCUACAAUGGUGAGACGAUGGAAGUGGUGAUGACCAUGGUGGUGGGGCUAUGGCAGUAGAUAAUAUGAGGGGUGGUGAUGGUGGUGGCGGAUAUGGUGGCCAUGCUGAGAUGGUGGAUAUGGUGGUGGCAGGCUAUGGUGGCUAGAGGGAUGGCGGUGGAGGAUAUGGUAGUAUGACAACGGUGGUGGGAGGUGGUGGUGUCAAAUAUGGUGGUCCAAGGGGUGGUGAUGGUGAGAUGGUGGAUAAUAUAGUGGUGGUGGUAGUGAUAUACCGUUGCAUAACACUAUUGAAAUCACAUUAAAAGUAAUUAGAGACUAGAGAGCGGCAGCAACAACAACAUCAACGAUAGUUCCCGUUGUCUUGUCUUGGGGUUUUCCCUCUCCUGUCUCUUCUGUUAUCUGCUUUCACUCCUUCCUACCUCCUCUGUCCUUCUCUUGUCGUUGUUCAAACGACACCGGCGCGAUUGUUACUUCACUCUAACUCCGAAACAGCAGCUCCUGUCUCAAGAUUUUCGUUUGAUGGCCGUCCAGAACAACAUUAUUUUAGACGAAUCAUUGCACUAGUUAGCAUGAGUGGAAUCAUCCACUCUGAUCUGGAGGUGUAAAUUCGGUUGCAAAACAUCGUGCAUUAUAGUAAAAUUGGUUGCGAAUUUGUUUGCUUUGGAGCGAUGUGGUCGGGCGAAGAUUUCUCUAGAGAAGGAUCCUCGGACCACAGCACAACUCCCCAAGGGAUUGACACUUUGGAUGUGUAGUCGGGCUCUUGUUGAUGUGCUAUAAGAAGAGGAUAAAGUUAGUUCUAAAAAGUGCCUUUGUGGGGCCUUAGGUGUAGGCCUUGAGACUUGCAAUCAAAACUAACUGAGUGCUAGACGUGCCACUGCUAUCUUAGUAUAGCAGAUGUAGAACAAGAGUGUUUUAAGUUGAUUACAUGUGCCCCAAGUUACUCUGACUUAUUGUUAUCAAAGGAUUGUCGCAGAUGGGUUAAGUCUACAUUAAGUUCUUUUUCUUUCAUGAUCUUGUAUGUUCGAAUAAAGGGAGUCCAGAGCCCCUUAAGUGAUCCUAGAUUGCUUUUAAUGAUAACAUAUCCAUUAAACUAAACGGAUCCAGAUACAAAUGAGACUCUUAAAGUAGUAGAACAGGUGGAUAUGACUUGAAUACAUACUGGAUAGUGCAUUAAGUAAUAGAUCUAUUAACUUAGAAAACAAACAAAGAGCUUCGGGCAAGAUUUCACCUUGUAUAGUAAGGUUGAACUUUUUGCAGUUACUUCUCUUUAAAAUUACAGGGUUUAUAUGCUAAAAAGGGAUGGAUGGUAAACAAGUUUACACGAGGGAAUCGAUACUACACCACUGAGGGAGAUAGCAGAGCUCUAAACUAGACAAGAGAUAGCUUGUUGCUUAAAAGGACUUAAUUUGGGUUGAUUUCAGCUUUUGAAUGCAAAUCUAGCUUGAGAGGAGAGUUUGUAUGUUUGUUUGUUUGAUUAGUUGAGUGUCCUUAUCUCUGGGGCCUUUUCUUCCUCUUAUAGGCAAAUUAGCUCGACUGCUGUAACAUUGCUCUUGCCCGAAAGCAUCUAAAGGGUAGUGAGUCAUCCAUCAUCUUUUUACUUGGAAUGCCACUAGAAAGUGUUAUUUGGCUGGUAGUAGGAUAGUCUUCAUCACUUGUCACUUUAGUGGUAAGCACGUGGCUUGUAUCUGGGCUUCGGGCAAGUCCCAUUUUGUUGGCAUCCUUGGGCUUUCCAUCAUCUAGGUCCAAUGUUCAAAUAUUAACCCAAACACGAUGCAUAUCAACCUCUGCUCAUCUCUCUGGCAGAAUUAAUCAAAUAGGUAAUCUACAUUGUCUAUGCUUCCAUUUGAGCUUAAUUUUAUGUGAAGCAUUUGCUUCCUUUUUAAUUUUCUGCAACUUGUUUUUCUUUGUUGUUUGUGUUUUUUAUUUGGUUGAUAAGAUUUUGCUAUAUUAGCAAUUGGGUUUUGUUUUUUUUUUUAAUUUCUUUUUUAUACAAACGAUAGAAUAAUCUACUAUAAAUUCAUCUAAAAUAUGAGAGGGGGGAGGCUUUGAACUUUGGUGCAGCUGGUUUUGAUUGAAUAUACUUCCUGAAUGUUGUGUGAUAACCUUUUUUCUGUGUUUUGUUUCUUCGAUUUUUUUUUUUAUACAAACGUCAGAAUAAUCUACUUUAAAUUCAUCUAAAAUACGAGGAGUGGGAUUCGAACUUUGGUGCAAUUGGGUUUUGAUUGAAUAUUCUUACUGAAUGUUGUGUGAUAACCUAUUUCUGUGUUGUGAUUAAGUAAAAAGUGAGAUAGUUAAAAUGUUCUAGUUGCCUAGAGCAAACUUUCCCAUGAGUAGAAACAUGUCAAGGAAGGACCCUUCAGUUAGGAUGUUAGAUGCGAGUUUCAUAAAGAUUUUGAAAAUUUUCAAGUGGGGACCUGAUGUAGAAAAGGCGCUGGAAGUUCUGAAGCUUAGAGUGGAUCAACGAUUGGUUCUCACGGUCCUCAUGAUUGAUGUGGAACAGUGGAAGUGAAUGUUAAAGUUCAGUUUUUCAAGUGGGCUAGGAAAAGAAGGAAUUUCCAACAUGAUUCAACCACCUACAUGGCGUUGAUCCACUACUUGAAAGAGGCUGGUACGUUUGGUGAAAUAUGGAGAACCAUCUAAGAAAUGGCUCAGAGUGCACGUGUUAUUGAGCCGGCUAAACUAUCCGAAAUCAUAAGAAUCUUGGGUAGGGCUAAGAUGGUGAACAACGCACCAUCUGUCUUCUACUAGAUCAAAGGCCACAAGUUCAAACCAACUGCAAAUACUUACAACUCCAUGGUAUUAAUGCUGAUGCAAGAAGGGCAUCAUGACAAGGUCCAUGAGCUCUACAAUGAGAUGUGUAACGAGGGUUACAUACAGUGCACUGAUAUCCGCAUUAGAGAAAUUGGGUCAUGAUGAUUCCGCCAUUAGGUUGUUUGAUGAGAUGAAGGAUAAUGGUUUACAUCCAACUGCAAAGAUUUACACUACCUUAUUGGCAAUUUUUUUCAAGUUAGGGACGGUUGAGCAAGCUUGAAGCCUAGCUCAGGAUAUGAAAAAGAAUGGGUGUCCGCCUACUGUUUUUACUUAUACAGAAUUGAUGAAGGGGCUUGGCAGAGCGAGGAGGGUAGGCGAUGCUUAUGCUAUAUACAAAAACCUUAUGAGAGAAGGGUUGUAAGCCUGAUGUUGUGCUCAUGAACAAUUUGAUAAACAUUUUGGGAAAGGAAGGUCAUAUAGAAGAUGUUAUUAAGAUUUUCAACGAGAUGUCAUCUUUGCAUUGCACACCUAAUGUGGUGACCUAUAACAUUGUAAUCAAAGCGUUAUUCGAAUCCAGAGCUCCAGCUUCUGAGGCAGCUACAUGGUUUGAGAAGAUGAAAGUUAAUGGCAUUGUUCCCAGUUCGUUUACCUAUUCAAUUCUUAUUGAUGGUUUUUGCAAAACAAAUAGAGUGGAGAACACUUUGUUGCUUCUCGAAUAGAUGGAUGAAAAGGGUUUUCCUCCUUGUCCAAGUGCCUAUUGCAGCCUGAUUAACAAUCUUGGAAGAGCAAAGCUGUACGAAGCUACAAAUGAGUUAUUCCAAGAAUUGAAAGAAAAAUGAGGUCGUUCAAGUGCUAGGGUGUAUGGUGUGAUGAUUAAACAUUUUGGGAAAUGUGGGCGUCUUGAUGACACUUUGGAUCUUUUUUACGAGAUGAAGAAAAUCGAAUGCACUUCAAACGUGUAUGCUUAUAAUGCACUCAUCUCAGGGAUGAUGAGGGCUGAUAUGAUAGAUGAAGCACAUUCCUUGCUUAAAGUCAUGGAAGAAAACGGCUGCAUUCUCGACCUAAACUCACAUAAUAUCAUUUUUAAUGGCUUGGCUAGGACGGGUGGUCCAAAUCAGGAUUUGGAAAAGUUUUCCAAAACGAAGCAUUCUAAGAUUGAACUGGAUGAGUUACUUAUAACACUAUUCUUGGUCGUCUAAGCCGAGCUGGUUUGCUCGAAGAGGCUGCAAAACUGAUGAAAGGGAUUCGAAAUGAUUUGAAUAUGAUCUCAUUACUUAUCAAUUCUUGAAGCGGUUGGCAAGGUCGAUGAUGUUUAUAAGUCUUCCUCAAUGGGACCUGGUAUGAUAUUACUUUCUCUUCUUUCACUAGUAAAAUUGUUCUUAUAGUUUAGUGUCGAGGCACUUGCACUCUGCAUACAGCCAAUUUUAAUGAUUGUUUCAGAUUUAGGAUGGUUGGAGACUUUCUUAAGAACAAGCAGAGUGUGAACUCACUCAUGAGUGACUAAUUCUUUCGCAGGUCAUACACCCUAUUAAUUGACAGCUUAGCAGCAUUGCAUCCUCUAGAGUUUUAGUAUCGUCGAGGUUGGAACUUGGUAAAGAAAGGAAAAAACUACUGGUCGUUAUAAAGAUGACGCAUUAUAGAACUUCCUCUUGUACCGAAAUUGGAAAAGAUGCCGGCCUACUAUCAGGAAGUGGAAAGAAAACCACAUUCAAAAGCUACUACGACCUGAAUAAGGGUUGUGGUUUGGCUUCAUAAUCUGCACGGCCUCAUGUUACUUAUACAGGAGCUGGACAAAUUUAGCUCAUUACAGCUGAAAAGGGUAGCAAUUUUGAUGCUCCUCAUCAAGCCAUCUAACAUUCCAAACCGAGUAUUUGCAAUUUUUCGUAUUCAAGCUAUCUAUACUCCUAACUAAAUAUUUAGAAUUUUUUGUGCUCUCACAAGCAUGGAGUGCAGCCGGGUGCCCGAUGAGUGUCAGAAAAACAGGCCUUUCAAACAUCGCUUACUCCUUAAUUUUCAUCUUUAAUAACCAUUUAGUUUUUAGUUUUUAUUUUCUGUGCUAAAGAUAUAAAGAAAUAGUUGGGAGAAAUGAAGAAUAGAGAAGGAUGAAGGGAGGUGGUGAAAAGGAGAACUGAAAGAUGCUAUAUGAAAACAAACACGCGAAAAUGGGUUGUUUUCAAAUUUUCACAUCAUUACAUAUACGUUCCUUUCUCAUUUUUUCACCGACACUCUUUCUCCCAUGUAUCUUGAAGACGAAUGAAAACUAAAAGUUAAAAACAAAAUUGUUUUUCGAUAGGCCCUUAUCAUAUUACUCCAAUCCCAUGAUUUCCAACUCAAAUUGGAAUAAAAGGGAAACAAAGGAGGCAACCCAGUAGUAAUACGAAACAUUUAAUUUCUAAUUACCAUAUCUGAUACAAAAUCAACAACUUAUUUCCUUAAAAGAUAUAGAAAGGGGAUAACAUCUUCCCCAAUUGAUACAACAACAACUUGCAGUUAAUAUAACCCAUUAAUAUUACAGAUAGAUACCGAUAUUACCCGCUAUCAUUUUCGACAGAGUUAUCAUUCUCCGCGUCAUCGCCCUGCUGUAUUUUCGCUAUCUCAGCAUGCACUCUCUCCAUAAUCUGCUUUUUUUGCAGUUUCAAGUCUCUGUGGAAAUCCAUCCUCUUCUUCUCUAGUUCCGCCAUCUACUUCCUUUUACUAUUUUCAAUCUUCUCAUAUAUGUCGCUGAACUUUUGAAUGAAAUCAGCAAGCAAUCUAAAGGAACCCCAAUCAUCAUUCUCCCUUCCAUACCUUUUCUUCUUGGGUGGUAGCCCAUCUGAAUCGUCGUUCCCUCCCUCAGCUGAUUAAGAAUUUCCUGGACUAUUCCUCAUCUCAUCCAACCCAUUUGCACGGUUUAAAUACACUUUAGGGUUCAUGAAAACAUUACUCCCGUGAGUCUAAACCAUAAGAGAGGCCGGCUUGCUGUUGUAGUGAUGACAUCAACAUAUCCAUCUUUGUGAAGUAAACCCACUUACUAGUGGCACCACCAGACUCUGUGAACUUGGCCUUCUCCUUCUUGUACUUUUUCUUCAACGUAUCCAACCGAUUGCGGCAUUGUGUGUCUAUCCUUUCAAUCUUAGACACCUCUGAUACUUUCUCUGCAACCUCUUGCCACUCCUCAGAGCAAAGACUUUUUUUCCACGUUGAAGGAACGGGUCACCCCAAGCAUCUUGUAACAUAAAAGUCUCACAUUCAAUCCAAUCUAUAAGCCCAUUCUGACCACCAAUUGAAUGUCUUGGAGCAGAAGGUGCAGCAGCAAGAGGAUGAGGAACUAGCAAACGAGGAGCAAAUUCAUAACUUGAAAUCAAACUCUUUAACUUACACUUCUUUGGGUGCGUUUUCAAAUCAUCAUCAUCCAUCAUCUUAUAAUCCUCUUCAUCAUCCUCAUCGUCUUCAUCAUCACUAUCAUCCUCGUGAUCAUCAUCCCCAACACCUUUAUGAACAGAAGGAUAGCCAUUUUGACCAUUGUUAUCUUCUUCUUCCUCACCCAAUUCUUCUUCAUCAUCAUCAGUCUCAUCUUCCUCCUCAUCAUAGGCAUAGUCAGUAUCGACUGGCCUAGGAUAUGGAACACCACCACCAGCAUGGAGCUUUUGGCGUUGCGAAGAACCAUAACUCUGCUAGUGAUCCCACCAUACAGGUUUAGAGGAUACCUUACGUCGUCUUCGAUGUCAUCCAUUUUAGCAUGAACUCAAGAUUAACAACAAAACAAAUACAAAGAAGAUAACCCAGUUUUGCCAUUUCGGGAUUAAGCUCCAUACACCCCCAUUAUUCUUUUUCCCUUCUAGAUUCUAAAUCUAACCAACAACUUCUACUCCUUCAUAGAACUAAACUAGCUCCAAAUCAGCAUUUCGUUGUAAAAAAACACAAAAACAACAAACCCAACAUCAAAAUCUUCCUCAAAACAAACUAUUGCCCAAAGAAAGUCACAAUCAGAGAAUAUAUCACACUUAGGUCAACAAAAUUGGGAAGUAAACCUAAACCCCAUCCUUCUAGUUAAAAUUUACCAAAUUUAUCUUCCCAAAUGCAUUACUUUAGUCUAAAGUAGAAGGGGGAACGGCAGUGUGCAAUUUUGCCUCGAUUUCAUUUUAUUUACGAAAAUGCCACUGAGUCUUUCUGCCUCCUUAUUUAACGUUAUUUGCAAAAUUGCCACUGGGCUUCAGAAAGGGUAUUAGGUCUUUUGGUGCUAGGCUUCAGAAAGGCUAUUGGGUCUUUGGGCUAGAUGUGACCUUUCACUCAUGGAGAGAGACGAAAAGAGGACGGGAGGGUUGUCAUGUUGGAGGGAGAGGAUCGUCGGGAAUUUUGGCUCAGGGGCUGGUGGGUGUGGCUGUAGGUGAUGCAUCCGUCAUAAGGUCAUUGGGGGAGGAGAGAAGGGGGGCAGAGGGACUGACAGGUUGGAGAGAGAUGGAAGCUAGGGGUUUCGACUGGGUGGGAGAGAGAUUUAGGGAUUUUGUUGAAUUUUUUAGACAAGGAUGAAGAGUGAGAGAGGGGGCAGAAAGCAUGGUUUCAAUUGAGUGGGAGAGAUAUUUAGAGAUUUUUUUUCCCACUUUUUGAGAGAUAGAUAGACAGGGAGAGAGAGAGAGGGCCGAGAGCAUGCCGUGCAUUUUUUGGGGUUAACGGGUUACCCCACGAGGUUGGUGAAGAGAGGAUGUCUGAGGGAGGUAUGGGAGAAAGUGGGUUUUCAUUUUUGUCCUCUGAUUCAACAGGUAAAAGAAUGUUCAGAAAUCAUUUUUUAUUGUUUGGUUUCCCAUUUGCUUUGUUAAAACUGUGAUUGACAGUUUUUUUUUUUUUUUUAAUAAAAUUGUAAUGGAUGUUUAUAAGCUGUUUAGUUGGGUGUUAGGAAGAUUGGUCUAUUUAGUGCACUAUUUCGUACAUUUUUAGAGUCACGUUUGUGUCUUUAUUACUUAGGGGGUUGCACUGUGCUCAUUUAUGUGUUUCUUCAUGCUUUGCUGCUGUUUUCUUCUUAGCAAGAUUGGGUUUUAGUCGUGCUUUACAUCCUUUGAAUAUCCCUCUGUUGCUAGAUUGUUUCUCCAUGCUUUGUUGCUUCUGUAUUUGUGUGAUAAGGAUGUUAGAAGGCUAUUUUACUUAUUGUUUUGCUCAUUUAUUGAUGAAUUUUUUUUGCCAUUCUUGGUUGCUUAUGUAUUUAUGUAAUAAAGUUUUAAAUUUUAUUCUUGACAUGUAUGUAGAUCAAACACAAGUCUUGACAAUUGGUUGUAAGAAGCCCUUUAUGCCCUGUUGGAAGCUAAACAACUUCUGAAGUCGAAGGAUCGAAGGCAGCAAGGAGCUCCCGAGCAUGGCUUCUAUCUGUAUCGAAGAAGAAAGGGUUUUAGCCUUCAACGGCUAGUUUUUUCAGUUUAAAUGUAUGCGUAAGUGUGUGAGUGACAAAUGUACAUUCCAGAUUAGAUCACUUAAAACUGAAAUGAAGGGCUAGGAUUUAAUCUGGAGUAGUAAUGAUAAAAGAGUUGUUUAAGUCUCUUGUCUCACUCCCUUAAGCAAGCAUGGGUCAUGGCAAUGCAUCAUACCCUACAAGAUUUCCUCUACUUAAUGAAGUUAUGGCUGCUGCAUUUCUUACACAGCCUUUGAAGCUGUCAAUCACAUCUCUAAGUCAUCUUCAUUCUCUGUUAUUCUAACCCUAAGAAAUCGAUCCAAACUAUCAACCAAAACAUCUAAACAAACAAACUUUAUCAUGGCCUCAGAGCUUAGUUUAUGAUCUUAUAACUUUAUGGGCAUAAUUUGUGCAAGUUGAGAUCUUUAGGAGCACCUACAUAGUGUCCUCAACAACAACAAUCAAUAAACAACCCUGCAAAUGAAAGGAUCAAGCAGUAGCAAUGAGCUAAAAACUCCAGUCUUUGAUGGGGAGAACUAUGAUUUUUGGAGAAUAAGAAUGACAACCAUUUUCAAGUCCUAUGAUAUAUGGGAUAUGGUUCAACACGGGUAUGAACUACUUGAGAUGGAGGUCGAUGCUUUAUAGGAAGACCUCACAGAAACACAAUUCAAAGAGAGCUUGGGAAGUUUUACAGCAAGAGUACAAAGAAGACACCAAAGUCAAAAAGGUAAAACUUCAAUCCUUUAUAAGAGAUUUCGAGUAUACAAGAAUAAGGGAAAAUGAGCUAUUGAAAUAUUACUUUACUAGGCUAUUUGAUGUUGUAAAUAAGAUGAAAACACAUGGUGAGGAAUUGCCUAAUGAGAGAGUUGUCCAGAAACUGUUGAUCAGUUUGACUAAGCCCUAUGAUUCAAUAGUGAGUGUCAUUGAAGAAACCAAAGACAUUGAAACUCCUAGUGUGCAAGAUGUAAUGGCACCCUUAAUAGCUUUUCACCAAAGGCUCGAAAGGCAUGCAGAUUUUGCCACUGAGAAAGCAUUUCAACCACUAUAUGUUGGAUCUAGUAGUCAAGCUAAUGCAAGCAAACGAAAACCACAGUGGAAGGGUAACAACAAAAAAAAAAAAAAGGAAGGAAAGGGGUAUCAAAACCCUAGGCCUAACCAAGGCAGCAACUUAAAUGAAGUUCCAAGAACCAAGCAGCAAUGCAAGCAUUGUAAAAAAUUCCAUUUUAGGGAGUGUUGGUUCAAGGAAAAGUCUUGAUGUCACAAAUGAAACAAGUUCGGGCACAUCAUGAGGGAUUGUAGAUCAAAGAAUGUGCAGCAAGUGAACUUUGUAAACCAAGUGGAGAAAAACACUGAAGUGUGAUACAUUGACAGUGGCUGCAGUAAUCACAUGACUGCACAUAAGUCAUUACUCAUUGACAUUGACACAAACUUUAUUGGAAAAAUGAAAAUGGGAGAUGGAAACAUUGUCAAAAUAACACCAAGAAAGGAAGAAGAUGCAUAAGGGAGGUGAUGCUAGUGCCUGGAUUGGAUGAUAAUCUACUUAGUGUGGGUCAAAUGAUGAAGCAUGGUUUUUCCUACUCUUUGGGGGAACUGUGGUCGAGAUUUAUGAUGACAGGUCCCUAUCAAACCUAGUGACUAGAGUGGAAGUGAAAAACAGAAGCUUUCCACUUAUGUUGAAGUACCUAGAAGAGGUGGCAAGGAAAGCAAGUGUGAAAAGUUCUAUGAAGUUAUGGCACAAGAAGCUUGGUCACUUAAACAUGACAAGUCUAGAAAAUCUACAAAAGCAUGAAAUGGUACAAGGUAUACCAAAGUUGGCUCAAUGUAGUGAAACUUGUGAAGGGUGUGUGUUUGGAAAGCAUCAUAGAGAUUCAUUUAAAGUUGGAAAGGCUUGGAAGGAAACAAAGCUACUUGAAUUGAUUCACACGGAUGUGUGUGGACUAAUGCAAACAACAAUAAUCAGUGGAAACAGGUAUUUCCUAACCUUCAUUGAUGACUACUCACGGAUGUGUUGGGUGUACUUCAUGAGGUUUAAGUAUGAGGUAUUCAUAAUAUUCAAGAAUUUCAAGGCAAUGGUGGAAUUGCAAAGUGGAUACCAAAUCAAAAGACUAAGAAGUGAUAGAGGAUGAGAGUACACCUCUCUUGAGUUCAAUGCAUUAUGUGAAGAUGUGGGAUUGGAGAAGCAACUCACAGUGGCAAAUUCACCACAACGUAAUGGCAUUGCAGAAAGGAAGAAUAGGACUAUAGUCAAAAUGGCUAAAUCUAUGAUGCAUGAGAAGAACAUGCCCUAUACAUUUUGGGGUGAAGUUGUGAGCACCUCAGUGUACUUAUUGAUUAGGUGCCCUACUAAAGCAUUGGACAAGAAGACUCCAUUUGAAGUGUUUGGCUCAGUGUGCUACACUCACAUUCCUCACCAACUAAGACACAAGUUGGAGAAAUCAAGCAACAAGGGUGUUUUUGUGGGUUAUGGUACCAAAGAGAAAGGGCACAGAGUUUAUAAUCUGUUAGCUCAGAAGAUAAUCCUAUCAAGGGAUGUUAUCUUUGAUGAAGACUCAACAUGGAAUUGGGAAACAAGUGUAGCAGAGAAAGAUAGUGUCUCUUUACAACUUAACCUGAACAAUGGGCGAACAUGAGAGCCUAUGGAGACCUCAAUUCAAGAAGAAACCAUAGAGAAUGGUGACACACAAGGGACUCCACAUCAAGCAAACAUGAGUUCACAACCGAGUCAAUCAUGGAUAACAACUCCAAGUUCAACUCCAGUGAGGUUGAGAAGCUUGGAUGAGAUAUAUGCUACAUGUAAUUACUGUGUAGUGGAACCAGAAACAUAUGAAGUAGCUGAGAAAGACAAAGCUUGGAAGAAAGCAAUGAAGGAAGAGCUUGAAAUGAUAGAGAAUAAUGACACUUGGGAACUUGUAAAUCGACUAAGUGAUAAGCCUGUGAUUGGAGUGAAAUGGGUGUACAAAGUGAAGCUAAACCUAGAUGGUUAUGUGCAGAAGAACAAGGCAAGAUUGGUAGCUAAAGGCUACUCACAGAAGCUUGGUGUAAACUUCAAUGAAACCUUUGCACUAGUAGCAAGGUUAGACACCAUAAGGACCUGGAUAGCCCUAGCAGCCAAGAAGCGUUGGAAGCUGCAUUAAUUGGAUGUCAAAUUUGCAUUUCUAAAUGGAGUGCUAGAGGAGGAGGUGUUUGUGGAACAAUCUCAAGGGUUCAUAAGUGAAGCAUUUCUAAAUAAGGUGUACAAGCUAAUGAAUGCACUUUGUGGCCUAAAACAAGCUCCAAGGGGUUGGUACAGUGAGAUUGAUUCUUAUUUAACAAGACACUCAUUGUCUCAAUCUAUGUGGAUGAUGUUGUCUACACUGGAAAUGAUACUGCAAUGAUUGAAGAGUUCAAAGAAGAAAUGAUGAAGAGGUAUGACUGACCUAGGCCUCUUGCAUCAUUUUCUUGGCAUUGGGGUAAUUCAAGAGGUAAACAACAUCUUCAUUCAUCAAAGGAAGUAUGCUGAAACCUUGCUUGGAAGGUUUGGUUUGAAGGGUUGCAAACUGGUCUCUACACCUCUAAUUGCAAAUGAGAAGCUUAAGAAGGAUGAUGGAAGUGAACCUGUGGAUGCUAGUCUCUACAAAAGCAUUGUUGGAGUCUAUUAUACCUAACCGCAACAAGGCCGAAUCUAAUGUUCUCAGCAAGCCUACUCUCUAGGUUUAUGCAGAAUCCUAGCAAGAUACACAUAGGGACAACAAAGAGAGUUCUAAGAUAUGUGCAAGGAACACUUGAUUAUAGCAUCAAGUAUGAAAUGGGGAAGUCAACUAUCCUAAUUGGAUUUUGUGACAGUGACUGGGGUGGCAGUGAAGAUGAUAGCAGAAGCACAUCGAGCUAUGCUUUCACCUUUGGUUCAAGGGUUUUUUCAUGGGCUUUUGUGAAGCAACAAAGUGUUGCAUUGUCCACAGCUAAGGCAGAGUACGUGAGUGCAUCAAAAGCAACGGCCCAAGCUAUUUGGCUAAGGUUUAUAUUUAGACUUUGGUGAAUUGUAGGUUGAAGCCACACUUCUAUGUGACAACACCUCUGCAAUUGCCAUGACCAAAAACCUAGUAUUUCAUCAGAGAACAAAGCACAUCAAAAGAAGAUAUCAUUUCAUCAGGGAGGCAUUGCAGGACAACACAAUCAAGCUAAUCUAUUGCAACACAGAAGAUCAAAUUGCAUAUAUUUUCACAAAAGCAUUACCGAAUCAGAGAUUCAAUUACUUGAGGGGAUUGCUUGGAAUGACUCCCAAAGGCAGUUUAGAAGGGAGUGUUAGAAGCUAAACAACUUCUGAAGUCGAAGGAUCAAAGGCAGCAUGGAGCUCCCGAGCAUGACUUCUAUCUGCAUGAAGAAGAAAGAAGAAGAAAGGGUUUUAGCCUCCAACGGCUAUUUUUUCAGUUUAAAUGUAUGUGUAAGUGUGUGAGUGACAAAUGUACAUUCCAGAUUAGAUCACUUAAAACUCAAAUGAAGGGCUAGGAUUUAAUCUGGAGUAAGGAUAAAAGAGUUGUUCAAGUCUUUUGUCAAUCACUACCUUAAGCAAGCAGUCAUGGCAAUGCACCAUACCCUACAAGAUUUCCUCUACUUAAUGAAGUUAUGGCUGCUACAUUUCUUACACAGCCUUUGAAGCCGUCAAUCACAUGUCCAAAUCCUCUCCAUUCUCUGCUAUUCUAACGCUAAGAAACCGAUCCAAACUAUCAACCAAAACAUCUAAACAAACAAACUUUAUCAUGCUCAAGGUAAACAAUUUCAUUUCCCCCUUUUUAAAAUUUUUGAAUUACAAGAAAAGUUUGAAUUUGAGGUUCGGAUUCGAAGAUUACUGCUUCUUGUAGUUUUAAUUUUAUUUUCCAGUCCAAGAAAAUGUAGAAUUUGGAGAUUUUCUAAUUUGAUUGCAUCCCUCUUUUUCUUCAGUUAAAACCCUAGAGAUGAUUGCAAGCGAGGUGGAUAGUGAUGUGAGCGACAAAGGUGGGUAAUCUCUGCAAUUCUUGCCCUUUUAAUUUUGUAAUAAAAUUAGGAAUUGUUGCUACUGAACUGAGUUGUGCGGAUGAAGGAGAAAUGGAAAAUCCGGAGUUAUGCCCAAAAUGGAUAGCUUUGCUGACUAUGGAGAAAGCUUGCUUAUCUACUAUCUCUCUUGAAGGUCUGAGUCUGUUGAAGCUUAUGGUUUUCUGGUUAUGAUACAUAUUUUUAUGCAUUAUUUAGUCAGGAUCUCAAGCUUUUGGCCUGAACUUUCAGAAACCACUGGUGCAGUAAGGAAGUUGGGGGGCAACUUUAGGGAAAAAUUACGAGAGCGUAGAGGUCUUGAUGCUGUAUUUGAGGUGACCAUGGAUUGCCAUUCCAAUUUGGAGGUGUGAACCUGUAUGUUUGUUUGAUCUCACUGUGUGUUUCAUUAAAUGUUAAAAGAAUACCAAGGGACCGUAAUGCUUUAAAUAGUUAUGAGAGAUAUUUACUUCACUAUGCUACUCCAAGAAUAAUUUGUUGGUUCACUAUGUAAAUAAUAAAUUUCUGUGCAAAAAAUAAUGCAUGUGUUGGUAAAGAACCAAAAUGAUGGUGUGCAGCCUUAGUUGUAUCUAGAUUCACAAGUUUCUUCUGUUCUGUAACCUAUAUAUUUCUUCAGUUUAUGAGCAACACUGACUACACUUUGGUAGUUUUAUAGUAACAAAUGGGCAGUUAUCUAUUUGCCUUUGGAUAGCGUCAUCUUCUUUAUUGUUCGUUGUAGUUCCUGAUUUUCUUCUUGGAGUAAUAUGAGUGGUUUUGCAUGCGAACAGUAUCACUUCUCAGUCAUUGAUUUGUUUUCCUUACUUAUUAUGUGCACAUCAUACACAUUGAGUUAUGAUAACCAAAAUUCCUUAGACAUAGUAUAACUUUUUCAUUUAUAUACUUACCUUUUCCACGCUUUUCUUCUCCUUUUUUGACUUUACAAUGAAGUGAUUGAGCUUAAGGGCAACAUCCGAGUUUUCUGCACAUGUAGACCUUUGAAUCAAACUGAAAUUUCACGCGGAUCUGGUUUCGUUGUUGAAUUCGAAUCCUCCGUAGAUAAUGAGUUGCAGGUCAUUUGUUCUAAUCCUCGAAAAAGCAGUUCAAGUUUGACCAUGUCUUCAGACUUGAGGACAACGAAGGUAGUUGAGAACGCAUACCGAUUUUGUAAUUGCACUAUCUAAUACUCCACAGUUGAUUUUGUUAUGAUGGAUAACAGUGCUCAGUUUUUUUGUUGUUGAUAUUUUCGGCCUAUGGUCUGAUUGAAGUUGGAUUUGCUCGAGUUUACAGGUCUAUGUGUGCAGCAAGCAAAAUCCUUUCAUUCAUAUGAGCUUCUUGGCCUCUUUACCUUGGUCAGUUUUCUUAAAUUGAUUUCUUGAUUUCUGUUGUUGAACGUUUAUCUUAAAUUGAUUCCUUCCAGCUUAUUUCUGUCUGCAGCUUUUCUUUUGGCUCCAGAAUAACAUAUGGAGACAUAUCAUCUUUCUCUUCUCUCUCUAUCUGUCUUUCUCUCUGUAUGAGCGUUGUCUCUCUCUUUAGGAGCGCACCAUCAGGGGCCGUAAUUAAAUCUUAUCGUUUUGCUAUAUUUCUCUUACUUUUGAGUAUUAUGAGGAUGAGAUUUUAGACUCAUCAGCGACAAAAAAAAGUUGCUUUCAUUUUAUAGGAGUGAAAGAUUUGAUUUUUCAUGCACUUAUCUUUUAAUUUUAUUUGUUUAUUUAGUUUUCCCAAUAUUUUCAUGCACUGAACUUUUUUUUUUCAUGAGUUUUUAUUAAGCUUUGUGACUUUUUUUGUAUUGGUUGAUUUCUAAAUUACUAUAGUUAAGAAGAUUAGUGCAUUUAUAAUUUGCUGCUUAGCUUAACAUGAUCCUUCAAUAAAAUUUGGGUCUUAGUUAAAGUUAGGUCAUAUUUUUAAGAAAGGUAAAAACUAAGGAAAUUUUCUGCGUAAGUCCUGCUCAACUUUUGUUGGCAAAUUGGUCUUUGCCAAUAAAUGUUAUUUUUGGGUGCUAACUGUUUUGGUCUUUAUAAAUUCUGGUAGUGGUGAUUUCUUCUACACUUAUGAUGUGACAACGUUGUGUAAUGAUUGUAGGUUUUUGAAAAAUUUGAGCUUCACAAACUAUGGAAAAAGAAACAAGUUUUGCUGAAAUCAAUUUAAAGGCACAAUAACAAAGGUAUUAAAAAAAUCUCUUGGAUGAUGUAAUUUGGUUUGGAUUUGUAAUGUAUGCUUUUCAAUGUGGAUUAAUUGUUUAAAUAAUUUUAGAUUAUGUUGAUUGUCCAUCACCCUGUGUUGUUGUUGGACCAUGAGGUGGAGCUGGCGGUGAUCAUCUCUCAGAAACCUCACGAUGUUUCGCAGUCCACCGCCGUGGAUUACGUCAUGGGUAAAUUUGUAAUUUUUGUUACUGUUGUUUGUUAAUUAACCAUUUUUUUAAGGCUGCACCUUUUUGGUGAGCUAUCUGUUGUAUUAUAUCCUUUGUCUUUCUAUUUGGAGAUUCUUAUUUUAAUCCUACCAUAAUAGGUUACUGUAAUUGACUUUUGGAUUUGAUUCUUCACUGGUGAGAUGUUGUGGGGGCGUCAUUUGGGGGAGAUAGGGGAGGGGGUUGGUUGCCAAGAGAGGGUGAGGGCGGGUGCAUGAUUAGGGGGACAGAAAGAGAGUUGAUUGGGUGCACGGUUUGAGGGUAGGGUUGAGAGAACGAGUGUGUUGGCUGCAGAGAGAGGAUGCGGUUGAGGGAUUUUAUCUCUCCCUCUCGGUCACAUCUCUUCUUGCAUUUACCCUUUCCUUCCAUUUGGGAUUGUGUUGGGGUUUUGUUUGUAGCCUGUGAUUCUACGUGUGUUUGUUUAAUGGGUUUUUUGUUUAAAUUUUUUGGUUGUGAUUUUGGGGAUUUUGUUUGUGGGUUCGGAUUCAGCUUUAGGAGGUCGUGGUUUUUCAGAUUUGGGACUUUUCUUUGCAUUCUACGAAGCCCUCUAUAUUUAAGGUGACCAGUUUCAAAAUUCCAGAGUUUUGAUAUAGAGUGUUUGGUUUUUUUAUUAUAUUAGACUUGAAUUUGGUUUUUUGUUGUUUUAUUUUAUUGAAAUCACAGUUUGGGUUUAGACUUUUGUUUGGGUUUGAGUAUAAUUUUCUGUGCUGUUAAAUUUGAUAACUCUAAAAUUGAUUAUUGGUUUGGUUUGAUAGGUGAGGCAGAUAUAGGGGGAGAGGGAAAUUGUGGUUUCAGCACUCUCACUUCUGUUCUUGGAAGGUACUUCUUUAUAGAAGUUUCUAUGUUGAAUUCACUUUGUUUCACCUUGAAUCGUUGUCAAGGGACUGGUUGGGGAACUUUGUGGUGCACGAGGAAGUUCUUCGGGUUAUUCAAAUGUUCGGUGGUUAACUUUCCGUUUGGAGAUUCUAGAAAAUAAGUUGUAGUCAUGAAUUUUCAGUUUCAUUUAAAAUGGUGUACAACGACAUCAUAAUUCCGUGUAAAGUUUUUUGUUUUUGGGUUAGGCACUUAUAUGGUAAUGCCUCUGUUCUCUACCUCCUCCUCUGAUUCUUUUUUUUUUCUUCUUCUUCUCUUUGUGCAACUUCCAAAUUAGGUGGAAUCGGUGGAGCUUCCCACUCACCUAGGCAUCUUUCCUUUCUGAAACAAGGUCCUUCUACCCUGCGCCUUCUUCAAAUUCACUACACUUCACCCAACAGGUACCUUUAAGCCUUAAAAUUUGUCUUUUGGUUAAUUGUUUUUUCUAUUUGAAUCCCAAGAAAACUUUGUAUGUACCUUAAUCAGUAGCUGUUUUAGCUCAGCACAAACUUUAUAGGUCUGCAGUUACUUUGCUUGUUUGGAAAUUAUGUUCCUUUUUAUGCUCUUUGUUACCCAAACUGUGUCGUUUAUUUUUUGCUGGAAAUUUUUUGCAUAUUUUGUUCUUCAAUUUUGCCAGAGUUAAUUUCAAAUGCCAACUUUCCUUUUUCCUUUUUCUAGGUAAUUGAUCAUUAUGCGGUUUGUAAGUUGGAUUUUUCUAACUGGUGGAUUAUCAAAUUGAUAAAAUUGGGGAAUUUGAUUAAGGUAGUGUCAAAUUGGUGGAGCAUGAAUUAUGGCAGCGGGAAGAGAAGGGUUUAAUUGGUAUUCUUCCCGUUCAAGAUGUUGCCGAGGCAACAACAGUGGACUCUUUGUUGUCUCAAGGUGAGAUGCCUAUGAUUAAGUGAAAGUGAAAUCUAAGAGGUUUUUUGUUGUUAUUGUUGGGAAUUUACCUAAUUUUAGGAAUGGGAAGUGAUUCUGGUGAACGAAGCUCUAGAGUUCAAGUUUGUACUCAUCUCUCAUUCUUUUUUUAUAGUUAGGUUGAAAAUCAUAUCGGUAGAUUCUUUAUUUAAUUGGUCCAAUUUGUAACACAUGAGAUUGUUUUGUUCGAUGUUUCAAUCAAAAUUUAAUUUUUUUUUGUGUGCAAUUAUAAUGGAAUUGCAAGUCAAGUGUAUCUUACAUUCUUGGUUGCAUACUCACCUUCCCACAACUAUUAUAUUGUCUCUUGACUGGAUGAAUUUUUAUAAUUUCCUGGAUCUACAAUUACAAUGCUUUUUAUAAUUUCCUAGAUCUAUCAUUUUUGUUCGUUCAUGAUUAUGUUGAAUGUUUUUCAGGUUAAAUGUAUCUUAUUCAUGUAGUUAAGACUGCUGCAUUCAAGUCGCGCAGCAUCGCGUGGGCAUAUUACUAGUGAAAUCUAAAAACAAAAACAAACCCACGAUUCAAUUUUCAAAGAUUCUUGAGCUAAAUUCAAAUUCCAAGAGUUUCAAAGACAAGAAAUGAAUGAAACCCUUAGCUCUUACCUCAAAAUCCAAACUUCCCCAGAAAUUUGUUGGGUGGAAAGCCAAAUUGAAGCUUCCUAAAGAGGUUUAACUCGACAUCUGCUAAAAAUUUGCAAUCAAUUGUCUCUUUUGGGGAAACUAAGAUGGGAAGAAGGGAAAGACAAGAAGGCAAAGGGAGAGAGAGAGAGAGGGAGUAAAAGAAUUGGGGAUUAAAGAGGGUCAUAGCAUCUGCAUGCGGCACGCCUGACUGCCUGGUACUUUAUUUUUUCUGCGGUGUAGAUGCCUUACUGUUGUAUUCAGGUGGGCUGGGCCCUGUGGAUUUGGGCUUCUUGUAGUUGUGAGUAAAGGUCUUAUCUUGAUUAGGGGUUUUCGUCGAUUUGUCUCCGAAUUUGUAUAGAGCUGUUAAUUUUUCUUCGAACUUUAAUUUUAGUGAUUUCCCACUGAACUUCUAUACUUGGCCAAUUUCCCCUUAGAACUUUUAACUUCAGGCAAUUACCCCCUAAAAUUUUAUAAAUAGCCAAUUUCUUCCCUAGCAUUAGAUUUUAAAAAUUUUCAUCCAAUUUUUCAUUAUUGGCCCAAUACAGUUGUCAUGUGCUGUCUCGUGAUAAAAAUAGAUGGAAAGUUGGAUGAAAUUUAUAAAGGGGAUAAUUAACUAUUUAUAAAAGUUCAGGGGGAUAAUCGGCUAAAAUUAAAGUUCAAGGGGGAAUUGACAGCUCUAUACAAGUUCGGGGAGCAAAUUGACAAAUAUGCCUUUGAUUUUUACCCAUUUUUGGUUUAAAAUUUUUCCCAACUUCAGAAAUUUGGAAAAAAUGUCAUUUUCUCAAGGUUUGGAAAAGAGAUGGCUUAACUAUGGGUUUUCUAGAUGUUAGUGCCAUGCCCCGAUCCUAACGUACGUCCAAGAUCGACACGUGACACCACCAAAUACCCAUAUAUCUAACUUACCUAGCCUCCGGCUAUGAACAAAGCACAACUCAAGUCCCAAUUUCAUAGUAAUUGUUCAUAUGCUUUAUGACUGCAUCUAACUUCCUUGUUAAAUUGCCUACAUACCCUGAAUAGGGAUCAAGCCAUUCGUAGUUCACAUUUUUAUUUAUUUAAUUUGUCUAUCCAAAAAGAAACCACAAUUACCAAUAUCACAGCCAAAAUUCCAUAACCUUAAAUUAGCAACCUAAUCGAUUUCUACUAAAAUUACUAAACGGGAUUUGAUUUCCAAAUUCGAUGUCCUAAACCCACAUUCACUAACGUAUAUAUUUUUAUUUUAUAAACUAGGUUAGAGUGUAAAAGACGUUCUCAAAGUGCUAAACACACUACUUUUAAUCAAACUACCAAUCUUUUCCUUUUCUUUUGGUGGUUUUCUUCAAGUUACCAAAAGUCAUGCCGCCAAGCUGUAAUAACAUUAAAUUCUAACUCUAAUAAACCUUGUUAGUCAUGAAGGUAGUAUGUAUAUUAAUUAUCAAUGAACCAUGCGAAAACUGAAUGCACUUCGCCAUAUUUUUCUUGACAUUACAUUAGUUUGUCAGAGAAUCGAUCAAUUAUUGGACUUACACAGGAUGAUCAAAUAUGAUAUAUAUCUCCUUCAUGUAAAUGGUAAAAGACUCUCAAACUUGCUAUGCAUAAUUGGAACGAACAACUGAAAAAUCAAACAAUUAAUUUCUAUAUACUCACGUCUAAGAAAGAAAACAACGAAAGGAAAAAUAGAAUGAUCACCAACCCAUAUAGUUGAAAUUGUCAGUAUCAAGUGAACUAUGCAAACAAAUGAUCAUCAUACUAAAAAUCUAAACCAAAUAAUAAAAUUUAUCAAUUAAUUUGAGAGGAAAGUAAAGGGAAAAGGAAGAAUUGCCUACCUCCUGAUUUUGGAGAGAAAGAAACGCAAUAGGGGGAGAGAGAGUAGCAAGCUAGAUUAAGGAACCCAGAACAAUGAUAUAGAGAUAUUUUUGUGGGAAGUUCUCUCUCCUUCUUGAUUCCUCCUCCUCCCUUUUCCCCCUUCUUUCCUUUAUUUUGUUUUCUUCCUCUUUCCCGAUCCUUCUCUGACACACCCUGACCCGGAAUGUCCACUAGGACUCCUAAUCAAGCUGCGCUGACUGACACCUAGAAGGUGACGAAGCCAUAAAGUGAUGAUGUGGAAAAAUGUGAAUAAAUUUAAACCUAAGAGUGCCCAAAGUGCGCUGGUGAGCGGGAAUGAACCCACUUCACACGUAACGUUAGAGCAUAAGUAAGUACAGUAGAGUGAAUUAAAAAUCGUACUCUCGAAAGAAUCUCCAAUAAUAAGAAUCGCCACAAAUCUUCGAUGAUAAGAAAGUUCAGCUAAUAAAACCUGGAGGGUGAAAACAAAACAAGGGUGAGUGACCCUAGAAAUAAAAUUUUAAUAGAAACCAUAUAAAACAUUAUAACCACUACUAGCAUGCAAGUCGGGAAGAUCCGUAUAUUGAAUUCCCAAUUUGUAAGUUCCUAUGAUCCUUAAAUAUUAUGUACUAUAACGUAUUAAAGUUUGGUGACGAUCCAACGGUCAGAUCGUCGAUUCAUACAAUGACCUAUUAACGUAACGUAGAUAAUUUAGAUCCCAACAAUCAACCCGUGUCAUACAAUUACAAAAACUGAACUCAAGGCAUCUAAUUAGCCUAAGAAUAACAUCAAUGCCCCCUGGCCACGCGCCACCGCACACACCGCUGUGGGUGGCGGUCGGCCGCCCCGACUCGCCGGAAAAUCCAACUAUUUCCAAAAAUUACCACAAUUUACAUAAAUGAAGAUCUCAUUGAGUGGAACAACUUUUAUACCUGUGACGAAGUCCAAAAGUGGAUGGAAGAUGGUCAAUUUUUCCCAUGAAGCUGGCGGGUGCCUAAAACUUCCCGAUGUCGAUUUGUCGUCUACAGUGGUCCAAUGGGGUCAAGGUUGGUUGGGUUUUGCUCCUGGGAUGAUGGGCUACAAAGCCCAAGUGGUGGCAUCGGCCAUCGCUUUGCCGAUUUGCGGGAAAAAUAAAAAAGGGUGGCCGGAGCACCGUGAGAACCGUCAACUUUCGUGGCCUCAAACCGCCACAUACAGAGGAUAAUCAAGGUGGUUCUUGGGUGGGUUUUGUAGAGGGGAAUGAGAGCUUCAAGAUGGCAGUGGUGGUGUCGAAUAAUUCCACCGUAGUUGGCUGGAAUCAGCCUUGGAAGUUGGGUGGUCAUGGUGGUGGCGUGCACGGGAAAGUUGGGAUCUUUCUCCUUUUUUUUUUCCUCUGAUUUCUGAUUGGGCUGCUAUCCUUUUUCUACCUUUUAUCUAAUUGGUCCUCCUUAACCAAUUAAUUAACUUUAAAUAACCAACUUCAAACGUUCGUAACUAUACCAUUAUAAUCCGGACUCACAAAUGGCUUUCGCCUAUGUGUUCGUACCAAUGAGUACUACUUAAAUACGCCAAAAGAAUAAGUCAUAUGUUCCUCUAGACGAUGGUCAACAGAAAUCAAAAUCCUUGCCUCUAGGCAUUUUCGUCAAUUCCCUCGAUUGAAAUAAAUAAAAAAUGAAAUUUUAGGGACGGGUUGUCACAUUCUCCACCUCUCCUCUCUUUUUUUUUCUUCUUUCUUUCUUUUUUUAUUUUUUUUUAUUUUUUUAUUUUUUAUAUAAAAUUAUGGAUGGGUUGUAACAGUUAGUGAUACUUUUAAUCGUGUCAAAUUUUUUUCUUGUGGGCUUACAUCUUUUGUUCGUAUCUCAUGAUAAAGUUGGCGCGCUCUUAUCUCUAUGUACUUGACAUAUUCAUUGGCAGUUUUGUGUGCAUAGUCUUUAUAGAAGUGGUCACUAAUUACUUGAUUAUUUGCAGUUUCUCUUUGAAAAUGGUGCUACUUGUAUUCAAUUCAAAGCGUGGGUGCUCCCUUACUAAUCGCAUUGGUAGUUUUGUGCAAAAACAUCUCUUAUGUGACAGGAAUUGAAGAUUUUCCUACUUGGCAUUUUCUCAUUGGUUCACCUACCAAGUAAAUAGUAACUACUAACCUGACUUUUCAAUGAGCUUGACUAUUGCAUUUAGAAUAUAGCAAAAUUCAAAAUUCAUUAGGAUAAAACUUGCUAUCACUGCAUUACAGUAGGCAAUGCUGUCAAACUAGAAUUUUUUUUGAAGAAGGAAAUGAACAAAACAAAACUAGCAUGAUUGUUUACUAACAUAAAAUCCCAAAAUCACUACAAGUGAAAAUUUUCUAUCAUGAUAUACAUUAUUUAUUGGGAGAAAGGGAAAAAAAAACCAUUUUAUGGUAGGAAAAUGAGUUAGAAUAAAACUAGGUUAAGUGUUCGAUACUCUUUUAUUAUAAUAAAAAAAUGAAACAAGGAACACUCUAAGGAAAAUCCUUGCAUGCCUAUCAAAGACGAGUCGAUAAUGAGUGAACCAAAAUUAAUUGGAGUUUGUACUUGAAAUUGGAUAAAGUAAUACAUUAGUUACAUGAUCAGGGUCAUCCAAUAAAUUGGCAUCGAACUCACUAUUUUCAAAAAUCACAUAUAGUUAAUAAGAACAGUGCUUGACGAUAACACUAUGUCAUCACAAAUAAUUAAUUAAAAGGCUUAAAUAUCAAAAUGGUCUCUGCGUUAUAGUUAUAUGGCAAAUUUAGUCCCAUGUUUUUGAUUUGGCUAAUUUAGUCCUCGUGUUUGUUUCUGUUAGCCAGUUAAGGACAUUUCAUUCAAUCUCUUUUAAAAAAUCAUAAGAAAAAUCAUAUGAGAAAUAAUUACCCUUUCUCUAUACAAAAAAUACAAAUCAAUGAGUAAUAACACAUAUAAGAAAUAAAACUUCUAAUCUGAAAAAUGAUUAAGCUUGUGACAUAGAAAAUAUAGGGGGUAAAAAUAUUAGGGAGGAGGUCGAAGAGUUGGAAGAAGAAUAAUUUUUCUUUUAAUUUUUAAUUUUAUUUCAUUUUAAAUAUUUUAAAUCAAAUAAAUUAUAAUUUAACAAAUAAGUUUAUAAUAGGAAAAAUUACAUAUAGAGUAUACUUUUAAUACUUAAUUGUAUAUUGAGACAACACUUUAACAUUUCAAAGAGAGACAAAAGUUAAUACAUGUGAAAAAUGAUAUUAUUGCCUUUUUUUUUUUCUCUAGAGUGUAAGUUACAAAAUUACCCUUUAUAGUGGAAAAGUUUUUUUCACAUUUAUAUCUCUUCAACCGUUGCGCUUUUCUCUCUUCAAGAAAUAUUGGUUCCAUUUAAUUUUUCAAAUGAAUGAAUGAACUUGUGGAUCUACGACCUCUACCCAGUUUACCAUCCCAUUCUCAGUCCUAGUUGGACAAUUAUAGUUCCCAUCUAGUUUUAAUUAUUUGUUAGAUGGGUUUAAUUCCCUUCUUUUUUCCCUUUUCAAGUUAAAUGUGCCUUGAAAUUGGAUUGAAAGAUGUUCUUGGUGCUUUACAGUAUAUAAUAUUCAAAUCAAACACGAUUUAUCACAUAUAACCUUCCAUUUACCAAUUUAAGAUGAGUUUCAAAUCAAACAAAUUCUGAAUUAGAAGAUCUUUGCCUUGCUUCUCUCCCCCAAAAUUCUACUGUUUUAUUUCAAUCUCUGUUAACGAAAAAAAAUUCUAUCAAAAAUUCGAAUUUGGAAAAUGAAAAAAAUAAUACAAGAACUGGAUUUUGCAAAUGAAAAUUUAUUGAAAACACCUAUGACUUAAUAAACCAAAAUAUGAAUUAGUGAAAUUUAGUAAACAGUGUCAUUUAUCAAAGACGGGUUGAGCUGAUUCUACAAAAAUGGUCAAGGACGGGUUGAACUGCUGCAAAAAUGGUCGAAGAUGGGAAUUGAUUCUAAAAAAAUGUCGAUGACAGGUUGAAUUGAUUCUGCAAAAAUGGUUGAGGACGAGUUGAAUUGAUUAUGUAAAAACGUUGAACUGAUUCAACAAAAAUGGUCGAGGACAGGUUGAACUAAUUUAGCAAAAUGGGUCGAGGAUGGGUUGAACUGCGUUGAACUGAUUCUGCAAAAAUGGUCAAGGAUGGGUUGAAUUGAUUCUACAAAAAUGGUCAAAGAUGGGUUCAACUGAUUCUGCAAAAUUUGUCGAUGACAUAUUCAAUUAAUUAUGCAAAAAUGGUCGAUGAAUGAUUGAAUUGAAACAAACUGGUUCUGCAUAUAGUUUCAAAACCGAUUCUACAGAAAUAGUCGUAGAUGGGUUAAGCUUAUGGCACAUUAAUUUUGUUGGAGUUAUGAAGGUUGUGUUCUAUUAUUAGCUCUAAAGCUUUAAAGCUAUGACUGGUAUUUUAAAACAUUGUUUCCAUGUUUUUGGGCUAGGCUUUAGUUGUUUUUAUAUUUUUGUCUCUUCUUAACAUGCUUAAAAACUAGUGGAGUUCCUUGAAAUAUAGUAUUGUCUCUCUAUAUAGGUCCUUUUUUUUUCUAUUAUAAAUAAACGGUCCAAAUUUAAUUUAGAGUUUCUUAUUAUAUAGUCCUCAAAUUGAAGGUUAUAUUAUAGAAACUUUUCCAUUACAUUGAAGAUGCUCUAAGAAAGACAUCCAUCACUUCUACCUCUUGUAUGAUUUUAUUUUGGUUGGUUAGUUUUGUUUCUAACCUUAGCAGAAUAAAGUUAGAGAAAUUGAAUUAUAUGGUUUUACAAGAGAUAAUCCUAAAGUGGGAACGAAACUCCCAUGAAAAAAAUGUAUAAUAACUUAAAUAAGUAUGGUGGCAUAAUGUUUAGUUUAUGCACGUUUUUUCAUUUGAUUAAUCAAAUAAGUAAAAUCUUUUUUAAACUAGAACCAGAUUAUAAUCAUGAAUAAAAUCCUUUGAUUAUUGUAGUAAACAAUAAAACAACGAGUGACCAAGUUAAUAGCAGUCGCAUGUCCCUUUUUUUUAAUAGCAUUUUGUACUGCUUUGUGCCACAGCAACUCCAACCUUUUGUUUUCUCUUCCACUCAAAGGGAUCACUCUGUGUCGUCUGUGUGCUUUUAUUUUUUUAUUUUAUUUUAUCAAACUUUUUUUAGUUAAAUUAACGGAAUGACUAAAAUGAUUUGCAGUGGACAAACUUAUAGAACCACUUCUAUAUGUUUUCAUUGUCAAAUGACCAAAAUAAAGAGUUAUGCCAAUCUCAGAGACCAUUUUAGUUAGCUUGUUUUCUUUCGUUUUCGUAGUUAGUUUGUGUUUAUUGUAGUGAUUUAAGCUAUUUUCGUGUGUUUAUAGGUCCAAAUGACAAAGUUGGCAAGAAAGUGCAAUUUGGAGCAGUUUUGGGCAUUAAAUGGAUAGCACAUGUAUGGGCCAAGAUGGAUGGAUGUUUUUGGAGUUCAAAAGGCUAGGAAUCUGAUAAGGAGAUGAAGAAAUUAAAUUAAAGACAGAGAAGAUAAGGAAUCAGCUCAAAAGAAGGAGAUAUUAUCCAAAAUCUUAUCCAACCUUAUCUUAUCCAAACAAACAUUAUCUUAUCCUAUCAUAUCCUAAUCUUUUCCUAACUUAAUUCCUACUACAAGGGGGAGUUAAUUUCUUAUUUAAAUCACCUAGAAACCUUUCUAGAAGACCUUAUAUGUUCCUACAUUGGUGUUGCAUGUUUUUAGGCCUUGUUCUUCUAGAAAUCAGCCACAUAACAUUGUUUCUAGAAUUCCCUACAAAAGUGGCGCCCCAAACCCUUAUAGAAACCCUAAAAUCUGCAAAAACCCUAGUUGUUUCCCCCCUUGGAUUGAGGCCCAAGCCUUUGCCGAAAAUCUUAAGCCUUUUCCCAUCAGAAUUUGUCAAAACCCUAGACUAUAAAUAAGUGUUUUCAGCCACAAUUUUGUAAACCACCCCUUACCAUUUAGAAACACAACCUGCCGCACCAUAAACACCAUUCUACAACCCUUUUCUGCAACUUUGGAGAAGAAUGAGUCUAGUCGUGCCUUCCAUUGAUGAAGGAGGACCUUGUGCACAAGCCACCUGCAUCCUUAGAAGUUCUAAGAGUUCUUUCUUCCCUCGUUUUAGUUUCAAUGUUUAUUUCAAUUUGCUUUUCAAUUGAUGUGAACAUGUGUAACUAAGCUCUUAUUAGUUAGUGGUGAAUUCGAAGCCAUGGACAUAUGUUAAUAUGAAUUGAUUCCUUUCAAUUAUUGUUUCGUAAAACAUGAAUGUGAUUUACUUAUCUAUUUGAUUGAUAACUUAUUCUUGUGUGUUGAUUAAGGAUGCAUACUUAGUUUGCAUGCAUGAAUUUGAUGCUAAAUUAUAAGGAACUUUCACCUAAUCGUUAGGAACUUAUAAUGACAAGUAGUGAAGAUUGUUAGUCACAAUCGUGUUAAGUAGAUUCUUGGCAAGAGUAUUAUGCAGUUCAUAGUUAUAAUUACCUUGUCAAUGCUUAUGAUUUCCAUGGAACUUAAUGAUCUUUGAAUGUAUCUCUAUCAUGUUGUUCAUAUAGGGAACUUGAUGAGAAUAAUUUGGUUGUGAUGCAUUGUCCAUUCAAUUCAAUGAAUUUAGGGAAAUCUAAGAGUUAAUUUGUGCAUUCAUGAUUAAUUUGCGGCAUUGUCGUUCAUGGUUUAAAGAAACUGGAAAUCGAUUUAUGUUGCAUAUGUUUAUGUGUGGAGAAGGACUCUCUAACUAGCCUUUUUCACCAUUCAAUUCACCCAAUUUCAUACCUAGUUUGCUUUAGUUUACAAUCUAUUUAGUUUAAUCAAAUUCGUCCAAAUCAACCCCCCUUUCAAUUAAGUGUCUUAGAUUAGUUAAAAAAGUAUUUAAAUCUGUCUAAUUUAGUGUUUUGAGUCUCACUAGUGUUAAAUUCGUCCAAAUAGUUCUUAGAACUUGUUUUGAGUCUUUUUAGUUUGUUUUGAGUUCUUUGAGUCUAGUUAAGUGUUUUUAAGUCUAGUUUUGUGUUUUUGAGUCAUAUUUGUGUAGAUUAGCAGCCCUAGUUAAUCCCUGGCCUAGAACGAUCCCUACUUUCAUAUACUACAACUAUCUUAAUAGGGUUUAAUUUGUGUGUUAGAAUAUUUCACAUCAGAAGGUCCGUAUAAGAUUAGCAGAGUAGGAGGCAAAAGUAAUUACACCAUCGCCACCAUGAAACAAUAAAAAGAUCGAAAAGUAGUGGAGCGCCUACAAUCUGAGGAAGUAACAUGUGUGACCUCUUGCUAAAUCAAAGCUCGAAGACUCAAGAAGCUAGACGGACACCACUUCACAAGCCGAGGACUAUCCAGUUGUUAUGUAGUUCCUACCUUACAACUAAGUUCUUGUUCGUUUCACUCGUUUUUCAAUGAGGAAUUCAGAAGUAAUCACAACUUGGCUCAGCUGCAUGCUUACAACAACUGAUCAUUCAUGCACUUCAAAAGAAAACUGCACCCUUCUUAGGGACUCAUCACAGGAAUUGCACCCCCCGAGGGGACCAACCAUGCUCUCUAGUGCUACAGGGUAAACCAAUUCCCCGACACCCACAUGGGCCAGCUCUCUAAAACGGGAGGAUAAACUUUACACUUCGAAUAUCUAGAUAUGGAUGAGCUUGGCUACCCUAGUAUAACUAGAUGCAUGAUGGCUUGUGUUGGGAUUCCUAGAAGUAGCCACAAAGGUCUUUUUCAAGGCUUAACUAAUUGAAGGAUUUUGGGUCUCUUAGCCUAAUCCGUGGGGAAUCGGGCCUUAGAGACGGAGGGGGCACAUUACACAAUACGCCAUACAGACGACUGCCCUAGAACCCUAAAGUUGCUACCGAGUGCACUAAGGUAGCCUACGGUUUCGGAAGAUUACCUACGGCUUGCCUUUCGAGCAGUAAAACCAUGCUAGACUUAUACAACCGCACAUUCUUGUGAAAGUUUAAACAAGCUAGCGUGCAUAUACGAAGCUUUAUCCACUACUGACAUGCUACAUAGUCGAUAAGCUUCACCUCUGGCAAGCAGAAAACAACCUAAACCAAGUCCUAAAGUUUUGUGAUACUUGCUACGCAGCCGAUGGAAUUGGAGAAAACUAAGGUUAACAGCCUAGUGGUUACGCAAACUUGUCUACUUCUGUAAGUAAGGCAUCUGGUUGCCAACCCUAUGGCUAACAACUUUGCAAAGUUCUACAACACUUACAACUGCAUAGGUUACGUGGGCCUAUCUGCUUAUAGAAAAGUAUCACAUCUGCCACUGGUCUAUAAAGUCUAAAGGUUAGGGCAUGAACAAAAGAAGUGAAGAUGAAGAAAAGCUAAGGAAACAUGUUUGUAAACAACUUGCAAAGGCCGAAUGAGUUCAAACAAAACAAAAGCUACAAGGAAAAACAAAGAAAAUCCUAAAGGCUACCUAGAAGACUACACUUCAGCAGCUUGGACAUCCCACGACUACUCAGUCGCCACACCUUCAGCAGCCACGACGCUCUUAGCAGUGGCAUCAUCCAGCGCUUCACCCAUGGCUGCCCCAGCCUGGGCACCAACUUCUCUAACUACUCUAAAAGUAAAAGUAAGCAAGUCUUCCGGAGAAAUAGAGAAGGUCUAGAAACCUCAAGCCAAUCCGUCUCACCCUUUAGCUGCUCAUCCUCCUCGAGCAGUCCAACACGAACGCGCUGCAACUCAUCCACUUCCUUCUUCAGACUUUCGUUGAUCUUCAGUACACCUUGAAGUUCAAGCACUUGGGCUUCAAGCCUAUCGACGAUUCUCUUGAAGUGGAUCACUUGAUUAUAAGAAGCAAUCAAUUCUUCAUCAUUUGCAUAAACAGCGAAACGAAGCUCAGAAACUGCAAACUCAAGAUCUUGAAUCUAAGGUAUGCAACAUCCAAUCUCCUUCUUUGCACUUUCAUACUUAACUUGGAUUGCGUCAAGCUUAGUUUUCAAGUUAACAAUAUCUUAGCGAGCGGUCUCAAGCUGCAGAGAAGUAGGGGCAGAAAUAUUAGACCCUUUUAAAGCAACGAGCUCAGAAUUCAGCCUCUUGAUCUCCUCAGUUGAGGUAUAAGCUUCAGCUACCAUAGUUUUCGCCACCUCAUUGGUAACCUUACUAUAUCUACAUCAUAACAAGUAGAGCAGUCGCUCUAUAUUGGGUCGUAUACUUCGCCAAGGAAUUUGGGUAAACAAACCUUUCUAAACGCCAUAAAAAAACUUGGCACAAAUGUCUAUGUCUUCAAGCAGAUCUGGUUUCAAGAGCACACAGAUCUCAGCAACCUCCCCAGAAGCAAGCUUAGUAGAUUUCUCAUAGCUGCCCACGCGAGCAGUUUCCUCCUUCCCAGCAGGCGAAUCUGUUUUAGCAGUAAAAGGAGUGGGCCUUAUCGCCAUUUUAGCAGUAGAGACCACCUUAUCGUUCUUCAUAAUAGUAAGCAUUUCCAAAGGUGAACCGGACUUGGCUCUCAAUGGACGUCUUGGUACAGACUUUGGCACUAAGGGCAUAAUAUGACCUUUACGUUGAGCAACAUUAUCAACAAUCGUACAGGCCAUUCUCAACAUGGUAGGCGCCAUAUGCUCAGAUCUCACAGCCUCAUUUUUCUUCCCAUUGGAAGAAGUCAUGCCAAUCACAGGACUCUCGGCAGCAGGUGGACCCUUACAAACAGCGAAGGAAGUUUUCAGUUUUCUCAACCGACAUCUCUUGAGCAGGCAAGGAGGAUCUCGUCUGUCCACCUUCAUUCAUAAUAGGCUUCAUGACAACAUUCAGACGAGCCAAUGCAUCUGCCUCGAUCCUAUUUACCUUCUCUCUCGAAGGGAGCUCAACCUAUACUGACUUUUCCUUCAUUUUUUUUUCUCUCAGACCAGCAAGCAGGAGGCUUACAUGCCCAACAUUCUAGCAGUCCAUGAGGCUCGCGACCUUUUCAUUUCUCUCAAUGUCAGCCUGGCCCGCGUUAGGACCAAGAGCCCAAAGGACAAAAACCAUGCGACUCGCCUAGCACUGCGGCCCAGUGCCUCAAUUCUCGGCCCCAGCCGCAUAAGCUGCCCUUGGCACUAGCCAUGCCCUUGGCACUAGCCAAGCCAAGCGGCCUAAGCAGUGGUCCCUGCCACAAAGCCUUCUUAGCCCAUGUCGAGUCGACUCCUGGCCCCUACCACCUGACGUGCCGCACCACCCCAACGGAUACCCCGCGACCGCACUAUCCAAGAAGAAGACAAGGAAAAUUAAUUUUUUCUUACUUCGGUGCGGCGCGAAGAAGACGAAGAAAACAACGAAAGACAGUCUUUUGCACGGGCAAGAUGUAGAAGAUUGCUAGUGGAGGGGGAAUAAAUAUCCUCUAAACUCUCCCUCUCUCUCUUGUAGGGUAGAAUAAAUUGCUCUCCAAAGUUCAUUUAAUAACCCACUUAAGGUGGACUUAAAUAGGCUUUGAGAGAAAUUUAUUUCCCUUCCCUAGAAGGAUUUAAUUUCAAAUUAAAGAGAGAAUCAACAUCAAAAUAGAAAAAAAUCUUAUGUUUCCUCAAGCAAGAGGAUCUCUACACCUGCUGCCCUUUCCUACUAGCAGUCCAACAGGUGUGGGGGCAUUUGUGGAGCCAAAAAUAAUCACAAGGCGACAUGUGGAAUUUUGGACAAAAGAGGACAAAAUUACCCUAGAGUCACACCAGAUUUCCUACGCGUGAGUAGUUAAUGCGAAAUAUAUAAGCACACAAAUUAAACCCUCUUUUUAUCAAUUGUAGCAAAGUAUGUAAGUAGGGAUCAUUCUAAAACACUUAAAACUGACUCAAAAAUGUAAAACAAAGUUUAAAACACUAAACUAGACUCAAAGAAUGCAAAACUAAACUAUAAAACACUAAAACAAACUCAAAAGACUCAAAACAAGCUAAAAACACUCAAAACUGCCUAAAAACACAAACUGGGCAGAUUUGGACUCUAAACAUAAUUUUGGACAAACUUUGGGUUUUCCUUGACUCAAAACACUUAAAAACACAAUCUAAACAGAUUUCAACUAGUUAGACACUCUAAAGUAAAAGGGGGUUUGGUUUUGGAUGAAAAUCAAGUAAAAUAAAACAAGAAAGACUUAAACAGAUUUUAGACGAAAUUGGGUGAAUUAGAUGAAUGAUUGGCUAGCUAGGAGGUUCUUCUCUACACAUGUCACACUUGCAUACAAAACGAUUUCCAAUUGCUUUUCAAUAAACCAUGAAUUCCCAACGCCCCAGAUUAACCGUGAAUUGCACUAAUUAACCCUCAGAUUUUCCUAAAGUUAUUGAAUUGGAUGAUUGCAUACGACAACCCAAAGUAUUCCCCACAAGUUCUCCACAUGAAUUGUAUAAUAGAGAUACAAGCAAAGAUCAUUAAGUUCUAUGAAAAUCAUAAGCAUUGAUGAGGCACUUGUUACUAUGAAUUGCAUGAAACUUAUGCCAAGAAUUUGAUUAACACGAUUGUGAUUAGCAACCUUUACUACUCUUGAAUAUAAGUUCAUAACAAUUAGGUGAAACUCCCUUAUAUCCUAGCAUCAGAUUUAUGCAUGAAAAUUAAGCGUGCACUCUCAACCAACACACACAAAUCAGUUUUAAUUCAUAUAGAUAAGCAAAUUGAAUUUACAACUUAUGAAACACAACUGAAAGUAAUCAAAUCAUAUAGCUUUUGAAUUCACAACUUAUGAAACACAAGAAAAUGGCUUAAAAGACUAACUUAACUAAGAAAACACAACGUAAAUGCACAAGAACAAGCUCACUAAGUCGCAUAAAUAUGCUCCUAUCAAAUUCCCCCACACUUAGCUUUUGCUAGUCCUCGAGCAAAACAAAGAAACAAAAGAAAACAAAACGAAACAAAACAAACAAAACACAACCUAAACCCUCCAACAUUUGCCUCAGGGAUUUCCAAUGCACAUGACAUGUUAAAAAUCAUUAUUCCCACAGAUUUUAGUCAUCUUCACACACAAGCACAUACUUAAUCAUAAUCACCACUUACUAGUUCACAUUUAACCAAUUAAAACGAUGUUUUGAAUGUAGUAACAUGCCUUAGAGAAUUCGGUCAAUUCCUUACAAGAUAUGCACUCAAUUUUCACUCAGAUUUUUUUACUACACACCCUAUACUAGUUAUAUGUGAGAAGAUUGAUGUAGACAUGAAAACGAACGCUCACAUAUAUGUAUAACAAAGAAAGCAAUUUCUUGAGUUAGUAAGCAUGUUAGAUAUGAUCUCAUAAAUGGAAUGCUACUACUUAGAUGCGAGAACCAGUGACACCAUAUGCUCAUACCAAAUUCAAACUCCACAAAUUGAAACACACAACACUCAAGAUUGAAGUCAAGGGUUGUAAUGGGGCUUGGGGUAUUGGUUAAGAAAGAAUAAUAGGGAUAACAAACGUUCUUAAAGCACUAGCAAGCAAAGUAAUGAAAUCGAAACUUCAAAUUCAAUUUCGACCGCAGAAAUCAACUUUUGACACAAAGGAAAGAGUCAUACAACACUUAGGGCCGAAUUUAAUGUUUUGGACCCUAUCUUCAACAAACAACACUUUAGAGCUCUUUUUCACAUCUUUUUCAGCUAUUUUCCAUACUUUUCACAACUUUUCUUUUUUUCUUUCUAUUUUCCACGAAUUUUUCUCUCUUUUUUUUUCCUUUUUUUUUCUACCCGUGCCACAUGAAAGACUUUGGCACACACACACAACAAAUCCCUUCCCCCACCCUUGUUUUCUGCAAUACAUUGAUCAAAAGGAAUUCAUCUUGAGUCAUGCUUUACUAUGCUUCAAGAACAAGGGUAUAGAUGGUCCUAAUCUAGGCUAGGUGAGGAUAGUGUGGGUUAACAAAGAACAUAGGCUACACAAGGCUCAAUGGGGGUAACUUAAACAUAUAAUGAAUUAGGGCACACGACAAUUUGGCUUUGGUGGUCACUACACAACUUCAUCUUGAAUAUGUGUUAUGCAAUCAAUAGCAUGCUUUGAAUGAAAUGGGCAUGAGUUCUAGCAUUUGGAACUAAAUGAUGAAACGCCUUCUAAGUAGUAACCAAGCAUAGAAUAAUGAGAUCAUGCAACGACUUUAGAAAACAACAAUGCACAGAUUAUUAACUCUCCAAAUAAACGUUUAGGCUCAAGUCUCACAAGGUUGUAGCUUAAUUUGAGUUCCUUCCUUCAAGCAUGUUACAAAAACUGAUUUUUUUCUUUAUGAUUGCAUGUGAAUUCAUAAGUUAUAACCACAACCAAGCAUAAGCCAAAGAGUAAAUCAACUUUCAUCCAUGUUUAUAACUCUCUUUAACAGUCAUGCAAUUAAAAACCGAAUCUUCAUCAUUGUGUUGGAAGGUACCCUAAGACACAAACAAACACACAAACACAACUAAAAAACAACUUUUUUUUUGGGUUUUUCAAAACAAUUUUUCAAAUUUUUAUGAGAUUUUCGGAUUUAUGUCAAAACACACUAAAAUGCAUCAAAACAGCUUAAAAACACUUAAAAACAGCAAGGAACAACUUUGGAAGUUAUGGGUGAUAAAAUCCCACGAAUUUGCAUCAAAAGCACUUAUUUACCCCCCACACUUAAAUCAAACAUUGUCCUCAAUGUUUCAAGCAUAAACUCACCCAAAAACACAUAAACAAACAAACAACAACUAAACAACUCAACAUGGCAAAAAUGAAAUAACAACAAAGAGAAGGGUUUGAAGAACGCAAAUCUGGAAUUGGAGUGAUUCCUAGGUCAUCCUUUGUUGAAUGCAUGGGUUGCCUCCCAAGUAGCACUUGCUUUAACGUCGUGCAUUCGGACGAAGAACACAUUCACUCCCCAUUGGAGCCCACGACAUGCAGGUCCACGACAUGCUUCUUAAAGUUCUCAUAAUAGGGCUUCAAACGGUGGCCAUUCACCUUGAAUUCGUGUCCUGUUUUCAAGCUUUGGAUUUGGACUGCACCAUGAACAAAAACAUUAGUAAUAACAAAUGGUCCAAUCCACUUAGAACGUAACUUACCGGGAAACAAACGUAAACGGGAAUUGAACAAUAGCAUUUUCUGCCCUAUGGAGAAUUUUUUUCCACGAAUCAUUUUAUCAUGGAAAGCUUUGGUCUUCUCCUUGUAUAUGCUAGCAUUCUCGUACGCCUCAUGCCUUAUCUCAUCAAGUUCAUUUAAUUGGAAUUUUCUAUGACUUCCCGCUACAUCGAGAUUCAUGUUGAACUUUUUGACGGCCCAAUGAGCUUUGUACUCCAAUUCUAUGGGGAGAUGGCAUGGCUUGCCAUAAAUGAGCCAAAAUGGGGACAUCCCAAUGGGUGUUUGUACGCCGUACGAUAUGCCCACAGUGCGUCAUCUAAGCGUAAGCUCCAAUCCUUCCUUGUUGGACCCACGGUUUUCUCUAGGAUUUGCUUGAUCUUUCGGUUAGACACCUCGGCUUGGCCAUUAGUUUGAGGAUGGUAAGGUGUAGAAACCUUAUGGUUGACAUUGUACUUCCUCAAUAACGCCUCAAUGGUCCGGUUACAAAAGUGAGACCUUCCAUCACUUAUGAUUACACGUGGCAUGCCAAACCUUGCAAAUAUGUUAGUUCUAAUAAAAUCUGCAACCACUUUAGAAUCAUUAGUCCGGGUGGCUUUUGCUUCCACCCACUUUGACACAUAAUCAACCACAAGAAAAAUAAACAUGAAACCAUACGAGGAAGGGAUGGGACCCAUAAAAUCAAUACCCCAAACAUAAAAAAUUUCAACAUUAAGGAUAGAAACCUGUGGCAUUUGAUCCCUAGCACCUAUGUUACCCAUUCUUUGUCAUUUAUCACAUGUUAAGCAAAAAGUUCUAGCGUCCUUAAAGAUACUAGGCCAAUAGAAUCCACAUUGUAACACCUUAAGUGUUGUUCUUUGUGUGCCAAAGUGCCCACCACAUGCAUAUGUAUGACAAAAACUUAGAAUUGAUUGAAAUUCAGAAUCAUGCACACAUCGACGUACAAUCUGAUCAGGGUUAAAUUUCCAUAAAUAUGGAUCAUCCCAUACAUAAAACCAUGCAUUAUGUCUUAACUUAUCACGUUGGUGCCAAGUGAAUGUUGGAAGUAUGCCCACAAAGCCACUCAUUUGAUGUAAUAGCUUUUUGGAAUACUUAAUGUAUUAAACUUUUAUAUGUUUAAUGGAGGGCAAAGCUUAUUGUUAAUCAUUAUUUAUUGUAUCAUGUGUUUAAGCAAUAAGGGAAUCCAAGGGAUGUAUUUGAUCUAAGAGACAAGUGAUCUAAGUGAGUUAGAUUAUCGAGACCAUUCUCUUAUGUUCAUUCCUAAAACGUUCCUAGCCAUAGGAUUGCCAAUUGGGCAUUGACAAUCCGCUAAGGUUAGUAUGUGUUAUGUUGACUCAAGCGUGAGUAUGACUAGUCUCAAGUCAUUUGGUGUUGGACACUAAGACAAACACAUAGGUGCUCGAAAGAGUAAUCGAGUACACUGAACUACGAUCAAAAGAGAGUUCGAACAUACAUGUCAUGUAUGAACUCUAAAGUUGCAAUAUGCAAAGUAGUCCUUUGACCUGAGGCAUCAUAGAUGUCUAAUGGUUAGGUCCUUGAUCUUUGAUCAUGUCAAACGGCAUUCCAUCGGAGUGUCCACGGCAUUGUUGGGGUCAAGCUAUCUAGUCAUGUAGGCAUAUGAAUGCACAACAAGGGAUCUCUAACCUUUCAUGGUGGAAGGAGAAUACUCUAAGAUAUGAUUCUAAAGUCUUUGGCCAAAGCAUAUGAAUAUGACUUAGGAAGUUUGUUCCAAAUCAUAUUCAAGGGAAUCAUAUAGAGAUGUAUCACAUUGGAUAGUAGACAUGAAACAAACUAUCACUCAAACAAUGUGAUUAAGAGUAUUGUAUUAGAGAAGGACCGUAUUGCAUUGUAGUUGCAACUAGAUAGGUUUUCCAACCAAUUCUACUUAGCUUGGGUAACCAUGACAUACUGCUAGGUGUCACUCAUGGUUUGUGGAAGCCCUAAAUGAUUAGCAAACACUAAUCAUUAAAGGAGAAUUGAAAUGUGGUUUCAAUUUCACAAUCGAUCGUUAAGAGUAACAAUCGCCCACUACCUUGCUAAUUGGAACCUAAUGGAUCGUACACCGAGUAAGGAUGUAUGUGAGGAAAUUAAAUGAAAUGGAUAAGCAAUUAAAUGGUUUAAUUGAAGAAUGGUCAAGAUUAAUUAAUUAGUUAAUUAAUUUUACGAAAGGUUCGUAUUGGGCUUUUAAGUUGGUUUUGGGCUUCGGGGCUCAAAAGCGUUUUGGUCCAUAAGGCCCAUUAUGUUUAAGUUGUAUGACAACUAAAACAAAAUGGGCAAUUAGCCCAAUAACAAAGGUAAGGCCGGCCAUAAGGGUGAGGGUAGCAAACUUGGAUUAAUUACAAGUUUGCCACUCACUUGAAAUGAAGUAUAAAAUCAACUUUAUAGCUUUAUUUCUACUUAGGGUUUUCUCAAAGAAAUUGGGUGAAAGACUUUCUCUCAUUUUUUCUCUAAAGAGGCCGGCCACUUAGGGGAGGGAUAUCUAGCAAUCUCUUCUUCCCUAAGUCAUCCAUAUUAUCUUCACAAAAUACAUCCUUGGUGUGGAGACUUAGAGACAUCAAACUUUUGGUGUUUUGGAGAACAAAUCCUCAAAUCCUCAAAGAAUCAAAGGAGCACUAAAAGGAGGAAAAUCACAAGGAAUAUUCAAGGAGCUUGGAGGUGACUUGAAGGCCCUCCACUUGGGUGAAUCCCUUGUGUAAACAAGGAUGAGCUUCAAGGGUAAAGAAACUCUAAAUCUUUACUUCUCUUUAAUGUUGUUAAAGAGUUUAUUGGUUCACCAUAUACUAGGCUUUGAAAGUCAUAGGUUUUAUGAAUUGUUUUUGAAUGCAUGUCUACUUUAAAGUGUUAAUAGCUUGCAUAUGUAUUCAAAUGUUCAUACUUGUUCUUAGCUAGGACAAAAAAAUUUUCCUUCAGUGAAAGUGUUUGGAAUUCGUUUUGACACCAAAAAGUUUACCAAAUUGGCAUACCAAGGCUCACUUACCUUUAUGAACAACAAUUGUUCAUCGGGGAAUGUUUCAGCAAUGGGUAGGGGCUCUUCAUUAUGCACCAUUCGGCUUAGGUGGUCAGCCACCACGUUUUCACUUCCCUUCUUGUCUCGAAUCUCAAUGGCGAACUCUUGAAGUAGCAACAUCCACCUAAUUAACCGUGGCUUGGCAUCCUUUUUGGUGAGCAAGUACUUCAAAGCUGCAUGAUCAGUGAAAACAAUUACUUUAGUACCAAUUAGAUAUGAUCUAAAUUUAUCUAAAGCAAAGACAACGACAAGAAGUUCUUUUUCCAUAGUGGAAUAGUUCAAUUGAGCAUCAUUCAACGUCCGUGAGGCAUAAUAGAUGACAUGCGGCCUCUUGUCUUUCCUUUGUCCUAAAACAGCCCCUAAAGCAUAAUCGGACGCAUCACACAUAAGCUCAAAAGGUAAGCUCCAAUCAGGUGGGACAAUGAUUGGUGCCGUGGUCAACAACUCCUUGAGUUGGUUGAAUGAUGCUGUGCAUUCCCCAUUGAAAUCAAACGCCACAUCUUUUUGUAGGAGUCGACAAAGAGGUUAGGCAACUUUUGAGAAGUCUUUGAUGAACCUACGAUAGAAACCUGCAUGGCCAAGAAAAGAACGAACCUCUCUAACCGAAGUAGGAGAGGGUAAGUGACGUACAAGAUCUAUCUUUGACUUAUCAACCUCAAUACCAUUUUCAGAGAUGAUAUGACCUAAAACUAUGCCUUGUUUAACCAUGAAAUGACAUUUUUCCCAAUUAAGAACAAGGUUAGUUUCAACGCAUCUUUUUAAGAUCAAACUGAGAUUAUGCAAGGAACCAUCAAAAGAAUCACCAAAAACGCUGAAAUCAUCCAUAAAAACUUCAAUUAUUUUCUCAACAUAAUCAGAAAAUAUGCUCAUCGUGCAUCUUUGAAAUGUGGUAGGUGCAUUACAUAAACCAAAAGGCAUGCGACGAUAAGCAAAUGUACCAAAAGGGCAUGUGAACGUGGUUUUUUCUUGGUCCUCGGGUGAUAUGACAAUUUGAUUAUAACCAAAAUAACCAUCAAGAAAACAAUAGAAAGCAUAACCUGCUAACCUCUCAAGCAUUUGAUCAAUGAAUGGCAAGGGGAAGUGAUCCUUCCUUGUGACGUUUAGCUUCCUAUAGUCGAUACACACCCUUCAACCGGUUUGCAUGUGAAUAGGCAUAAGCUCAUUUUCGGCAUUUGUAACCACUAUCACUCCAGAUUUCUUUGGAACGUAUUGAACGGGCGAAACCCACCUACUAUCCGAGAUUGGAUAGAUUACUCCACAAUCUAAAAGCUUGAUGAUUUCCUUCUUCACAACUUCUAUCAUAGGAGGGUUGAGUUGGCGUUGAGCCUCUCGAGAUGUUUUAGACCCCUCAUCCAAAAGUAUGCGAUACAUGCAUGUAGUAGGGCUAAUUCCUUUUAUGUCGGCUAAUGUCCAUCUAAUUGCCGUUUUGUACUCCUUUAGCACCCUCACCAACUUGCCUUCUUCUUGUGCCGUGAGUGAGCAUGAGAUAAUGACGGGCAACGUCUCAUCAUCUCCCAAGAAAACAUACUUCAAAUGACUAGGUAAUGGCUUAAGUUCAAGUGUAGAUGGCUGCACAUCUAUGGGAAGCAUCUUAUUAGCCGAAACUGAACUUAAAAUUAGGUCCAACAACUUACCAGAUUGUGGUGGCAAUGAUUCAAGGGCAGCCACCAUCUCAAUGACACCAUCACUAGGGGGCACGGCAAGGGCAAGUUCAUGCAUGUCGUGGGUGUGCAUGGUUGCUGCUUCAAUGUUUUGCAUGUCCAUUCCUCGUGCAAUGACCCAUUCAAGUGCAUCUUCAUUCAAUUUGUCAAAAUGGUCCUGCGCCAAAGAGUCAAUUACAUCAAUAGCAAAACAUGAAUGAUUCUCACUAAGAUACUUCAUAGAAUCAGAAAGAUUGAAAUUAAUAACUUCCCCAUCAAAUUUCAUCGUCAACGUUCCAUUAAACACAUCAAUCUUUGUCCGGCCGUUUUCAUGAAUGGCUUUCCAAGGAGGAUGGGCAAUGAAAGGGCAUGGUCCGACUCGUCCAUCUCAAGCACGUAGAAAUCUGCCGAGAAGAUUAAGUAAUUAACCUGCACUAAAACAUCUUCCAAAAUUCCCUUUGGAUAGGCAUUAGAUCUAUCGGCCAAUUGUAUAAUCACACCAUCAUUUUUCAACUCUCCUAAAUUCAUAGAUGCAUAAAUUGAAUAUGGCAUGACAUUUAUAGAUGCACCUAAGUCUAGCAUGGCAGAUUCAAAACGAGUAUUACCAAUGACACAAGGAAUUGUAAAACUACCCGAAUCCUUGCAUUUAGGGGGCAGUUUGCGUUGCAAGAUGGCUGAGACGUUUUCACCUACUUUUACAACUUCCUUGGUCGAAAUCCUCUUCCUAGUGGUGCAAAGUUCCUUCAAAAACUUGGCAUACCUCGGGACUUGCUUAAUUGUAUCCCAAGGGGGGGAUAUUGACUUGAACUUUUCUAAACGUUUCCAAAAUGUCCUUUUCAGCUUCCUUCUUCUUUGAUUGCAUAAACCUACGAGGAAAAGGUACAUUGGGUGGAAUAUGGUUAGUAUUAACCGAAAUUGGACCCAUCUUACCUGAUUUGGACGGAUUAGGAUGUGGAGAGGGUGUAAGGGUUUGUGGCAUAGAUUGCUCAAUCCUUACCGUGGCCUUGUCUUGGCUUUCCUCCUCGAAUUGCAACUUCUCAUCCUCAUUUUCACUUGAUUUGGAUGGUCUAUGGUCAGCUCCAACUUCUUUUCCACUCCUUAGCAUGAUUGCCUUGGCAGAUUCAAAGCCUCAUUUCAGAUUCACAACGGUUGAACUAGGAAGUUUUCCCUGUUCUCGGAAUUGCCCCAUGAACUUCGCAAUUUGCCCUACUUGCUUCUCCAACUCGUCCACCUUUUUGUCCCUAGUUUGCAUACCCUGCGCCAUAGAAGUUAGUAAUUGAAAAAUCUGAUCAUUAUCAAUAGACGAACCUGAUUUGUUUUGGGCAGGUUGUGCUUGAGGUUGUGUGGGUGCAAACGAUUUUUUAUAGAAACCCGGGGGUUGUUGCCUAAAUGCACUUUGUUGUUGGCCUUGUUGGGGUUCUCUCCAUUUGAAAUUUGGAUGAUCUCUCCAUCCCGGAUUGUAUGUAUUAGAAAAUAGACCAUUCCUUGGUUGGUAUUGAUUCCCAAAACCCACGGCAUUGAGGGUCUCCCACCCUCCGUUCUCAAUCAAUUGUGGGCACUUAUUCGUGAGAUGUCCUUGCAUGGAGCACACAACACAAGCAGCCACAUUUUGUACUUUUGGUCCUUCCACAACCUGAGAAAGAAGAGUAGUAAGGUUAGCCAUUUGAUUUUGAAGUUCAGAAUGGCACUUACCUCAUUCACUUGGUGUUGCCGUGGGGUGCUCCUUUGUCCAACACCUUCGUAUUGUUAAGCAUUCAACGCUCGAUUAGCAAUCAAAGUCUUUGCAGCCGUGGGGGUCUUAUCCACCAAGGCUCCUCCCGCUAAGGCAUCUAGCAUUUGACGUUCAAUUGGUAGAAGCCCUUCGCAGAAGUAUUGUAGAAAAAGCUCCUCCUUCAUUUAAUGCUGUGGACAUAAAGCAACAAGAGAUUUAAAACGUUCAUAAUAAGUAGGAAAUGAUUCACCUUCAUCUUGCUGAAUUCCACCUAUCCUUUUUCGUAAAAGAAUAACUCGAGAAGUUGGGAAAUUUUUUUCCAAGAAAGCCUGUUUCAUGCUCUCCCAAGAUGUGAUAGUUCCGGGAGCUAAUUCAUACAACCAAUCUUUCGCCUUUUCCAAUAGAGAAAAGGGAAAGGCCUUCAUCUUCAAUAUGCUCCCACCGACGUUGAUGAGAGUCAUGCUUGAACACACCACCUCGAACUCUUUCAAGUGCUUGUUGGGAUCCUCCAUGGACAACCCAUGGUACUUUGGAAUAUGGUGCAGCAAGCUUGACUUCAACUCAAACUCUUCGGUCUUGCCUUGAGCAGCUGCGGGGUAUUGGAUGCAUAGGGGUGCGGCAUUGUCUAAUCCUGAAGCGGAAAGCUCCUUGAUUAUUCGGUUGUCCGAUGCCAUGUCUUGCACUACUUCACCCACCCUUGUCGUGGGUUCUUCUUCCUCAAACUCAGAUUCGGCCUUUGAAUUUGAACUUGAUUCACUAGGUUCUGGAUUCUUCCUCUUUCGUCUCAACUCUUGCUCGAAAUCGUCGUCAAAGUCCAAGAUAUGUUCACGAAUCGGAUGAGAACUCAGAGUCAUAAACUAGUACCUAAAAACAAGAAAACAAAACAAGGUCAGAAUCUGGAAUCAAUUAAAACAAAAUAAAAGAUCCAAUGGAUUAGCAACUUUGCUAAUCCCCGGCAACGGCGCCAAAAAUUUGAUGCGAAAUGUAUAAGCACACAAAUUAAACCCUCUUUUUAUCAAUUGUAGCAAAGUAUGUAAGUAGGGAUCAUUCUAGGCCGGGGAUUAGGAGGGAUUGCUAAAACUUAAAACUGACUUAAAAACAUAAAACAAAGUUUAAAAUACUAAACUAGACUCAAAGAAUGCAAAACUAAACUAUAAAACACUAAAACAAACUCAAAAGACUCAAAACAAGCUAACACUCAAAACUGCCUAAAAACACAAACUGGGCAGAUUUGGACUCUAAACACAAUUUUGGACGAAUUUUGGGUUUUCCUUGACUCAAAACAUUUAAAAACACAAUCUAAACAGAUUUCAACUAGUUAGACACUCUAAAGUAAAAAGGGGUUUGGUUUUGGACGAAAAUCUAAGUAAAAUAAAACAAGAAAGACUUAAACAGAUUUUAGACGAAAUUGGGUGAAUUAAAUGAAUGAUUGGCUAGCUAGGAGGUUCUUCUCCACACAUGUCACACUUGCAUACAAAACGAUUUCCAAUUGCUUUUCAAUAAACCAUGAAUUCCCAACGCCCCAUAUUAACUGUGAAUUGCACUAAUUAACCCUCAGAUUUUCCUAAAGUUAUUGAAUUGGAUGAUUGCAUACGACAACCCAAAGUAUUCCUCACAAGUUCCCCACAUGAAUUGCAUAAUAGAGAUACAAGCAAAGAUCAUUAAGUUCUAUGAAAAUCAUAAGCAUUGACGGGGCACUUGUUAUUAUGAAUUGCAUGAAACUUAUGCCAAGAAUUUGAUUAACACGAAUGUGAUUAGCAACCUUUACUACUCUUGAAUAUAAGUUCAUAACAAUUAGGUGAAACUCCCUUAUAUCCUAGCAUCAGAUUUAUGCAUGAAAAUUAAGCGUGCACUCUCAACCAACACACAAAUCAGUUUUAAUUCAUAUAGAUAAGCAAAUUGAAUUCACAACUUAUGAAACACAACUGAAAGUAAUCAAAUCAUAUAGCAAGCAUGAACAUGGUUUCGAAUUCCCCCUAGCCAAUGGGGGUUUAGUUCCUUAUAUGCACAAAGCAAAGAUAAACAAAUUUAGACAUUAAAAACAAAAGAAAGAAAACACCUAGACGCUCCAACUUGAACAGUAAGCACGUCCACAAACUUUCCUCCUUCCUCUUUGUUGCGGCACAAGGCUUGGGAACAAGUUUUGGGGGUUAUGUGUAUGGAAGAAUGGAUGGGAGAUGGUAUGGUAGUGUUUAGGAUGGAUGGAAGGUGCGGUAAGGGGUGAUUUAGGUCAGGAACUAUGGAAAAUUGGUGGUGAUAGCUGCGGCAGAGAAGGGUGAUGAAUUUCUGGCCUGAAUUGUGAACAUGAGAGGUGGUGGUUCGGCCAAGGCUGAAAUAUAAAUAUAUAUAGGCACAUAAAACCCUAGGAAAAUCAGGUCAGGACUUGGACUUAGCAUAAAAUAAGGAUUAGGGCCCAAACAAUCAAAAUCCAAAGGGGAAAAGGUAUAGUAAAGUGCGGCAGAUAUGGAAAGGAAGGAUAAGGCUUCUAGAAUGCCUUGCAAGGCAAGGAAAAAGGGUUUCCUUGCCAAAAUUGGUGUGGCAAAGGUCCUAAAUCUGAAAGGGAUUGGUUUUCUUGUGCAACAAGGAUAGGAAAUGAAGGGAUAGGGCUUCUAGAAUCCCACAAACCCAAGGAGAUGCACGGCAAGGAUAGGGAAAUGUUCUAGAACCUUUCUUUGUGUCCAAAAAUGCUUAGGAAACCUUCAAUGUUACUGGAACUUAAGGCCAUCUAGGUUUAGGAAAGAUCAACCCAAAAUAGGAAACUUUAGGCUUAACUUUUCUACUUUAAGUAGGAAACCUUGUUGGAGUAGGAAUCCUCAUUCUUCUAGGAAUCCAUCUUUGAUUAGGAAUCCUUCUUCAAUUAGGACUCCUCACAUCUUCAAAUCUUCAAUUUCGUCCAUUCCUUUUGCUCCAAGCAUGUGAUAUCCAUUCCAAGCUCAAUUUUGCUCCAAAAGGCUCCAAAAUGCACUACUUUGCAUACUUUGCCCUUAAAACCUGAAAACACAAGAAAAUGGUUUAAAAGACUAACUUAAAUAAGAAAACACAACGUAAAUGCACAAGAACAAGCUCAUUAAGUCGCAUAAAUAUGCUCUUAUCAGCAGUGGACAAUCAUCCGUUAAUCAAGCCAAGAGUGCCCAAAAUAGGUAACAAAUUCAAAGUUAUUUCAUCCAUCCUCAUCCUAUAUUUUCCACAAGGUAAUUAUUUCAUAACCUUCAAAACAUUCCUUAUAAAUUGAGUUAAUUGCCAAAUAAAUCACCCAUUACACUAAAAAAUUACCCAAAAGGCCGACCACUCUCUCUCCCAAGAGGGUCGGCCAUGCUCUAUAUAUUGAACCCCAUUUUCUCUAAAAAGCUAAGUCCAUACUCUUGCAAAACUUCAAAAACUCUCUAAACACUUUUCUCUCUAAAUUCUAACUUUGACAUCGGAGGUUCUUCGACAAAAGCCCCUCAUUCAUCGUGCGCGCAAGAGGCCUUUGGCCUUAACCAAAGGUGUUAAUUGUUUUGUAGGUGCAAUUUUGUCCAAGAUCAAGGAGGAAGAAAUUUGUAUCCACAACAGGCUCUUCAGCCUCUUCUGGUGGUUGCUGAUUAUUUACGAGAUCUUUUGAUGAAUUUAUUUGACUUCUUAGCCGUAAUAUUUCACCCUUAGCAGAUACCAAUUCCUCUUCCAAUUUUUUGCUUCUCUUCUCCAGACCCUUCCUUUCCUCGCCUAGUCUCAUGACAAGAUUAUGGACAUCUUCCAUGUUUUCUUGGGCCUCUUUGGACGCAAUCUUAUGCUCUGUUAAGGAAAUGUAAACCACAUCUUUCUCAUCUUCAAGCCUAGAAAUUAGAGAAUUAGCCCUCUCUAUAACUUGGGAAAACACCAUUGCAUUUCGAUUCAUCUCAUCCAAUGCUUUGGUAGCCUCUUCCAGGUCUGUUUCAAGAGAUUUCUAAGACUCAUUGUCCUUCAAAAUCUGUUUAUCCAAAGCUUUAACUUCUUUUUUCAAAGAAGAAACUAUUUCAUUUUCUUCUUUUAAAUCACUUAAAGCUCUUUCAACUUUUUUGUAGACAUCAGCCAAUUCCUCAUGCAAGCUGUCACGUUUUUUUGCAACAACUAUUAGUUCAUGGGACAGAACUUGUAGCUCCUCAUUUGUCUUCUUUAUAAGUUCUUUCGCUGUAAAAAGCUCACCAACAACCGCAUCACCACUUAACGUAGCCUUAUCAAGGGUUAUCUGCAGUGAUUCCCUAACUCCAGUAAACUUGGCCCGAACCGAGAUCUCAGCUUCAAGUUCCGUGUAUAAAGUUUUUGACUGUUUUAAUUGAUUUUCCAUAUUGGAAGCUUCACUUCUUGAUUUUGUAAGAGUUUCUUGAGUGCUCUGGAGUUCAUGUUUCAAAUUUGUUUCAAUUUCCAGUUCUCUAUCCAUAAGUUCCUUCAAGUUUUCCUUCUCUCAGGUCAAAUCAGAAUUUAAUUCUUUGUUUCUACUUGUGUCACUCAGAGCAAGUUCAAGCUUUUCCUUUAGCUGCUGAAAUUUCUCUUCCCUUUCUUCCAAAAGCUUAGCAUCCAAAUCCGCCUUUCUACAGGAGGAUGUUUUCAGAUUAUUGUAUUCUUCCUGAUCAAACUCCCUCUUCGAAUCAUCUAAUUCAGAAGUGAAAGAACUAACUGUUGCAUUCAAUUCAUCGAGAUAGGAAUUCUUCAAUUCUAAUUCCUUUUGAUUUUUCAAGAGUUCAUCUUUCAACAUUUGACUAUCUGAAAGUGCAUUCGUUAGUUCAUCCCUCAUUUGAUUGUAGGUAGCUUUCAAGUCCCUCAACUCCAAAUCUUUUUCGGCAAGAGAAGAACUAAGACUUCGGACAUUGGUUUCUUUAUCCUUGAUUUCUGAAUUGAGCAAAUCAAUCAUUCCCUGUAGGACUUCAAUUGAGUUUUGCUUUUCCUUCAAAUUCUCUUCAAGUACUACCUUUUCUUCUCCGGCCUUUGAAAGGUUGGUUUUAAAACUGUCAAUUUGAGUUUUAAGCUCCUCAAUCAAUUUCUUUUCCCCAUUUAACUCCUUUCAUAAGCUUGCAAUUGUACUUUUUACCAAAUUCAAUUGGCUUGUUAAAGAAUUUUGCUCGUCCUUUGCCUUUGCUAGUUGCUUGCUCCGUUCUUCCUGUUCACCUAGUAAAUUAGAUUCAUAGCUCUUCCCUAAUGAAACAAUAACAGCUUCCUUUUCUUUCAGCUUGGUCUUCAUCUUUGCAUUUUCAACCAAAGUAAAUGUGGGUUAAAUCAAACAAAGCAUCUAAUAGUAUUUUUAUGAACAUAACCCAAAAGUAAAGGAGUAUGAUCUUUCGAGCUCAGAGACUCAUACAUUAACGGGUAGAGCUAAGUAUGCAUUUCUAUAAAAUAGAGAAACCAGGAAAGAAAAAGGGACCGUUAGAGUAGGGAUCGUUUUCAAGGAAGCAUUUAAGAACACAAGAUUGGGAAACAAGAUAAAAGACACAUUACAUUUUUUUGUACAUUUUGAAUUUCCUUUUCAAAGAGACUAGACUCCUAUCAACAUAUGUGGUAUGUCUGUGUUGUCUCAACAUGUAAAGAAAAUCUUUUUCUGUGGUAUUGAAUAGGGACUUACAAAUUCGACUAUGGCAUCAGUGGCUUUCUUUUCUGACCGAAUCAAUGCGUACAGCACACCAAGGACACCAAAACUGAAAAUACCAAUACCAUUCAGGAGAGACAAAACGGGAUUUGGUGCUACAUUUGUUUGAGGUGCUUCCUGUUCAAUGAAUAACUCACUUUAGAAAAUUAAACCUUAUAACAAACAAUUAACAAAAUAAAAAGGAAAGAUAUUAAAUACAGAUUUUUUUAGGGAGUCUUAUAGACAUUCGUAACUUCGUACCUCUGUGUUUUUACUCCCCUCUGGUGUCUUUAGCUCACUUUCUUCUGACAAAAAAAAGGAAAUAAAGGAACUAAUGCAUAAACCGCAUGAAAUGAGAUGGAAACUUGUUACAAAAGAUAAUAAUUUAUAGUAACACCAGUCCAUGUUAAGAAAAGAACUAAAAAUGUAGCACAUUGUAAGAAUCUUCGUAAAAAGAAUAAAUAAAGAGAAGGUUUAGUAAAUACCCUAAACUACCUUUGAAAUAUUAUUGCCUAAUUAAUAGGAUCUGCACAUAUAGCCUAACUUUGCGCAUUUCAAGGAUAUGAACUAUGUUUUGUGAAACCCAUUAGGCCCAAGCCCAGGAACCAAGCCCAGACCCAGACUUGAAUCCAGCCCAACCUAGUCGGAUCCCAAUAUCCCAGGCCACGUGUGAGCCUGCGCAUGGGUGCGCGUGGGUGCCUACCUUGGUCGGCAUGUGGAGCACAUGUGCCUCCACCGGAGGUACUGUGCUCCGCCACCAUCCACGGCGAUGCCAACGACUUUUUCGGCCACCCAAAAUGGCGUGUGGCGGUGCAUGAGGGCCCGUGCGGCAGAGUGUGGGGGUACCCGAGGUCUCCCUUAUGUUUUUUGAUAUCCUGAAUCCAUUUACGACGUUCUUUUCCAAAAUUCAAUCGUUUGAGUAUGGUUUUAUUAAGUAGACCCUUUAUGUGCUUAGUAUUUAUUGUGAUGUUUCAGUCUUCACUAGUUACAUGGCUUUUCGACGGCAAAUUAUCUGUAAGUGGACCCCUUCCAAAAUGCAUAAUUUUACUAUUAGAAAUGCAUACAUGCAAAACAUGAUUUAAUGGUUACGUUUUAUGAAACGUUUAUGAGUAAAUUAUUUUUACUCUUUAUGAUAUUUCAAGCUUUAUCGAAUUUACUUUCUUUGUGGUAUAUAUGAUGGAUGACUAUAUACUAUGAAGAUGAUUUAAGAUAUGAUGUUUGAGCUACUAAGCUCUGUUGAGAUAUAUAUACUUAUAUUCUGGAAAGAUUAUGUUCAAUGAUUUUUGUGCUUAUCUAGUGGUCACUAUAUUCUACCUACGGGCGUAUGUUCUACCAAGAGGCGUAUGAUCUGCCUACGGGCGACUGACCUGCCUUCGAGUGAUACUGAUACCACUAUUUAGCACCCUAUAUAUGAUCUAUGUUUUAUUGAAGAUUUUAUGGCAUGCUAGGGUUUUCGGAAAACCUUUUUCUUAUUAUGCUAUAUGAGUUUUCUAAACCUGGGGGUUAGUACGUUGAUGAAUAAUUAUGUUAGUAUUACUUAUUUAUCAACUUGGUCCACUCACCUUUUCUAUUUUACGCCCCUCAGGACAUAGAAUCGAGGCGUACAAUCCUGGUGUCAAGGCACUCCACAUUGGCAUCUUUGAGUCCUCUCGGUGUAGGACCCAUUCCUUUGUUCAUUCAAUUUUAUAUUAUUUCUCUUUAGUGUUUUAGAUUAGUUGUAUGCUCUGAACACAUUCCUUAUUUACAUAUACAUUGUAUUUAAAUUUGUAACUCUUAUUUAUAUUCAUUGGUUCUCAUGCAUAUUAGUAUGGCUUCGUCACCUUUGAGUGUUGGCCAGCACGUGCUUACCCGGGUGUUUGGAGGAUAUUGGUGUCGAGCGUGUCAUUAUUGGCUUUUCAUUUGUGCUUGGACAUUUCUUUCAAGAUCUCAAUUGACAUAUCAUCUAUUUUGUUUAAUUGGCACAUCAUUCAUUUUAAAUCCUUGGUCUUUGCCAUGACAAAAUGGGGGAGUAAAAUUUUGUGUGUUUCUUACCUUUGCAAGCCUUUUACCAAUGAUGACUUUCACUUGUUCUUGUCAAGAGUUGUUCUUUUGCAGGAGUUGUUACUUGGUUGUUACUUGGUCUUCUUCUGUUGAUUGAUGUUCUCUUGAGUGUGGGUGUUGAGUGAAAUUACUUAUAUGCUUGGGGUAUUUUGUCAAGGAGAGCCAAAGGGGGAGAUUGUGAAGUCUAAAUAUAUUAUUUGGCUUCCCUUGUCAAAAAUUGUAAAUGUUACCACACAUGCUCAUAAUUUAGAGUUAGGAUACAAUGUUGAUCUGGGAUUUCUGUUGAGAUUGAACUUGUCAAAGCACUAGCCUUAUACACUACAAAAGGUUUGAAUCAUACAUUUGCAUUUGCAUAUCAGGCUUAUUUUUCUAGAUUCCUUUUGUUUAGUGCAGUUGUCUAGUAAAAUUUUUUGUCUGUUAUCCAGUUGUCAAGGCACACAAAUUAAGAUAGCCCACAUGGGCCAUCUGACGCUUUUUCCCAAAAAUGGAUUUUCAGCCCUAGAUCUUUCCAUAUUGAUUUUACACAUGACACAUGGCUUUUCAUCCCCUCUCUUUGUCUGAAACUUACCCAUCUUUAUAAAGUCAUUCUAGGGUUCAUUUGUUGUUGGGAUUUUGAGAUUGGAAAAGUUUUUAGAGUUUCUUUUAAUCUUCAUCUAAGAUCUCCUAGAAGCAUCAAGCAUAUUUUUAUGUGUAAUGUUCUUCAUUGAAUAUUUCUAAACCUAUCUUUGAAUUGCUUGCUUAAAUUCAUUUUAUAUGCUCAUUUGUUUUGGGUAGGAGUUUUACACUUUUAGAAAAGAGUUGAUUUUAGUUUUGAGCUACCUCUUGUGUUUUUACUUGAAAACCCUAGCUACAAAAUCACACUUAUGCAUUAAAUACCCACAUCAUUGCAUAUUAGGGUAGCAUUGUUUUUGUGAAUUUGAUUUUUGUUUUAGGUCAAGUUUUUCCAAGUCUUAAAUCUAUGAACUGGCCUGUUUUGGAUUCUCAUCAGUUUCAUUUUUCAAGUGUUUGACUGGUGAAACUGACUAGACAUCGAAUCUAGAUUUGCAUAUCAUUGUCAUAUCAUCAUAUGCAUAGUUUGUGUGUUGGUUUCGGUGCCACAAGGUGAAGAGUUCAAGAAGAGCUGUCAUCUUGUGAAGACUGAAGACAACAUUAUUUCGGUGUCACAAGGUGAAGAGCUUAGGAGGAGUUGCCACUUCGUGAAGAUAGAAGGAAUCCAUCUUGUGUAAGGAAAAAUUGCACAAAGGUAAAACUGCUCUGUAGAUAGGGAUCUAGGAAUUGAGCUUGUAUGGUCUUUGUACGAACCUUUAUUUACACUAGUGGAUUGAAAAGUGGAUGCAAUUGCUAAAGUGCAGUGGAUGGCUGUAAUAUUUUGUGUAUGUCUGUAAACAAAAAGCUUUCAACCUUUUAUGUUUAAAUUGUACAAAUUAAACAUUUCAUCUAUAAACCUUUUCCAACCUCUAUGUUCUCAAUAAUGUUAAUGUUUUGUGACACCAUUUUUACAUCUUUCAAACACAAUGUUUAAUACAGUUUUCAAACUCUGGCAACGCGCAUGUGACCCAUUCUAGUAUAUAUUAAAUGACAUGAGGUUUAGAUGCACACUAUCAACUAAAAAUUGACGAAAUUAAAACUUGAGCAAUGAAGUUUCCAUAAUUCCAACCCUUGACACCCUUGAGUUUUAUUUCCAACUCGCAUCUAUGUUGAUUUUCACUCAUAGAGAUAAUAGGGAGAACCAAGUAGGCAGGAGAUACUUGUCUGCUCUGCACUUUUCUUCUCAUUGGUAUUCUUCGUUGUGGUCGUUCUAAAUUCACAUCAAGCCAUUAUAAAGGAUAAGGUAACGUGCACAGGUGAAAGGGGCCUUGUAUUCAAUUAAACGUUAAUGAUCUGAGUUAGUUAGACAGCUUUACUAUAUAUGUUCAGGUGAGGGGGCCUUGUGCAUCCAUCUUGGAUUCAACUACAAAACUAAUGUCUGAUCUGGUACAAGUAUGUGCAUACGUCACACUUCCCACAACAGAUACAUAAAGAAUACUCUACCUCUUUCUCUCUCAUUUCGCAAGUCCAAAAGAUCUUUCUAGAAAAACAAGUCUCUCACCAAAAGCCUCUAGCACCACUUGACCUUGCACGCUAUAAAACCCAACACCAAUUCCCAACAUUAAGAAAAAAAAUUAAAUUAAAUUAAAUUAAAUCAUAAGAAGCAUAGAUUUGAGGAAUGAAUUUCCGUAUAUAUUCAUCAAACAAGAAUUACAGCUUUAUACAAAGACUACCACAAUAUUAUCAUAUUCUAUUGCCUACAAAUAAGGCUAAUUAACUACUAAACUGGAAAGUAAAUAUCAAUACAUGAUAUUGACUACUUAAUAUGAGAUUCUUUCCUUAACACUCCCCCUUAAGUUGGAGUGUAUGUUAAUGACACUCAACUUGCUGAGCAACGUUUCAAACUGUGUCAAACUCAAGGUUUGGUGAAUAUGUCAGCUAGCUGAUCACCUGUAAGAUCCCACAUAGCCUAGGGGUGAGGAUCCUGUAAGCCUUAUAUCUACAUUCUCAUCUCUACCUAACACGAGGCCUUAUGAGAGCUCACUGGCUUCGGGUUCCAUCGGAACUCUGAAGUUAAGCGAGUUUGUGCGAGAGCAAUCCCAUGACCCACUGGGAAGUUCUCGUGUGUGUUCCCAAAAACAAAACCGUGAGGGCAUGGUCGAGGCCCAAAGCAAACAAUAUCGUGCUAUGACGAAGUCGAGCCCGGGAUGUGGUGGGGCCCAGGCUGAGAUGUGACAAUUUAGUAUCAGAGUCAAUCCUUGGCCAGAAGUGUGUCGACGAGGAUGUCGGGGCCCUGAGGGGGUGGAUUGUAAGAUCCCACAUCGCCCAGAGGUAAGGAUCCUGUAAGCCUUAUAUGUAUAUUCUCAUCUCUACCUAGCACAAGGCAUUUUAGGAGCUCACUGACUUCGGGUUCCAUUAGAACUCCGAAGUUAAGCGAGUUCGCACGAGAGCAAUCCCAUGAUGGAUGGCCCACUGGGGAAGUUCUCGUGUGAGUUCCCAGAAACAAAACCGUGAAGGCAUGGUUGGGGCCCAAAGCAGACAAUAUCGUGCUACGGUGGAGUCGAGCCCGGGAAGUGGUGGGGGCUUGGGCCAGGAUGUGACAUCACCUGUCUGUAUGUAGACCAUACAUAGCAUUCAUUUUUUAACCUUCUCUUACACUAGGUGACAAUCAAUCUCUAUGUGCUUUGUUCGUUCAUGAAAAAUAGGAUUCGAAGCAAUGUGUAUGGCAGCUUUAUUGUCGCAAAACAAUGAAACCGGUUGUUGAUGAUUUACUUCUAAAUCCUUUAAGAUAUUUCUCAGCCAUGUAAUCUCACAACACAUAGUGGCCAUAGAACGGUAUUCGGCUUCUGUGCUAGAGCGAGAUACAGUGGUUUGCUUCUUAAUUUUCCACGAAAUUGGUGUUUGGCCAAGUAAAACACAAUAACUCUUUAUCGAUCGUCUAGUAUCUCUGCAUCUGGCCCAAUCAGCAUCACAAAAUGCUCGUAACUAUAAUGAUCCUGUGGAAGGAAAGAAAAUACCUUGCCCAAAUGCUUGUUUAAUGUAUUUAAGUACUUUGUGUGCGGCAUCAAGAUAUGGUUGCCGUGGCUUCUCCAUGAACUGACUCAACACAUGCACGGAAUAGGCCAAGUCUGGUCUUGUGAUUAUCAAAUAUAUCAAUCUACCCACAAGUCUUCUAUAUGAGGAAGGAUCAUCCAAUAAUCGUCCUUCCAUUUGCAUAAGGGCCAAAUUUUGGACUAAGGGAAACCAAAAAGGUUUCACGCCUAGAAACCCAACAUCGUCCAAUAUCUCUUGCGCAUAUUUGUGUUAACAUAGAGUGAUUCCAUGUUUUGAUCAUGCAGCUUUUAUCCCUAAGAAGUACUUGAGCACCCCCUAAGUCUUUCAGUUUAAAAUGGUGAAAGAGAAACUAUUUAGUCUCUUCAAUAUCACGUAAAUUGUUCCUUACCAAUAUUACGUCGUCAAAAUAGACUAAUAAAGUAGUGAAUGAAUGUACCUUGAUGACUUCGGACGAACAAUGAGUAAUCAAACAAAGAUUGUUGAAACCCAGCAGCCUUGAGAGCAUUGGAUAAUUUCAUUUUGAGAGCAUUGGAUAAUUUCAUGAACCAUUGACUUCAAGCUUGCUUUAAACCAUAAAGAGAUUUGUGCAACUUGCACACUCGAGUCUCCUCCUUUCAUCUGAAACCAGGAGGCAAAGUCAUGUAAACAUCCUCUUCCAAGUCACCAUUUAAAAAGGCAUUGUUCAUAUCUAGUUGAUAAAGGUGCCAGCCUUGCAAGGUUGCAACACUGAGGAGGACACGGACUGUGGUCAACUUAGCCACGGGAGCAAUAAUGUCACAGUAAUCAACCCCCUUGAUUUGAUUGUACCCAUUUGCAACAAGAUGUGCCUUGUACCGUUCAAUCGUCCUAUCGGGUUUAAGCUUCACCUUAUAAACCUAUUUGCAUCCAAUGGGGCAUUUAUAAGGAAAGAGAGGCAUGAACGUCCAUGUGUUAUUUGCAUGGAGGGCAGCAAGCUCAUGUUGCAUGGCAGCACUCCAAUGUGGAUCUUGGACAGCCUGGGAAAAGCUAGUAUGUUCCUUAAAAAGGGUGAGAUUAGCAAUAUAGGUUUUAUAUAUGGAUGAGAGAUAAUCAUAUGAUAAGUAAGUAGCGAAAGGAUGAGAGGAACCUGACUUAACCACGUUCGUUGAAGAUGCGGGAGCAGUCCUUGAAUAGAGAUAGGCCUCAACAUGAAAGUCCUGCAAAAAGGAUGAGGGUUUUGUGAGUCAGGUACCGUGGUGGGGUGGGGGUAGGGUAGGUGUAGGUGAAGGUGUUGUGGGAUCUGGAGGUAAAGGCAUAGGAGGUGGGGUGGUGGUAUCAUCUAAAAGAAGAUUGGAAAGUCAAGGUAGGGAAGGCAUGUGAGAUGAGGUAUGAGUAGCAUCUGAAGGUGAAGGGGAAUCAUUGGAGGAAGAGAAAGGUUAAGACGGUGCAAAGGAAGGAUCCAUGUCAAAGUGGAGCAAGGAGGCCGGAGGGUGAGGUGGUGUGAAAUCCUAUUCUUGGAUUUCACUGUUAUAAUCUACGUAUUUGUAUUAUUGAGAUUUUAGAUUAUUUUUCGAGAAUUUAUUUUAAUUUGUUUGAAAUUAGAUUUUAAUUAAAUUAGUUUCGAAGUUUGAAGUUUGGAAAUUAUUUAUUUAAAAUUCGUAGACCGUUCGAGGUCACAAGUUAUAUUUUCGAAUAGAGAUCUAUCUCACGAACGCAUAGGCGAAAACCGUUCAUGAAAUGAAGUUAUAACGAGGAAAUUAGAGACGUUUUAGUUGUUGGGAAAUAAGUAAAGAAAGGUUUAGAAGCUACCAAGUGGCAUUAAAGGAGAGGGGAGAAAGGAGAGAUUGCGAGAGAGAAAAUGGGGGGUCAGCCCAAUCAGAAAAAAAGAAAGGAGAGGAAAGGGAAAGAAGAGAGAAGAGAAAAAGGGGAAACCAGGUUUCCCUCAACCCAUGACUUGACCCGAUGGAUUCUCCGAUCUUCGGCCACCUUGGACGACAAGGUUAAUGUCAAAAUGACCCUUACCACAAGGCCAACCGAUCCCUCUUCCAUUUUCACGUGAAAAUUGGGUGGAAAUUUGGUGAAUUUUGGGUAAAACCGUACAAAAGGAGGCGCAUGGGUUGGGUUCCAUUCCGCCACGAUUGGAAGCUACCUCUUCCAAUUACCAUCAUCAAUAAACUCCCCUCAAUCCCACGAACAAAGCCCAAGCAGUGGUGGAGGCGUCGGAGCUCGUAUGGAAGCUGAAUCGAAGCACACCAUUUUCUGCGGUUCUGGUAGGUUCAUGGAGAAUUGAGGCUUUUCCCGGCCAAAUUGGCCUUAGACAUAGGUAUGAAAAUUACUCCCCUCAUUGAGAUCUACAUGAAUUAGUUGAAUAUUCCUGUGAGUCAGGGCAGCCAACCGCCACGUGCAGCAGUGCAUGGGCUGAGACCCCACCUGCCCUUUUUAGACUAAUUUAGAUACACUGAUUCCUUAUGUGAAGUCUAAUUGACGAAAUCUCAUCAUAUGGCUAUAGAUUUGAUGGAGACCUCCACUUAGACAUUAUAUGAAUCGACAAUCUGACCGUUGGAUCGUCACCAAACUCUAAUACAUUAUAGAACAUAAUAUUUUAGGAUAACUGGACUGACGGAUUGGGAAUCCGAUGUACGGAUCUUUCCGAAUUAGAUUUCUAAGUUGGUAAAAUUAAUUAUUAACCGCCACCUAAUUCUAGCAAUUGGCAGAGAUCCAACCGUCAGAUCAUGAGGAGAUUUUAGUAUGUUGUUCUUUGAGCAUAAUGUGGACCUUAGGAAGUUACGGAUCUAGAUUAUGAUAUACGGAUCUUCCGAAUUAAAUUGCUAGGGUGUGGACCCCACCGUUGACUUUUGGUCAACAGGUCUUGAAACAUUUGAAUUACUAAAAUGAGUAUUUCUAGAGACUCGGUGAAGCUUUGCGGACUUGUCUCGGUGAAUGCCUUUAAUAUAUGUGAUAUGGUGAUUACUCGAUUCUUAAUAUUAAUAUCCUUUGUGGAUAUGAUAUAGUUUUAUAGACUGUUUUAUGUUAAAAUGUGAUUUGAUUCAUGGAUUGGGAAUAUUUUUGGAAAAGUGAUUCGAAUUGCAUAUUGAAAUGUUUUGUAAACUGAGGGCUAGUAGUGGAAUAUGACCCUGCUUAGUUAAUCCGCAUUGGGGGGUCACUGCCUAUUUGAUUACUUUUUUAAGUGUGACUCUGGUUGAUUAGUCCGCAUUGGGGGGGUCACUAAUGGUCUUGCUUGGUUAAUCCGCAUUGGGGGACCCUACUAUAUAUGGUCCUGCUUGGUUAAUCCCCAUUGGGGGACCCCACAAUAUAUGGUCCUGCUUGGUUAAUCCGCAUUAGGGGGUCACUAGUGGUCCUACUUGGUAUAUCCGCGAUGGGAGCCCAUACGUAUUCUAGAGGUGAUGAUGAUUAGAUGUACUUGAUACAUUUGAUUGGCGCUCAUAUUUAGUCUGGUUCCGUUGAGUGGUCCAGAACCUGAGGUUGUUGGAUUUCGUAGAGUGGUCUGGAAUCCCCUUAUUUGGAGAAGUAGGCUUGGCCUAACAGUGUCAUUCUAGCCUUAGUUUUAUAUAUAUUUGUGACAAUGGUUUCGAGAAUCUUGUGAAUUGAUUUAGAAAAGAUGUUGGACGUUUGGGUGACUCUUUCAAGAUUUUCUACGAUUCGAUUAUGAUUUCAUCAAGUAUGAAUUUAGAAAAUAUGGGAAUGAUUGUCAUUAUUUAGACCAGAUUAAUUAUUUAAUGUGGCUAGAGAAUGGUUUUGUGCUUCAUCGGUUCUUAAAUAUGACGUAUGUUGUGAAUGGCGAUGUGAUGAGACAUAAUGAUUUAUAUGUUGGAUGGAAGAGAAAUCAUGAUUUUCAUGGGGGUUUGUUAUGUAGCCUGAGUCCAGGAAUGGCAUGUUGUCAUGUUAUAAUAAAUGAUGGAGGAAUGCUAUACUUUUCUGCCUGAAUUGAGUGUGGUAAACCUUUGAUUUUGUGAGUGGUGAACUACGAAUUGCUUGAUCCCUAUUGAGGGUACGUAGGCAGUCUAACGAGAAGGUUAGAUGCAGCCAUAAAGCUUACGAAAAAUUAUUAUGAAAUUUGAACCUUGAAUGGUUUUAUUUCAUGUCCUAGAAGCAGGGUAUAUUGGAUGUUCAAGUAUUUAGUGACGUCACAUGUCGAUUCUGGGCAUAGGUCAGGGUCGGGGCGUGACAAGUGGAGUGGUAGAGGUAGCGGAAUUGUCUAAGUGUUGAUAAGGGAAUUGGUCUUCGAAGAAAAUGACAUCCGUGGAGACAAACACUUUUUGAAGAUGAAGAUCAAAUAGUUUAUAACCUUUUUUACCAUAAAGAUACCCUAGAAAAAUACAACAACAUGCACGGGGAUCAAACUUGGAAGGUUUUUUUGCAUGAGUGGAUGCAAAACAAAGACAACCAAAGACCCGUAAGUGUGAGUAUUUGGAUGGUUUGUGAAACAACUUUUCAUAUGGUGUUUGCCCGUGAAAAAUGGGUGUUGGUGUACGAUUAAUGAGAUAUGCCGAAGCAAGUAUGGCGUCCUCCCAAAAUCGUUGAGGUAAAUGAGCUUGGAAAAGCAAUGCUCAAGCAACAUUGAGCAAAUGUCUAUGCUUGCAUUCAGCGAAACCAUUUUGUUGUGGUGUGUUGACACAACUAGUUUAAUGGAUGAUUCCUUGUAAGGCAUAAAACGUGUCAAGUUUAAACUUGGGACCAUUAUUACGACGAACUAUUUUGACUUUAGUGUUGAAUUGUGUUUCAACCAUAUGAAUGAAUUGGGUGAGAAGCCCCUUGGUGUCAAACUUAUGUUUCAUCAAAUAGAUCCAUGUGCACCUAGUAUGAUCAUAAAAAAUGGUAUGGAAGUACUUGGCACCGGAAAGAGAAGACACUUGGUAACCACCCCAAAUGUCAACAUGUAUCAAUUCGAAACAUGAUGUGGUAGACAUGGAAAUUUAAGAAAAAGGCAACCUUGUUUGUUGCCAAAGGGCAAAUUAAACAUUGACUUGUCUCACAAGUUUUAUUGGAGACAAAAGGAAAUAACAUGGUAACUUUAUGGGAUGGGUGUCCUAGGCGUUGAUGCCAAAAGCUGGAAGGAGUGGUUUGGACGGCAUUGCAUGUUCCUUUCUUUGGUGGAUCAAGGUAGUAGAGUCCAUCCCAUUCAUUUCCCGUCCCAAUCAUCUUCCCUAAGCAUAAAGUCCUGUAUGACACAAAAAUGGUGUAAGAAAAUCGCAAUGGAAAGGGAAUCAUAGGUUAAUUUGCUAAUAGAGAUUAAAUUUAACUUAAAAAGUGGAACACAAAGGACGUUGUCAAGAAUUAGGUCAGGAGAAAAAAUAACUUGGCCAACAUGAGUGACCGCGGCAAGGGAUCCAUUCGGUAACUCAACGGUGUGAUUUUUAAUGGGCCUUGAGGACGUACGGGAGUCGAGGCUGCAAACUAUGUGAUCUGUAACACCACUAUCCAAGAUCCAAACAUUAUUCUUGCCAUGAUGUAUGAAUGAAAAAGCUUUACCUGAAAGGUCUUUGUGAUGUGAGGAAUUACCAACGUGAUUAACAAAAUAUGAUUUGUGCUUAUUCAACAUUUGGAGGAUUUGUUUACAAUCUUCUUGAGAGAAUGGAAAAUUGGACAUCACCUCUUUGUUGGUCAUAACAACUUGAUUUCCCUUGGAAGAACGACUUGGUUCGAUUUCUGCAGCUGCUUUUCUUUUGCGGCAAUACUCAUAUGAAUGGCCUUUCCACCUGCAAAAAGUGCAUUUGAGAUAGGCACAACAGUUAUUUGUGUUGUGGUUCGUCUUGUUGCACUUUCCACAUCGUAGAUGACACGCCCCGACCCUGAUAUGCCCUGAAUACUAGGAUAGACACGUGUUGGCCAACACUUGAGGGUGACGAAAGUCAUUAAUUGAUACAAAAGCUAAGAAUAAGAAGUAAUUAAGGGUUAUGAAUUUAAAUACAAUGAGUUAAUAAUUUAUGAACGUGUUCAGAGCCUACAACUAACUAGAGCUCUAAAAGAAUUAAUAUAAAAUUGAAUAAAUAAGAGGAUGUGGGUCCUACACCAAGAGGACUCGAAUAUGCCAAUGCGAAAGCGUUGACGUUGGGAUUGUAUGCCUCGAUUCUAAAUCCUGAAAAGGGGCGCAAAACAAGGGUGAGUGGACCAAGUUUAUAUACAUACAUAAUACAAAAACAGUUAUAAACAUACUAACCCCCAAUGUUUUAAUAAUGAAAACUACUAGCGUAAUAAAUGAUAGGUAUCUCUGAAAACCCUAGCAUGCCAUAAACAUCUCAAAAGACAUAUCACAGAAAACAUCAUGGAAACCAAAACAUCAAUAGUCUCACAGAUUGUCUCGUAAGCGCGGUGUGCUGCCAGUAGGAUCACUGAAUAAUAAUACUCUCAGCCCAAUGCCUGCACCUAAGUCUCUGUGCCCGUAGCCAGAGAUAACUCCCUCCCGGCCCAAUGCCUAUCUCCGUGUCCCUCAGCCUUUCGCUAGGGAUUAUUUCUCCCGGCUUAACUGCUAACACCAUAUCCUCGCCCCAGGCGGCAUAGUGUCCAUUGGGUACGCACAAAUAGUUACGCCUCUCAAAAUAAUCACUUCAUAGUAUAAAGUCAUCCAUCGUCUAUACUAUAAAGAGGGGUUUCGAAAACAUGUUCUAGCAUCCUAUCGUAAUCCAUCGGAUAGUAUACCAGUUCAUGGUUUUUCUAGAAAAUACUAUAUAUUAAAAUAUAGCUCAAAAUAGGCCAACAAUUAAUUCCUCAUCAAAAACACGAGACGAAAAUCAACAUAUUCAAUAAUCAUGCUUAACAUAAAAUCAAAUCAUAAACUCGUAAGGCAUGCUAUUCAUUUAUGCAAUUGAACUAUAAAAUCAUGUAAUUUUAGAAGGGGUCCACUCACAGUACUUAGCUACCAAAAAUUGGGCCACUAGCGAAGAUGGAAAUGUCACAAUAAUUGCCCCUAAGCACAUAAAUAGCACAUUUAGUCAAACUCUACUCAAACGAUUUAAUUUGAGAAAACGGACAUUGGAAACGGAUUCAGGACGUCGAAAUUAGCCUAGAAAAGGUCUCGGACGAAAACUGAAAGUGAACCUGAAAGUCAAAGUUAAUGGUCAACUGUCAACGUUGACCAGGUCAAAGGUCAACGGGUCAGUCAAUUGGGUUAAACUAGGUCAACGGGUUUUGGGCUUGGAUUCGAAUUAGGGUUAGGUCCAAAAGCCCAAGAGUUUAGAGAUUGGGCUUAAAACCCUUAUCAGAAAAUGGCCCAAGGGGCCCUAUUUGAUUUAAAACAAAUUAAAUAAAAGAAAAUGGGUUUUGGGUUGGGCCAACUGCCAGAGGCUCUAAAGAACAUGGCCCGAAAGCCUUUUGAGCUUUUAAAUCAAUUAAAAUCAAAAUAAAAAGAGAACGGGUUGGGUUAUUGGAAUGGUUCACAACGGGCCUAAAGCCCGUGGGUUUUGAAAAUGGCAUGAAGGCCUGAUCUCGCCGAGAACGAACACCGUAGAACGGUCAGAGGUUCACAACGACUUCUACAGCUCCGACUGACUGAAAACGAGGGUCCUAGACUCCGAUCUAGGUACCAAACAAAAGCACAAGGUGAGAGGAGAAGUUUACUACCUUUGGUUCGCCGUAGAACGUUCGGAGGUGACCAGAAAAUCCUUCGACGCCCAGGGUUUCGCCGGAAUGGGUGUGCCUUCCCCGGAGUCGAUUUUGUUCUAAAACCUUGUAAUUUAACGAGAUAAACUUAAUAAAUCUCAUUUAAACUUCACACUAGAAUGAAAAAGAAAGGUAAAUCGAACUUACCUAACUAGAAAAUUGAAGGAAUCUCGCGGAGAGUUCCGAGAUUCGCUGCCCUCAUAGCCACGGGAAAGAGAGAGAGAGAGAGACGAGGUUUGAUGAUGAUGGGUUUCCUCAAGCGGGUAUGCAGUUGGGUGUGUGCGUGUGUGGUCAUGGGGAAGAGAUGAGCGAGAUGAGGGUUUCAAGAGAGAGGAAAGGGAGUGUGCAGAGAAAGAGAGAAGAAAUAAGGGGUUACGAGGUAGGAGACAUAGAGAGAACAUGAGGGUUGAUAGGGUGCUGCCACGUGGCAGCUCAAUUGGGUAAAGGAAUGUGGACUAAAUUGAUAAUUUCGUUUACAUUUUGGGGAACAACGAAAUUAUACAUAUAAUUGGGGGUUGGGGUGUUACAAUAGACCACCUUUUUCGAAUUCCGUCUCUCGACCUAUACCCUUCACAGUGAACACAACAACUUUUGGUUGGGCAGUGCUCUUUCCAUUUGAGACUUCGGCUUGCCUCUCAUGGCGAAGAACAAGUGAAUAAGCCUUGUUUACACUGGGCAAAGGCUCAAGAAGGAGAGUAUUGCUAUGAAUGAUAGAGUAAGAUUCGUUCAAACCCAUGCGAAACUUCAUCGUCUUUUGGGUUUCAAUGUAGGAGGCGAUCUCCUUCUUCGUGUCACAGCCACAAGUCGGGAUAGAAUAAAGCACGUCUCGUUCAUCCCAAGGGCUUUUCAGUUUGGUGAAAUACGAACUAACCGUCAUUGCCUUGUAUGCAAUCAUGAAUCUUGUUUACUAUGUGAAAUAAUUGGACAAUGUUCACAUGAGAAAACCUUUCUUGUAGGUCCAGCCACAUCUGUUAUGCAUCCUUGCACUGUAUGAUGCCUUAGAGAUUUCCUUUGACAUGGAACCGAGUAACCACGUUUUCACCAGGUUGUUGCAUCAAUUCCAUUGUUGUAAUUCUUCAAAGUGUUCUUCACUUGGCUUCUUGAUCCCUUCAUCAACAAACCCUAAUUUGUUUUUUACCGUCAAGGCCAUGGUCAAGGAUUGAGCCCAUGUACUGUAGUUAUCUUCCACAAGAGGCUGUGGCACAAGUAUUGCACCAGGUUGAUUCGAGUGAUGGAGGUUAAGUGGGUGAUUGGGAUUUUCCAACUUUUGAUGCGAAGUCAUGCCUGAAGAGGUUGACUUGUCUAAUUUGUCGCCUAUGGCUAUGUUUGCUAGGGUUUGUGUUUGUUUCUUUGCUUUUUAUUUUCCCAGAUAUCGUUCACUCUGGUACCAUCAUAAGAAGCAUAGAUUUGAGGAAUGAAUUUCCGUAUAUAUUCAUCAAACAAGAAUUACAGCUUUAUAUAAAGACUACCAUGAUACUAUCCUAUUCUAUUGCCUACAAAUAAGGCUAAAAUUAACAACUAGAUACUAUCCUAUUCUAUUGCCUACAAAUAAGGCUAAUUAAUAACUAAAUAGGAAAGUAAAUAUCAAUACAUGAUAUUGACUAAUUAAUCUGAGAUUCCUUUGUUAACAUUAAAAAAUAUAUAACAUGUGAAAAUUAUAAAAACGGAAAAGAAAAAAAAUGAAUUUUAACAAAAAGUUUUCGGUACUAUUUACUUUAAUGAAAAAACAUAUUUUUACAUUAAAAAAUCAAUCAUAAUACUAUUCACUUAUUUGAUCGUUAUCGUUAAAAUUCAAAAUUUUUAAACAUUUUCAUUAAUUUCAAAAAAAAAAAAAAAACCCUCAUCAAGUUGAGCAUCUCUCCUCUUCUCCGCCCCGCCCCCUCUCGCGCGCAACCUUUUCUGUUUCUCCACAAAAGCGUUCCCGCAGAGGCUUCGAGAAACCCUACCGAAGCUCUUUCUCUCUCGCAACCUUCUCCGUUUCUCCACACAAGCGUUCCCGCAGAGGCUUCGAGAAACCCUACCGUAGCUCUCUCUCUCUCCUCCCUCUCGCUCCUCGCGUCCUCAGACUCUCUGUAGAUCUCCUUCGAGGUACGGUACGCUCCCUAAAACCCUUUGCAUCGGAUCAGAUAUCUAUGUGAAAAUGUUGUUAGAUCUGAUGUAGAUUUUACUGUUUCCCGAUUUGGAUAUUUUACUCUGGGUUUAGCCUCCGUGGGGUUUUAAGUGUUGAACUGCCUCACUUUCUGCUUCGAUUCAAUUUUUUGCUUAAAUCUUUUGGGGUGUCUAUAUUUGGGUUUGAGCUAGAUUCGGUGAAUAUAUGAUUACAUUAGUUUGAGCAGAUUCUGGUAAUUUGAUAAUCAUGGGGUUUAUAGACUGCUUGGGUGAUUAGCGUUGGUUGGAAUUUGCAAUUAGGAUUGGUUAAUUUUAAUUUUUUUUUAAAACAUUAUUGUUUUGUAUGUUAUGUAACUUUAAUGGGGACAGAGGGGUUUUUAUCCAAGAUUUGCGGAGGUUUAAUUUGUGGUCUUAUUUUUCUGUUUCCUUUAGCUACUGUAUUAUUUAUUUCUGAUACUGUAAUCACCGUGAGGACGGUGAAGAUAUUCAUCGUCCGAUUUUUGGUUGUUUCUAUGAUUGAAUGGUAGUUUCCCUUGUGCUUUGUUUGAACUGGUGUUGUUUAUUUGGAAUUGAGUUUCAGUUGUUUAGUGUAUGUGGGUUCUUGCUUGAUUUGGAAUUUCAGUUUCAGUUGUUUAGUGAAUGUGGGUUCUUACUUGAUUUGGAAUUUUAGCUUCCGUUGUUUACUAAAUGUGGGUAUUAUUUAUUUUCCAGACAUAAAAUUCUGCAAGGAUGAGUGUGGUGGGGUUUGAUUUUGGCAAUGAGAGCGGCAUUGUGGCCGUAGCCAGGCAGAGGGGUAUUGACGUUGUGCUCAAUGAUGAGUCCAAACGUGAAACUCCGGCCCUUGUUUGUUUCGGUGAGAAGCAGCGGUUCAUUGGGACAGCUGGGGCUGCUUCCGCAUUGAUGAACCCCAAGAACACAAUUUCCCAGAUUAAACGCUUGAUUGGUAAGCAAUUCUCUGAUCCUGUGUUGCAGAGGGAUAUCAAGUCAUUGCCUUUUGCUGUUUCUGAAGGGCCUGAUGGAUAUCCAUUGAUUCAUGCCCGUUAUUUGGGAGAAGCAAAGACAUUUACACCUACCCAAGUUCUUGGAAUGCUGUUUUCUGAUCUGAAAAUCAUAGCUGAGAAGAAUCUCAAUGCAGCUGUUGUAGAUUGCUGUAUUGGGAUUCCAGUGUAUUUCACUGAUCUCCAAAGAAGAGCUGUUAUGGAUGCAGCAAAAAUUGCUGGAUUGAACCCUCUUCGCUUGUUCCAUGAAACUACAGCAACUGCUUUGGCUUAUGGUAUUUACAAGACGGAUUUACCAGAAAAUGACCAAUUGAAUGUUGCCUUUGUUGACAUUGGGCAUGCUAGCAUGCAAGUUUGCAUUGCUGGUUUUAAGAAAGGGCAGCUGAAAAUAUUGGCUCAUUCCUUUGACCAGUCUUUGGGAGGUAGGGACUUUGAUGAAGUACUGUUCCACCACUUUGCAGCAAAAUUCAAGGAAGAGUACAAAAUUGAUGUUUUACAGAAUGCAAGGGCUUGCCUUCGCCUUCGUACCACUUGUGAGAAGUUGAAGAAGAUGCUUAGUGCAAAUCCUGUGGUACCCUUGAAUAUAGAGUGUUUAAUGGAAGAGAAGGAUGUUAGGGGAAUUAUUAAGCGGGAUGAAUUUGAGCAGAUUAGUAUUCCUAUUUUGGAACGUGUGAAGGGACCUUUGGAGAAGGCCCUUCUUGAUGCACAGCUUUCAAUAGAGGACAUUCACACAGUUGAGGUUGUCGGUUCAGGCUCUCGUGUUCCUGCUAUAAUCAAGAUAUUGACAGAUUUCUUCAAAAAGGAGCCUAGGCGAACUAUGAAUGCAAGUGAGUGUGUUGCCAGGGGUUGUGCUUUGCAAUGUGCAAUUCUUAGUCCAACAUUCAAAGUUAGAGAGUUUCAGGUGAGUUUAACUCUUGCUUUGUCUGUGAAUUUGUUUCCAUUAGUUGAACCAAUCUAUAUAUUGUCUGACCUGCUGGCUUUUGCAAAAAUUAUGUUUUGUUAUUAACUAAUGCUAUCCCAUUUAAUAUGAAGGUUAAUGAGAGCUUCCCAUUUUCAAUUUCCUUGUCCUGGAAAGGUUCUGGUCCAGACGCUCAGAAUGGAGCAGCUGAGAACAACCAAAAUACCCUUGUUUUCCCCAAGGGAAAUCCUAUCCCAAGUAUCAAGGCCCUUACAUUUUACAGAUCAGGCACUUUUUCAGUUGAUGUGCAGUAUGCUGAUGUUAGUGAUUUGCAGGCACCUGCAAAAAUCAGCACAUAUACAGUGAGUGGCAGAAUGAAUAUUGGAUCUUAAACUUGUGCCCUCUAAUUUCUCUCAACGCUAUUAGGUCAUCUGCUGGAUAUUUCCUAACAUUCUACUACACUAUACAUGUGCAGAUUGGUCCUUUCCAGUCUGUUAAAAGUGAGCGAGCAAAACUAAAGGUCAAGGCUCGCCUAAAUCUGCAUGGGAUUGUGUCUGUAGAUUCAGCAACUGUAAGAUUGUUAAAAGCAUUUUGUGCUUCUAGAUGUCUUUGGUUGAUUAUCUUUCUAAUUCUAUUUGUUUUUCUUCACAUGCUGUAGCUUUUGGAAGAAGAAGAAAUUGAGGUUCCUGUCACAAAAGAGCAAACAAAGGAGGCUGCUAAGAUGGAGACAGAUGAGGCACCCAGUGAUGUGGCUCCCCCAAGUACCAAAGAGACUGAUGUGAGCAUGCAAGAUGCUAAGGACACUGCUGAUGCUCCAGGUGCUGAAAAUGUUGUUCCCGAGUCCGGGGAAAAGCCUGUGCAAAUGGAAACUGAUGCGAAGGUCAGUUUUCAUGAUUCAUGUGUUUUUUCCAUUUGUAAUUUUCCUGGACCGCAACAUUUGUUUUUUUUUUUGGGGGGGGGGCGGGGGGGGGCAAUAGUGUUUAGCUACUCAAUUUGAGUCAGCUAUAUGUGGGACUAAGGAAAUGAAUGACUUAUGCCUAACUUUCUACGCUUUGCUUUGAUAUAGUCCACUAGUGCUAAGCUUUUCCGUGAUCAUUCUUUUCAUGUUCAAUCACGUUAACAACAGGGAAGGGUUGUCAAAAGUCAUCAUAAUCUUUAACUUAUAUAAUCUACAUUUAAUGUCACCACAGAGAAGAUAAGGGAUGAUGGACUGUACCAAGUGUUGUUUAAAAAUUCAGUUUUGGAAUGGUCAAAUGUUAUCAGUGGUUUUAUUUGGUUCUAUUUGUGGGUUCUGUACUCUUAAUGUCUUGGUUUUUGCAAUGCAGGCUGAUGCUAAAAAGAUAAAGGUAAGGAAAACAAACAUUCCUGUGACAGAGUUAGUUUAUGGAGGGAUGCCACCAAAUGAAGUGCAGAAGGCAAUUGAGAAGGAGUUUGAAAUGGCCUUACAAGACCGUGUUAUGGAAGAAACAAAAGACAAGAAAAAUGCUGUAGAGGCAUACGUCUAUGACAUGAGAAACAAGGUAGUUUGCUUGUAUGUUCGUGACACAUUUUCCUUUUUAUUUUACCAUUUUUUUUUACUAAAUUUCUCUUUUGUAUUGCCAGCUCAAUGACAAGUAUCAUGAAUUUGUCACUGAAUCUGAGAGGGAAGCGUUUAUUGCUAGACUUCAGGAGGUGGAGGACUGGCUGUAUGAAGAUGGUGAAGACGAAACCAAAGGAGUUUACAUUGCCAAACUUGAGGAGCUGAAGAAGGUGAGGAUUUUCUUCUUUUAAUGUGUUUUGGUGCGAAGUUCUCUAUUUUCUCUUGUCCAACUUGAUGUCGUUGGUUUUGAUUCUUUUGAGCAUUGGUGAUUUUUUCAAAUUUCAGCAAGGUGACCCCAUUGAAGAGCGAGUCAAGGAGCAUGCGGAGAGGGGAACAGUGGUUGAUCAACUUGCUUACUGUGUCAAUAGUUACAGAGAAGCUGCAGCAUCAAAUGAUGCAAAAUUUGAACACAUUGAUCUGGCCGAUAAACAGAAGGUAAGGGACUCGAUGAGCUGUCUUCCCCUUCCCCAGUCUCCACCUUUUCAACUCACAAUAUUCUUUGUGUUGUUUAGGUAUUGAAUGAGUGUGUUGAAGCCGAGGCCUGGUUAAGAGAGAAAAAGCAGCUACAGGAUCUGCUCCCCAAAUAUGCCAACCCAGUACUCUUAUCAGCUGAUGUGAGACGGAAGGCUGAAGCAGUUGACAGGUACUAUUUCUUGCAUUGAUAAAUUUGUUUUCUUUGGUUAGUUGACGAACUGGUUGUCUUAGACAACAAGAACCUAUUGCUUAUUCAUAAAGUCUUUUGGAAGCCUUUGGGAUAUCUGACAGUGGUAACCUUUUCUUAUAUCCACUUUUGUUGACAGGUUCUGCAGACCGAUAAUGACGAAACCCAAACCAGCACCAGCCAAGCCAGCUGCUCCUGAAACUCCACCAACCCCACCUCCUCAGGGAAGUGAGCAACCUCAGGGGGGAGAUGCAAAUGCCAAUCCUGGCCCCACGGAGAAUCCUGCUGAUGGCAACAAUGAGGCCCCACAGGCUUCUACAGAACCAAUGGAAACCGACAAGCCAGAAGCUCCCCAAAGUUCUGCGUAGUUCUGUAGAGUAUCCGCCUUUCUAUGUUUCUUAUGGCGUUUCGGUUGUUCUUAUGGUCCGGAUUUGAUUCGUUAGCAUAAUACACUUCCAUUUUGAGCCUUAAAACACAGUUUGGACGGAGAGGGAGAAGCCCGUGGUGUGCUAAAUAGAUGAUAUACCUGUAGGUGUAAAGCCUUUUAUCUGCUUGUGGUCUGUCAGUUUUUAAUUAUUGGUACAAUCGGUCUCUAGAAUUCCGGAUUUUUUGAAGAGAAAUUUUACCCUCGGGGUCUCUUUCCCCCCUUAUGAUGGGAUGGAGACCGAUACGUUUUCAUUCUAAU
rnacentral:lncRNA from 1 species